UUUUUAAAAAAAUAUGUGUACUUAAAUAACACUAUAUGUGCAAGUUAACAAGCAAUUGCCUCUAAAAUAAUAACAAAAUUAACAAUAAAAUAAGAGUUAUAUAAUAUCCAAACAAUAACAAUAAAAUAGUACCAACAUAAUAGUGAAUAGGUAGCAAAAUAGUGAAAAAAAUAACAAGAAUAUAGUAAAAAAAACAGCAAGGAAAAGCAGCAGUUUUUUUUUUUUGCAUAUUCGAGCCGGGAUGAGCCCGGGCCAAAAAAGCCUUACCCGAGGCCCAACCCGUUUUCUAAAACGAGCUUUAUUUUUUUCCCAAACCCAUUUUUCGAGUCUAUAUUUUUACCCAAACCCUCCCACUUUUCAGGCUGGCCUUCGAGCCGGGUCGAGUGACCUGACCCAUGGACAGGUCUAAACACAGCGUGAUAUAUGGCGAAAAAUGAUAAAAAAAUAAAAAUUAAUAAAAGUUAUAGAAAAAUUAUAAAAUGCUUCUUUUGAUACGAUAAUUUUUAUAAAAAAUUUUACGAAAUUUAUAUUCUUUACAUUUUAUAAUUUUUUACAAUUUUUAUAAUUUUUUCUAAUUUUUAAUAAAUUUUUAAUAAUUGAAUUUUUUUAUUAAAAUUUAAUAAUAUUUAUAGCUUUUAUUGAUUUUAUUUUUUAUAAAUUUUUUUCUAAUUUUUAAUAAAAGCAUGGGCUUAAUUGCUUUUUUUUGAAAAGGUUUGAGGGUCUUUUUGAUGCAUUUUGAAAGAUCAAGUGCCUAAUUGAGUGUAAAAAAAAAUAAGGGCUUAAUUUCUUUCUUUUUUUUUAAAGUUUGAGAGCAUUUUUGAUGCAUUUUGAAAGUUCAAGUAUCCAAAUGAGUGCAAAAAAAAGAGCAGGGGCUUAAUUGCUUUUUUUGAAAAUGUUUGAGUGCUUUUUGCACCCUUAAGUCUAAAAUUUACAAUUUCAUACUAUAGUUUGAAUGGAUGUCAUACGUUGAUCCGAGAAUUCAAGAAUGCAUCCCGAUCGAAUUUUUGGUCAACCGCAAUAUCUGGCACGUCAAGGUGCCAUUGAUAUUUUUUGCGACGACAAAGAUGCACGAAUCCGAUCGAGUGCUGCACCAGUUUGGGUUUAGGCAAAGUAUUCCGUCGUCACCCUAAGACAUCAAAGAACUACACAAAGUCAACUUGCGAGAGAGAACCGAUGAAGAUUGGGCAAAAUUCCUUGAAGAAUAUAUCUACAUUUAGGAGAAUAUGUACGAUUUCAUACCUAUAUGCGAAUCAAUUCUCGAAUUGGAAUUGGCGACCUCUAUUGAUUACAUGAUAUGAUUUAGACAUCACGGUAAGCCAUAUCUAUUGCCGAAAGAGAAAAGGACUAGGCAACUCCGUCGUAGGAGGCAAAGACAACCCUACAUGAAUCCUAGGUCGGAAUACAUGCCUUGAUGGAGUUACCAUUAGCUCCAACCCCACACGUGGUACUGAUGAUUGCCCUACCUCCUAGUCAACAUGGUUCAAAUUAUUUCGGUGUUUUCACUAAUCCUAUUUUUUAUACACAAGCACUGUAUCGUAUCAUGUAUCAACACUUUCUGCAGGUGUAUUUUUUACACCAUCUCCAUCCCCAGCACCAUAUGGAGAGUCAAUGCCAGUAACAACAUCAAUGUAUCCGCCAUCUCUGACAAUUCCAACAUUUUAUUCGAAACCAGGUUAUGCGACAUCUUACACUUAUCGACUGAUAGUGUCGCAAACACCCUAGCGUCAUUGUUCUACCAAGGUGGUUCAUCUUUGCAACCACCUGUUACUCGAAAGGACGAUAUACGAGGGCAACCUAGGACGACACGAUGCUCAAGCACGGAGGAACGACGAGAAGAAGAUGAUGAAGAUAGAGCUCGAAGUGAAUAUGAAGAUGAAGAAGGAGUCAAAACCUCAACUACAAAGAAAUCUUAUUCACAACCGGUAUCCAUCGGGUUGUGACACACAUUCAGUCGAUGACAGAUUAUUUUUUAAAAAAAAAUUGUCAGGUAAAUCAUCAUUUACUUUGUUAGCUUUUAAUUUGUAUUGUGUUACUUUUUUCAUGCAUAAUGUACUUAUUCCAAUUAUAUAAAAAAAAAUGUGAUAUGUUGUAUUUUACAUCAAUAAUAUACUUACUUACAGUCUAAGAAAAAAUUAAAAAAUUGGCUAUUGUAUUUUUCAUAUCAGUAGUAUAUAUGACAGCCUCCGGUUGUACCAACGUCCAGAGUAGAAAUCUUGCACAAAAUAUAUGAAGAAGCGGUGUCCAUAAGUAUACGAGUCAGGUUGUAAUAUAGUUACAACGGAGUAGAUGAAUACUACGGGGAUUGUACCCAAGGGAGGCGAAUACUAAAUUAAUUCUAACCUAAGCAUAAAUAGAUCUAAUUAGUACUUUAGAUGAAUUAUAUUACGAUCAAAUAAUAAAUUUAUCAAAUCUGAGCAUGGGUGAUUAGCUUGCUUCGGUAAUCAUAAUCAACUGUUGUUUUAGGUUUUCUUGUUCAAUUAACUAGCUGAUAUCCUAGCAGGAUCUUUCGAUAUUCUACUAGAAUAAUGAGUCGGCAAGAACUACUUAUCUCUUGACCUCACAGUCCAGACUAGUUCAGGGUUAAGGUGUUCACGGAUAGGUCAUACCAAUUUUGGAUUAAUUCCCACCUUAAUGACUUCCUAGGGUCGUCAAACCUAGGGUUUAAGUUAUUCAUUUCCUGAACAACUGAUCCGCUUAAGAGAACCCUACAAAAUAGUUAAUUAAUCAUGCCUCCACUCAUUAAUCCCCCACAAGAUGAUUAGUUCCUCAUGGAUCUCAUAACAAUAUAAACUUGAUAGAAAGAAUAGGCAUGAACAAUAAUUCAAUAAUUAGAAUAGAAUGUUGAAUCCUAAACUACUUAUACAAAUUUCAGUCAACUAUAACUUACUUUAUUACAAAUUUGAAACUAAAAUACAUAAGUAAAUACAACGAGUAAAUACAGAUACAACACAAGGCAAUUAAAUUAUAAUGAUAUCUAAAUUAAAAACCUAAUUUAUUAUAGAUACUUCAAGUGUGGAUUUUUAAGAAGUAUUUUAAUCUUUGAACAUGCCGCCAAGCUUGUUUUGUAUUUAUAAUAUCCUAAUAUGCCCUUUUCUUUGGAGUAAUCCUGGCAUCAUUCCUUCUAGUGCAUACUCAUAAUCAGCCUAAAGCAAAAAUAUAAACUCAUGUAAGCUCAUAAGAACUUAGUGAGAAAAACGUCCUUUACCUGCACAAUGCUUGCACAUUGUUACUGAAGAAUUGUUAAGACUUUCUUAUUAUCCUGGUCUUUCAACUUGUUUCUGGCAAAUAUUUUUCCCAGAAUUUCAUUCUUCAUUCUCUAUGGAUAUCACGCCUUACUCUGAACUCAUUACUUACCCAUCAACACCUUCGAUACGCCACUUACCUCUUUCAAGAUGAUCUUUCAUAAGUCUUUACUCAUUUCCUUUACAGAGAUCUAUAUGACCGAAACACCGUUACUCUUGUAUUCGUAACUUUAAGCCAUCGUUUCACCACAAUUCAUGUUUGAUCACAUAUACAGAUAACAGGUGCCUUCAGAUAUACGAUUAGAAAAACCCUUAUUUAAAAUAUGCUUCUUUUAUGUUUACUCAUCACCUCUUCUACAUCUCAUCACUUCAUUACUCAUAGUUGAAUCAUGGUCUUGCAUAACACUUUACCAUAGCCCAUAAAGACACUGUGCCUUUCUAAUCUUUCUAAUCACACUUACAAGUCAUAUUGAAUGUGCCAAAACAAUUUAACACAAAAUUCGCUACCAGAAAUCAUUCCUUUAGGGUACACCAUUGAAAGCCUUACUAUGAUAUGCCACAAAGGCAAUAUUUUCAAAAUUCACCAUAUAAGUCGUUCCUUUAGAGUGCGCCACAAGGGUUUGUCUUUUAAAUUAUUGCUACAAAGGCUAUCAUUGCAGGUUUCACCAUAGAGGCUAUCCCUUCAUAAUUCACCACAAAGGCAUUCAUUUCAUAUUGCGCCACAAAGGCUUUCUUUCUUUCCUGACAUGUUUAUAAUAUGGAUUUACCUAAACUCAUGUUAUGUGAGGUUUGCCCGUCAUCAUCCUGGAACACGCAAAGAACCCCAUUGGAAAAUCACCGUUCUUUAAUUCCUUUCAGAAUGUGCCAUGAACAUAGGUUUUUCCUUCAAGAUUUAUAUCAGAGAUUGUGUUUUUAAUCCCAACGGACCCCUUUAGACUCCACCGCGGUGAACAGACACAGAUUCUCUUGACAAGCUCUUCAUAUUCUGACAUUAUUUAAGACUCAACGCUUUCAUGCAUUAACAUACACCCAAACUAGUUCACAUCCCUUCACAUUUUUACCAGAUGUACUCAUACAACCAUGCUUCAACAUUAGGAUACUUAUCUCAUACUUAAGCUUGACAGAUUUCAUACGAACUAUACAUGCCAUUCUUAACAAACAUUAUUACUUUACUUUUCUAGUUUCAAUUUCAUAGUUCAAUAAAUUUCCACAAAGGUAUCCCAUAUGAAUAGUAUACCUACAAGAGUCAACUUAAAGACUCACCUGACAACCACGGACAGUAGUUUGAACUCUAGAUCCAACCUUUAUCAAGAUUCUGCAGCAACCACUACUUACAAAAUAGGGGAACACAAUUAAAGCUCAUUCGAGUAACCAUACUAUCAUCUCAAACCUAGAUGAACCACAUACAAAGCCUUACUUCUUCAUUUUACUAUUUAUGCACUCAUACAGACGUCUCUUUCAUAACACAACAUGUAGAGCCAUAAAACUUACUUUAACAUGGAGCAAUCACUAAUAAAAUUCGGGAUCUCAACUUCAGCUUAAAGAAAUGCCUUUAGUUCUUCAAGCCUUAGAUAACCUUACAUUAGAAGAAAGAAAAAGAGAAUUCCCAUUUUCCAAACAUAAAUAUCUAUUAUUAUAUUCUAAGUCCUUAUUGAAACUUGACAAAUGUCACAUUAUUACUAAAUUAUCUUAUCAAAAGUUUACAACUUCCAAGAAACCUAAUUUAAUAUCCCCUUAUCUUUUAACUAUCUUGGUUCGCAUUCAGUUGGUUUCUAACCAGCUUACCUUGCAACUUAACUUGCACAAUACCACAAUUAAUGAAUGCACUAUAUCCCUAAUGUGAACUCAUACUUUUGAUACCAUUUUAUUUGGUCAUUGGUUUUAUUCCAAUUAAUAUAGUAACCUGACAAUGAACCUUUAUUAACUUAACCACAUAAUUUUAUAUGCUCGUUCUAUAUGCCGAAAGAUGUACUUAGGCAAAGCUUAUUCGGCCGAUCAUACUACUUUAGGACUAUACGCCAAACCUUGUGCCUACUAGAACUGGGGUGUUACAUAAGAAGCGAUUUGUGUGAAGGGAAAAAUAAACAUAUUAGCCUUAUAAAUUAAGAAUCUGGUGAGCUAGUAACCUUUCUAACUCUUUUGUAUCUUUUUUAUUGAAUGAAAAAGGUAAGAAACUUGUAAGUUAUGGUAAAGUUCAUGGAUGUGAAAAAUAAAAAUCUUAGAUAGCUUAUAAAGAUAAUUUGCAUGUUAAUGGAUUUCGACGGUCUCACUUAUGAAUGCUAUCGUUUUGAUUGUCUAAUGGUUAUUUUGUUUAGCUAACCAAGGAGGAGGCCUAAGAGACGAAGGAAAAGUUAAACAAUUGUAGGGUUCAAGCAUCCUGGUGUUUUGCGGAUGAGUUUCUCAACUGCAACUCUCAGUUUUCAUUUUGCAUGUUACAGGGUUGUGAUAGUUGGGUUAUGUUUGUUGGAAAAUUCUGCUGUAACAUUUGGUGACGUUGAACUUUGUUGUUGCUAAUGUUGUCAAUGUUGUUUUGUUGAAAGUGAAAGGGUAUGUAAAGCUCAUACCAUUGAUGUAUUGAUUGAUAUUUGAAUUGCCCUUAUGUUGGUAAGCUGUAAAACUUAGAAUGGGAGGCAUGCUAAUGUCUUCUGAUAGUAAAUAAUGUGUCCAGGAAUAAGAUACAAUAUGACGCAUUGGCGUUGUGGUGGGAUAUUGAUUAAUGAAGUUCUGGCGUUGUGGCAAGAUGUUGAUUGAAUGAUGUAUCAGUGUUGUGGUGGAAUGAUAAUUGAAGAAGUAUUGGUGCUGUGGCGGGAUAUUAAUUGAAGGAGGACUAGAGUCCGCAAAGACUUCUUCUCGUGGUUAUAAAUUAUGAUAGUCCGCGGGGACUUGCCCUCAUGUUACAAGUCAUGAUAAUUCGCACUUGACUUUAAGAGCACAAGUGUGUAACCAUUCCAGAAUGAAUCUGCAAACAUGAUAAUCUGUCAAGCUUGAAUUCACAUAGGUUGUUAGCUAAGUGUGAGUUUGCAGGAUCAUUUGUGAGCAUCAAUUCGUAGGGAAUAUCUUACAAGUAUGAUUCCAUAAUGGCCAUAUUGUAUGUAAGAUAGUCAGCAAGUCUUGUUUUCAAGCUUCUAGGCCAAGUUGGUCCAUUGAGACUCUGCUAUAUGAAAGUUAACGAAAUAAGUCCGAAAAGUACAAGUCCGCGUGAACAAAUUCACAUAAUGCGAUUCUACAGGGCUAAGUUCUCCAAGCAUGAUUGCAUGAGAAAUAUUCAUCAAACGUGAGUCUACAAGAACUAUCUGUAAGUAUAGAUUUGUAUAAACGAGUGCAGGUAUGAAUCUGCAAAUCUGAGUUCACAAGUAUAUGUCAGCAAACAUGAAGCCACAAAUGUGAAUUCACAGGCAUGUUUUUGGGGUGUAUUAGCCAAUUAUAACUUUGCCAAGAUUUUUCACCCUGUAUAAGUUGCAUUGGGUAAAUCCACCUAGAUAUUCCACAAUGCGUAUGUCCACAGAGAGUAAAGGUGAUCGAUUUAUAUGAGCAAAGUGUGUGUAUGCGUGUUACUUAUACUCAUACAUGAACUGUUAAACGUACUAUUUGUCUUUAUGCAUAAAUUAUAUUCUUCGCAAGCUAUAUGUGUGGGCGAGUAAGCAACUUGAAAAUUCACUAAGUUCACCUUGAACUUACCAUGUUCCUUGAUCUAUUUUGUCUUCGGGUAACAAAAGCUAUUUUGAACUUAAAAGGGAGGGACUAAGCCAGAAUUUGCUGUAUCUUGAGUGAGCCUAGCAACUUUUGAGUUUUAAACAUGUACAUAUUAGGGGCGAUCUAUAGGCUUAGCUUAUGAAAUUGUAAAUAUUGAAAGUCUUGUUCCAACUAUGAUGUGUAUAUAUUUAACGUUGGGUAGAUGAAUGAGGAAAUUUUAUUGUAAGAAUAGUAUUCGUUUUGGUGUAAGCACUGUGAAUAGUAGAUUGAGUGGUAAAAGCUUUAAAGAUAAGACAAACUGUUCGCCAAGUCUGAAAUCUAUCCGAGUAGCAUCCGGGAAGUGUGUUACAGAUGACCCUAAAAAUAAAAAAGCCAUGCGACAAGAAAUAGAAGAACUUAUCUACAAAAGAUUGGCUCUUGAAGUUAUCUGAAGUAUGCAAAAUUAAGAAUUUAAAUACUGCUGCUAUUCUUCGCGCUUGGUUCAAUUACACGACGAACUUCGAUUUAAAAUUUGACGUGGGUUGCUUCAAAAUUAAGAUCUUCAUGUUAGAAUGAAAAGCAAAAACUGCAAUCAAUUUGGAUAAGAAAAUUUGAGUCCUGCAACUUUGCUUUUAUUAAACAAAGAAAGUAGAGCCUUACAUGACCAAGGAUUUACACUUUCGAUUAUACGAGGGCUUCAACAGGAAAUCAAAUUCUAGUCAACAUUGCAGACUCCACAAUUAUUUGAAAUUAUAAAAGGCUGCAAGCGGUUAAAAAAUGAAAAAUGGCACUUGCUUUAGCCACGUUGUUGGAGAUUGGAGAAAUGGUGAUCAGGGAACGGAUGAAGUGGAGCAUGAAGCUAAGCUGGCAGUGGAAAAUGAAAUAAAAAAAAAUUAAUUAAUUUUGAUUUUUUUUUUUGCAUGAAAUGAGAUAUGAUGAAUCAAAAUUAAAAAAAUUUAUUCUAUCAAAGUUGAAAGCUCAAGAUACAAAUAUAAUCAAGCAUCAAGAUGAGACCAAAUUUCAAGGUUGUCUCUUUCGCAAUACGCAGAACAUUUGUGUAUGUGAUUAAAUUUUGAGAGAGUAUUUGUAGAUAAAGUAAAUUUAUGGAUGAAUUACAAAGUGUUAUAUAAAUUAAGUUAAAAUUAUUGUGGGUCAAAGUCAAAAUUAUCAUGUGUCAUAAUUAAUUUAAUUAAGAGAUUGAUUAAUAAAAAUAAAAUACUUAAAAGUGAUAAUAUCAAGUAAAUUAAUAAGAGAUAAUUAAAAUUAUUUUGUUGAAGAGAAGAUUGAUUAAAAAAAAGUGAGAAGUGAAAGAAUUGGCAUAUAAAGUUGUAAUACAAACAGUAAUGAUGGAAGAAAUUGGAUGAUAACAUCAUAUCGAGAAUGACAAUUAAAGAAAAAAGGAUUAAAAAGUCCAAACAUCUUUAUUUCACAUGUUUCACGACGACACAAUAAAAAGAAUUUGUGCAUGAGAAAAAGUGAAAAAAAGAUAAAAUGAUGGGUGAGGUAAAAAAUUGAGAGGGUAUAAAUGGAGCAAAACAAAGCAUCAUAAGAGCGUUGUUGGGAGUAGGGCUUUAGUCUCUUUGAUUGACACUCUGCUCCACAUAAAAAAAAAGAGGGCAGCAGACUUUGCAUCUCUGCCCCUUUUUGCUCUUUUGCUUAUUAGCUUAGCUUUCUCCAUCUGCCACUUUCUCCCUUUCCUUUCAUCAAAGUAAGUUCGGGUUUUCCUCUUUAAUGUUUAUAUACGUGUUUCUACGUAGGAUUCUUGAUUUUGAUUACCUUUUCUUUUUCUAACAUAUGUUGAAUGAAUGAAGCAGGAAUAAGGGAAGGUGAUUUAUAUAUAUGAUGGGGGAGAGGAUCCCACCAGGGAGUUACUUUCAGUAUCCGCCUUCUGGAGUUCCUGCUUCUCCUCAUAGGGCUUCUUCUCUUCCUACAGAUCGUGAUAGGUCCGAUUUUUUUUUUCUUAAUUUGCUUUAAUCAAUCAAAGCCCAUGUUCUGUUUUGGUUCUUUUGGGAAAGUUUUACUCCAAUUUUUGAUGGUUUUCUUUUAUUGAUCUAAUAAUUGAAGUUUCUUCUGCUGAUCGAUAUGGGUUCUUGAAGUUGUUUUAAGGAAAAAAAACUUUUCUGUUUCUAUCUUCUUGUUUUUGCAUGAUUGAUUGUUAUGUUUUCAAUUGAUGGUUAUGUUCUUUUGCCCCUCAGGUUCAUAGUUCAUUUGUGUAUGCUUUACAUAUUCCAUUUUAUCUAGAUAUGGUUUUACUUUAUCAUUGUUAUCUUCAAUGUUAACUUACAAUCUAACAAUGGCAGAUAUUUAGCUGAAUUAUUGGCAGAGAAACAUAAGUUGGUACCUUUUACCCAAGUUCUGCCUCUAUGUACCAGGCUCGUUAAUCAAGGUUAUUGGUUUUUUUCCCCUUUUUUCUGCAAUAUAAGAUUCAUUAGCACUUAUCAUUGGUAUCGUUGGAAACUGGUUUUGAUUAUUUUUUGGUUGAAUGAACAUCACACUAAAAGUAAAUCUAUCUGUAUCUAUUCAUGUUAUGCGCUUCUCAAGGAUGUAAAUAUAAGUUUCAUUUUACUAGAUUGUUAUCUUAGAUUCAUCAUCAUGAGUGCAUUGUCGGUUUGCUUCUUCCAAGAAUAAAUCUCUCAUGUUAACGAUAUUGAACUGAAAUUGUAAACAAACAACAGCCUAGUACAAACUGUCCACCUAGCUAUAGUUGAUCUACUAUUAGUCUAAACUAGCAACAUAUGAUUUUAAGUUAUUACAGGCUGAAUUUAUCCUAGACUAGAUGGUUGUACUAAAACAUGUGGCCUAAGCCAAAAAAUAAACCCCAAAUGUUCACUUUUACCAUUGAGGUAAUUUUGACUGCAUAUUGUCACUUUUGUUUUUUUCUCAUGUAACUGCAGAGAUCAGAAGGGUCUCAAGUCUUACUCCUAGUUUUGUCGAUCAAGAGCGAUUUGAACAUGAUAGUCCUUUCAGGUCAUUAGGUCAACAUCCCAAUGGGAGACAGAUGGAUUUGGAGGGUUGGUCUGUAAUGCAAACAGAGGUAAUGCUGCUUAAUGGUUAUAUACAAAUCUAUUGUUUUAAAUUAAAAUUUUUAAUUGCUUACCAGCUUAAUAAAUUUCAACUGCCUUGUUAUUGGCUCCCACUGUGAUUAAUUCUUACGAUGAAUAAUUUGCUUCUCAUUAAUAUUAAAUGGAAGGAAGAUGAAAUUUGUUAAAUGUUGUUAUCUUGCUUCCAGGAAAAUGGGCAUAUGGAACGAGUUCCUCCAAUUCAAGCUGCAUCAGUGGGUUGGCCCGGUUUGCCUAGAGCCCCUACAACACCGAUUGUAAAGAGAGUUGUUAGACUUGAUGUUCCUGUGGAUAAAUAUCCAAAUGUAAGUUAUGUUGAAAAUUGUUUGUUUUCAUUUUCUUCUUUUGUAAGAUAAUAGGUCAGACUCAGUGCCCUUGCAGUACAAUUUUGUUGGCCGAAUUUUGGGACCACGGGGAAACUCCCUAAAGAGAGUUGAAGCCAUGACAGAGUGUAGGGUGUACAUAAGAGGCAAGGGUUCAGUCAAGGAUUCUGUAAAGGUGAAGUCAGUCAUGAAUUCUUUUUAUUUCCAGCAAGUAAUUUUGGUAAAAGAGUGUAGUUUGAUAUGCACCAUAGGUCAAGUCUUAAGCUACUUCUAGCUUGGUCAUUUAUACAAGUUCUGAUUAUAAUGGAACCGUGCAAUUGUUUUCUACUUUCUCUUGAAAAUUGGAGUGUAGCUGGUUCUUGGGCUAGUUUUAGGAGCAUGUUUUUCAUUUUUUUCCCUCUCAAUGGCAUUUUAAAUUGUAGGUGAUGUGAAAUUUGCUCAUGUAACUUCAUAUAUGCUAGUAAUCUGCUUCUCCGUUUGCAUAUGACAUGCUUUGCUGCCGAUUUCAGUAUCAUGUUUAUUUGGGUUUUGUUUUGGGCUUUUUGCUGUUUGUCUCUUGUUUAUAGUUAAUGUGUAUUUUAUGCUUUUCACUUUUCUACUACAAGAAGCAAAAAGUAAAAGCAUCAUCGAAAUGGCAACUUAGUCUUUUGCAUUUUUACAAGUGACUAUUGUGGAUCAAUCAAUGCAGUGAUCACCUUUACUACAUAAAGUAACUCCUUAAAUACAGUAGUGCAUGAGCUAGUUCUGACAGUUUCUGGUUUAAGUAUAAGAUCAAGUUUUCCUUGGUUGUUUGCCCACUUGUUAUCCAUUCCUACUUCCUUUAAAUUCUCACAACUGGCGGCUGGCUUUUUCUACAGGAAGAGAAACUGAAAGAUAAACCUGGAUACGAACAUCUUAAUGAGCCACUGCAUGUGCUGGUGGAGGCUGAAUUUCCCGAGGAUAUGGUAAAUUCUCGUCUGGAGUAUGCUGUUGCGAUACUAGAUAACCUUCUGAAGCCAGUGGUAUGAAUGAGCAAAAGCAAUUUCUGCUAUCUUCUAUGGAUAGCUAACCCUUCCAUUCCAUUUCUGUUUUUGUGCUAACCCUUCUCCAUUCCACCAUUUCCAGGAUGAAUCCUUGGAUAGCUAUAAGAAACAGCAGCUUAGGGAGUUAGCUUUGCUAAAUGGUACCUUAAGGGAAGAGAGCCCAAGCAUGAGCCCAAGUAUGAGCCCAAGCAUGAGCCCAGGUAUGUCGCCUUUCAACAGUACGGGAAUGAAGCGGGCGAAGACGGGAAGAUGAAGAAAUCCCUUGUUUUCUGCUGGUUCUGAUCAUCAAUUGAAAUCGAGAUGGCUUGGCUUGGCUUUUGUGAUGGAUGAUGUAUUUCACCUUAACUUAGGGAGGCUGAGUUAGGAAGAUCUAAGUCAAAACUCCCAUCAGUUUUUGGGCUGCAUAUGGGUUUUCUUCUCCACUGAUAUUCCUUUUCUUUUCCUUCUUUUAUGUAUUAUUCAUUGCCCCUCCCAUAAGGUUUGACGUCAGUCUCUAUUUCCACUAGUUCGAAAAUAACUUGUUUCCCUAAUUAUUUUCGCCUGCUUCCGAUGUGCUCCCAUGAUUCUUUGUACUGACAAUUUUACAUGCAUAUUUCUAUGUAUGCCCUUCGUCAUAAGAUACAAUCAGUCCCUUGUAUUAUCUUUUAUCUUCAUAGCAAGUAUUAUCUCUCUAUCUUGUUCAUUUUACGUUAGUCUGGUUUUGCUUCCACUGGUAUUAUGCUUCUAUAUCCACUACAAUUUCUGGAAUUCAUGGCUGCCUUCUUGCGAGGAUUAAUGAAAUAUGCAAAGCAAAAUGAUGCAAUCUUGUAAAACAAUAGAAACUAUAUCUCCUUAAUAUAACAUAAAUAGAGCAUUUCAAAUCCAACAUCUGAGAACAUAAAAACUUAAUUGUAAUGUUACCUUAAUCAAAAACUGAAAACAGCGAUCUAUAAAUAAAACCUGACAUGCAAAAAGGUACCAGAAAUAUAAAAAAGUAAAAUUAAGAACAUAUUCUAUCACUUAAAGCACUUGGCAUCCAAGAGAGGCUCUCCCUCAAAUGGCUCGCAGUCUUCAAUCAUCUGAUUCACCCGUUCCUUCUGGGCUGCAUCUGACAGGUCAACCUUCUUCCACUCGUAGAGUUCCAUGUCAUAGCACUCGUCAAUCACAAAUUGAGGAAUCUCUUGCCCACGGAAAAGCCAUAGUCCUUUCACCUUGAAUGGAGGGUUAGCACCGAUCACCAACAUCUUCCCAAAUGCAUACUUGCGGGCCAAAUCCAUUCUCUGCAGGAAUCCUCCAACCUUGUUCAUUGUGACAAAUGAAACUGUAUUCUCCUCAUUGUACUUGUAGUCACAAAACCACAGUGAGUAUCCCUCGGGAUCAUACAUGUCCCAGAAUCCUGACACGAAUCAAGUAUCAGAUAUCACAAGCCCAAACAUUGCUUUUAAAAGGGAGUGCUACUGUGAAAACAACAGGGAUACCUUUAAUUGCAACCUCUCGGAAAUUGGUCUUUGUGUUAGAGUAAAGCCUCUUCCAGUCAUCCAGUACCAUCUUACUUGGAGGCAGCAAAUCAAGAGGAUUCUUUGGUUUGGGCUUUGGUGCCUCCUCCUCCUCAGCUGCCUCUGCCUUUGCUGCCUGUUUCUCAACCUCCUUUUUGGCUUCUUUCUUUGGUUCAGCCUUUGGUUUAGUUUCUUUUGGCUGGGCAGCAGGCUUCUUUGAAGGAACAGGUGGUAGAGAGACUGCCUGCUUCACUUCACCAAGAAUCUUCUUGAUUUUUGGCUGAUUAACCAAGGUCCAAAAGUACCUCUCAACAUGAGGGAACUCCGAGGUAAAACUCUUAGUCAUGAUCUGGGAGAAACCCAAGUAGAGGUUACAUGUCAUGAUAAUGUCAGCAAGGGUGACAAAAUGUCCAACAAGAAAUGUGUUGGAAGCAAGAUGAGUGUUCAAAGCGCCAAGGGCUCUCUUCAAUGCAGCAAUAGCAGCUUCCUCAGCCUACAUGCAAAAUACAUAUAAGAGAUUAAAAUGAAAUAGGUAGGCAAAAUCAUACCAUUGAAUUAAAAUGAACUACUACUGAAUUACAAAAAUAAAAUUUAACUCUUAAUAUAGAUUAAUAAAUACAUCAGAAUGGGGGAGAAAACAACCUAGUCUCUUAAAAAAAUAAUGAGGAGAAAACCCAUGCCUACUUGAUUAUCAAUGCAAUGGGCAUUCCCUUCAACCAAAAUUACUUAAUAGUGCUUGAGUUGAUUCCUUUCCAGAAACUAUGCAGGGGAAAACACUACCACAUUAAGCAUGUACUAAAUGUUGUCUAACUAAUCCUCUCUAAAAUAAAUAAAACAAGAAUCAUAGACAGGUAAUCAAUGCCAAUUUUCCCUUCACCAUUCCCUCCUUAAUAUUUUGUAUUUCAAUGACUAAGUUGCCUUAUUCCAAUUUUAACAUAGGACCUAUUGUCUUAUAAUUAGAAAGAAACAAAGACUAAGUAUGGCCCCAGCAAAUCAAGCCCAAUUAAAAUGACAAAAGAAUCUGCGAGGAAAGACAGUAGAACUUACUGGAGGAAGGUAAACACCGUAACCAAGUCUUGGAUACAACCAUUUUGCAAUAUUAGCAUCAAUUUCCAUGGCUGCAAAAUCAAUCCAUUGCUCGAUAUGACCCUAAGAAAGCCAAAGUAAUACAUACAAACAAUUACUUCCAUGGUUUAAAAUAAACUUAACUGAUGACAGAAGAAUACAAGACCAUUGUACUAUAAGAAUCUUACAUAAUCAAUCAAUGUAGAACCACAUAUAGGGUUGUUAACCUUUGAGCGAGCAACUGCAGAGAAAAGUAUACCAAUAAGUAAAAACAAACAUUAGAGGAAGAAAAUUUAGGAUAUGGAGUCAGCAGAUCUUCUCACCAUAACGAGCAAUGGCAUUGCUCUCAAAUACAGGACCCUCAGGUGUUUCCAACACAGGAACCUAGAAGAGUUAUAAAUAUCUUCAGUGAACAGACCUAGAAAAAAGGUUACAUAACAUGUAUAAAAAAAAUUCUCUAGUUUAAAUCUAUUAAUAGGCGUUACAAGGUCACCUUCCCCAAAGGGUUCAUCUUGAUGAACUCAGGAGUCUUAUUUGACACACCCAUCUCAAAAUUUUCAACCAUUUUGACCUGCACACCACUAUAUUCUGCAGCAAUGAGUGCCUUAAAGGCAUUUUUGUUUGUUUUUCCUGCAUGCAAGACCUGCAUGUAAAUCAACACACCACAUUGAUUAGAAGAACCGGUUGAUUAAGAAGUUGAAUUGAAUGUCAAACACCAGUCAAUCCCUACAACGAAUCCAGUAAAAUCCUGAAAUUGAUCCUUUUCGCCCCAUAAAUUCUCUUAAAGACCAUUCACUUUACAUUCUAAACUACUAACCGGUACUUAGCAUUUCCAUCUACCAUACACAAUUAACCUAAUUGACGUAACAUCUCGCCAUCCAUCUUUCUUCUGGUCAAUGGUUCCCAGUUGAAAUCGAAGGUGGUAGAGUUAAAAUCAAAAUCAAUUUUUUUAUCGUUAUGAUUAGUAUCUACAAAUCCAUAAACUAUUCCAUUGAUAGUAAUUAUAUAAAACAUAUUCAAUGUGCCACUUCUUUCGCAAUGUAAAAAAGCUAGUUACAAUUUUCACUUUCUAAUUCUACUCGAAAUAACUUCCACUUAAUCAUUAGGUGUCAAUUCUUUCAACAGUUAAACUACCAAAAGAAAUGAAACUAAUAUAUAUGCACAGAUAUAAAGCUUACCAGAGCCAUGGCUUGAUAGAAAAGAGCGCUACGAUUUGAGAACUGAGAUCUGGAAAAAAAAAAACAGAGAACAAAAUAAAAGGAAUAAGGAAAAAUAUUCAAGCAGGAGAACUUGAUUCCCAUGUAUUAAGGAGUAAAAAUGAGAGAAAGGAUUAAGAAAGAACCUUGAAGACGAAAUCGCAGCGAGAAGGAGCGGGAGAGACUGCGGGACAAAGAGAGAAUAAAAGAAAGGGGGACUAGGGUUUUUGUAGAGUAGAGCGAGUGUGAUGUGGGGUUAUCAGUUCGGGUUCCGGUUUAGAUCCAGAUUUACUAACCCCUUUCUUUUUCCGGUUUUUUUAAGCGUGUCUUUGAGGUAAUAAGUCAUUUCAAGAAUAAUUAAAUAAAAAUAAAUUAUAUAAAAAAUUCUCAUAACCAUUGAACCAUUGUUUUUCUCCAAUUUUCCUUUUCACAACAGUUUUGCUUUUUAUGUAAUUACACACAACUAAUUGAUCUGAAUCGAUUGGAUCACUAAUUUUUAAUUUAAUUGUUUAGAUCACUCUGAACAACACUACUUUUCUCAAAUUUUUUAUCUUGUGUCUAUUUUUUUUAUUACCAAUAUAAAUUAACUUGGAGUAUAAUGAUUUAUAUUUUUGCUCAUGCUUGAGGUUGUUUGUUUAGAUAAAAGUUAACUCAAGUGAGUUGUAUUUAAUUAAAAACUCUAUUGGUUUGAGUUCAAACAUUAUUAUAUGUGAAGUUUUAUUUUUUAAAAAGAUUAAACUACCCUCGAAUAAUCUAAUUUAUUUUAAAUAUGAAAAACAUUUUUGUAAUUUUUUGAGUUGAUGUCCGGUUAACUCGUAUCACUAACUCAACCAAGGGUUUAAAUAAUAGUAUAGAUUAUUGCAUUUUAAUUAAUUUUUAGAAGGAAUUAUUUCUAAAAAUAUGUUUUUUUGGUGCACCUCAAUAGUCAACACUAAUAACUCAUUUCCCUAAACUCUAGACCCCUAAUUUCAACAAAGUGUAUAAUUGUUGAAAUGUCCACUUGUUGGUCUAAGUGACAAACGCAAAGCACCAAGAUCAUUUUUUAUGCACUAAAUCAUCCACGGUGUUAUUAUAUUGGUUUACCUCAAAUCAAACAAUUUUUACUGAUCCCCAUUGUAACUACUACAAUAGAAAAUCUUACCCAUGCCCCUAAACCUAACAUUCAACUCGAUGAUUUUUGUUAAUCAUCGUGCUUAAACAAACCCAUAAAAAGUUUACAUGUAUAAUUGAAAAACCUUAACCUAUCUCCUUAAACCGUAAAUCCCCAUAGUUGUGGGUUGAGUAAGCUAGAAACCAUGGGGAUUUUUUGAACUUGGCAUCUCUUUCAAAUAACAUAAAAACCCUAACUUAUUUUCCUAAACCUUAACCCUAAAACUUUAAUCCCCAAACAAAACCUUAAACACUAAAUAGAAACAUUUAAUAAAUUCCCAUCAAAUUCUUUCCUCUAAGGGUUUUUAUGCAUCUCUAAUUUCAAUAAAAAGUAACCUCAACUCUCAAAUUCAGAUGCCUUUUGUGAUAAUGGAUUUCCUCAAGUGUUAGAGCGCCAAUUGAGUAUGAAAGCUUCUUUUAAACUAACUUUAAAUAGGCUUUAGGGUUUAUGAUAAACCUUGUUUAUGAUUAGUAUGAAAGAUUUCACUAUAUCAAAACAAUGUUUCAACACUUAUGGAAAACCAUGAUCUAAAUCAAGAGAGUUCAAGUUUUCCUUGAUUGAAGUUAGAUUUUGGUUGAAAUCAUUGAUCUAAAAGUGAUAGUAGCCAGAAUAGGUUGGAGGAAAUUAGUUUUAAAGGACUUUAUCAAAAUUUUAAUUUAGGGUUUAAGGUUUGAGGGGAAAAGGUAAAUAUUUAAGGGUUAAAAGAUUUUGGUUUGGGGUUAGAAGGAAAAGGUUAAGGUUCAACUCUUGUUCAUUAGGUAAAUUGACUACGAUCUUGACACCCAUGGGUUGUUCAGUUUUAGUAUUAAUAAAAUGCAAACAAAUACAUAACAAACAAUUCUUCAUCUUCCAAAAUCAAAGCUAACCACUAUUUAAAGAUAUUGAGUUUAGUACCCUAAAUGUAGUAUAUUUAUUUUGUAUAGUUGUAUUUUUCGAGAAAAUUGGUUUAAUAAAAAUAUUCAUUGAUUACAUUAAUAGCCUUUGUAUAUUAUCCUCAACGAUUUUGUAUGCAAAGAAAAAUGGAAACAAAGAUUGGCUCACUAGUUAUCUAACAUUUAACAAAUGCUAAAUGGUAUUACGUGGUCGGAUAGUAAUACAAAAAAACAACUUAUAUUAGUAGAUAAACCUAAAUAAGUCAUUAGUCUAAUUGGAAAUGAGCAAGCCGCUUUAAAGACUUAAGUCGUCUACCAAGUCCAAUUGGGGAGAUGCUUUGUCUUGAGCAUCAAAACGAAGGACUCCCAGAAGAUAGAGACAUAGAUGUCACUGACUGGACUGACAAUACAUUGGACAUGACCUAAGUAGGAUAGAUCCUAGAUUGUUUUAUGAAUUUAUUCACUUGAGACAUUCAUAGUGUGACAUACCUUAAUCCUGAGUGGAUGAUGGACUAUGCAUGUAUGACUCAUAUACUUUGAUGGAAGUAAAAGCCUAAAUUCAAAUAAAUAAGGAACCGAAAAAUCGGUAUAUUGCGUAUACGACUUCUACAACAUAUAGCAUCAUUCACAAUAGUGGAAUUCAUAGCUCAAAUAAUAAGUAAAUGAUAUCCUCUCAUUGGCAUUACAUGAUAGAUGAAAAGUAAACAUGGCCACGAGUCAUUUGUCUUUGUGAUAAAUGACUUGAUUACUAUUUAAUAGUACUAGGGACUGCAAACCCUAGUAUAUUUAACUAGGGUUGUCGCCCCGCCCUCCAAUCCUAGUUAGACUAGGAUUAUGUUUUUCUAUUGAAAUAGACUUCUAAUAAUUCAACAAGGGUUUCAAUUCUUCUCCCUAUAAAUAGAUGGAAACAGUAAGGCUAAAUACAAAACUUUGAGAUAUUGUUAUUCUGCCCGAAAAUAGUGAGAAUUUAUUUUCUAAGUAUAAAUUCUAUUUUCUAGAAUAACAAUUCUAUUGGUUUAUAUUAAAGAGAGAUUUUCUUUUCCACUAAAAGUAAAGUAAAUAAUUUAUGGUUCUGUGCUUUAUUUGAAUUUGUUCGAGCCCACAAUCGAAGUAGUUCGUGGUACAGGAAUAACAAAGAAGGCCAUUCGAUUGAAAGCCAAGAAUGACAAGGACCCGUUUAGUCGAAAGCAUAAGUGCAAUUUCUGUAAAGGUUUUAUUGAUAUAACUAUCACAAAUCGGUUUGAUUUUCAAAAUUUAAAUUUUUCACUGGGCAAAAAAACUGUUUUCAAAUCAAUUUUUUUCCAACUUUCAUAUUAACCAAGAAAUAAUAACUAGACUUAUGAAAGAUGAUACCUUAAGUUUGCUUAAGGAAAUUGAUAUUCCACAAUAUGAAUAUUGCUUGGAAGGUAAGAUGACUAAGUGAUCUUUUAAUGCAAAAGGAAUGAGGGUUGUGAAAUCUUAGAACUUGUGCACACUGAUAUAUGUGGCCCUAAGAACGUCAGUGUGCGAGGUGAUUAUGAUUACUACAUAACAUUUAUAGAUGACUAUUCCAGAUAUAGGUAUGUAUACCUAAAGCACCGUAAAAGUGAAACUUUUGAUAAAUUAAAAGAGUUUCGUGCAGAAGUGGAGAAAGAACUAGGUUUACCCAUAAAGACACUUCGGUUUAAUCAAGGUGGAGAAUACUUAUUGGAUGAGUUCUUUGGUUACCUCAUAGAGAAUGUAAUAUUAUCUUAAUUAACCGCGCCAGGAACCACACAACAAAAUGACAUGGCAGAGAAAAGGAAUCGAACCUUGUUGGACAUGGUUCAAUUGAUGUUAAGUUAUUCAUAGCUUCGAGUCUCCUUUUAGAGAUAUGUUUUACAAAUGACUUGCUACAUUUUGAAUGAUGUACCAACUAAGUUUGUACCUAAAACUCCAUACGAAAUAUGGAAUGGCAGGAAGCCAAGUCUAAAUCAUUUAAGGAUUUGGCGAUGGCCAGCCCACGUGUUGGAUAAAGAUGUGAGGAAAUUGGAUUCACAGAUAAAGUUGUGUAUGUUUGUGAGAUAUCCAAAAGUAAUAAAGGGUGGUUUGUUUUAUAACUCGAAAGAGAAAAUAUUGAUAGUGUCGAUUUAUGCUCCUUCAUUGAGAGGAGUUAUACGAACGACUUUAAAUCUUGAAGUAAAGAAGUACUUGAUGAACUUUGAGGAAGUACACAAAUCCUUGGUUUUAAAUCCAACUUCUAAUAAUAGACUUGUAAACAAUCAUCAACAUAAGGAGCUUCAUUGUAGUGAGAAGGUUUCUCGUAAGCCCGAGUUCUUCUAGUCUAGCAGAAGUGUUUUAAACACUGAGUUUUUUGAACAGGAAGAUGAUGACCAACUCACAUUUAAAAAAAUGAUGCUGAAUGCUGAUUCCAAGCUUUGGGAAAUAACUAUAAAAUCUGAGAUGAAUUCUAUGAAAUCCAGCUAAAUGGAUAUACAAGAAGAAAAGAAUGUGAAUGGAAAGUGGAAACUUAUAAGGCUAAACUUGUAGCAAAGGGGUAUACUCAGAAAGAAGGUAUCGAUUACGAAGAAGCCUUCUUUUUGGUUUCCAUACUCAAGUCAAUCUGUAUAUUGUUAUCCAUUGCGACGACUCUUAAUUAUGGAUCUGUCAAAUGGAUGCCAAGCCGAUAUUCUUUAAUGACUAUCUUGAAGAAGACACUUAUAUGAUGCAACCCACUCGAUAUAUAGCUAAAGGAAAUUAGCAUAAAAUUUACAAAUUGCUUAGAUUCAUAUAUGGACUUAAGCGAGCAUCCCGCUCAUGGAAUCAAAUAUUUGAUCAAAUGAUCAAAACUUUUGAAUUUGAGCAAAAUAUUGAUAAACUUUCUGUUUAUAAACAUAUUAAGGAUGGAAAGAUGGUUUUUCUUAUUGUAUAUGUCGAUGACAUUCUACUCAUUGGAAAUGAUUUAAGUACAUUGUCAUCGGUUAAAUUGUGAUUAACCCAACAGUUUAGCUUGAAGGACUUAAGAGAAGCUAUCUUUGUUCUAGGCAUUCGAAUUCUAAGGGAUAGAAAGAACAAAGUGAUAGCAUUAUCACUAGGUAUAUACAUAGACAAGAUAUUGAAAAUUUAUACGAUAACUGAUUCAAAAUUUAGUCAUUAUACUAUAGUGGAAUAACUUCACGACCAAAUAAGUUUAUAAUUAAUAGACGAAAAGUUGGACAUUAAUUAUAAAUUAUUUAAGCCCUAAUUACGUAUGUACAAUUGGUCCCCCCACUAGCUCGUUGAAAAAAAAAUUAAUUGCAUGUGGAACAAAAUGAAUAGAAAUGAAUGGAAAUGAUAAUGUCAGAGAAAUGAGUCACAUUAACAAAUUAAUGUGUUUUCUCACCAGGUAUAGAAAUGAAUUGAGAAAUUAAUUUAAGGUUUUCGAAUGAUUAUUUAAUUAAUUAUAAUUAAAUAAUUGAAGUUAAAAAAUGAAAUGAAAUUAAUUUUCUAUUAUGAAUGCUUUGAAUAAUGAAAUUAAAUAUACUUCCUCAUAAAAUCUUUUACAAUAAAGUUGUUAUAACUUUAACGGAAUUAGAAUUGAGUUGAGAUAAUUAUUUAAUUGAGUAAUUAAUUUAGUUAAUUAAAUUAAUUAAUUAAAUAAUAUUUAUUUUUGAAAAUAGAAAAUAAACAUUAGGUUGGAUUAAAUCAUAAAAUGCUAGGUUAAAAGUUUAGGAAACUCAUAUAAUUGAACCCAAUACAUGAGAGGUCAAAUUUGUCCCGUAUAACAUGUGAGCAACAACAACCCAAAGGGAAUUUAAGAGGAUGUGUUGCCUCCUCUCUCUUAGUUAGACAAAGAGAGUGUUUUCUAUUAAAAUAAUUGUUGAGUAUGACUCCUAUUUCAGUCAAAUUUGAAAAAUAAUCUUCUAGUUAAACUCUGUUUAUUUGUUUCAAUCAAAUUAUGAUUAGUCUAGAUUAUUUUUUUAUUAUUUGACCUAUGAAUUUAGCCUAUAAAUAGGCUCUUUUACAACUUUAGAAAAUACACCCAUUAGAGAUUAGAACUCAUACACUUUUGGAGAAUUUUUGUGUUUACAUUUUGAGGGUUCUUUGUUUUUUGGGGUUUCAGGGUUUAGUUUCUAUCUUCAUCUUUGUACUAUUCGUUCUUUUUUCAUUAUAGUAAAAUUAUUUUUGCCCGCAGUAUUUUAUCUUCUUUGGAGGGGUUUUUCUACGUUAAAUUUGUGUGUUCAAUUUCUCAAUUUCUUCCGGUAUUUUUACUUGUUCGUUGCUUAAUUGGGUCAAUCCCCAACAAUAACAUUAUUUGUUUAAGCCUUAUUCAACCAAGAUUCUUCUAUCUCUCUCUAUGAAUAGAUAGCACCGAUUGACUUAAAAAACACACUUAUUAGUUAUUGAUUUAUCGUUAUUCUACCAAAAAAUAGUGAUAAUUUAUUCACUUAGAAUAAAUUAUAUUUUUUGGGAAUUACGAUUUUUACCAGUUUCUUAAGAGAAUUUUUUUCCUACUGAAAGUAAUAAUAAUUUCUUGUUCGUUGUUUGGUUCGUGUUUCUCGAGCCCACGCUCAACCCAAAUCCAUCUUGCACAAUGUAUAGGUACUUUUUGGUAAAACGUUUAUUGCUAUAAACAUCAUAAAUCGGUUUAGUUUUUAAAAUUUUUAAACUUCUGCUAUAACUAUAAAUCGUUAUGAAGGAUUUUGAAGAACCAUAUUUUUAAGUGGGACCGUGUGUAUUAAAUCAAAUAAAAUUAUGAAGAAUUUUGAAAAACCACAUUUGUAAGUGGAAUUGGAAAAAGGAAAUUGAGCUACUGAGAUCCCCUCUUGAAAUUACUUAUAAAUUCUGAAAUUCUUUAAUAUAUUUACCCAAACAAAUAAAUUCAUUUUUAUAAAUUUAAAAAUCUUGAUAAAAAUAAAAUCCCUCCUAUAAAUCCCUCACCCAAACACACUUUUAAGUACCUAUGCAAGUUAGGAAGCAAAUGAUGACAAGGACUCAUCACUUACAAAUGAUCCAUUAGAAUGUCUGACCGGCAUUACACGUGUGUGCAUAAAACAACAAAUUUAUAAAAAAAAAUUUAUAGCAAGGUUUUACUGCAAUCAUGCAGGUUAGUUGUAAUAUUUGUAGUGUUACAAUGGAACACCAAAAUAUUCCAAGGAUCGAACUCAAAGGAGUUGGUGAUUUAAUGAUCUGCCACGAAUUAUUGACCGCCUUCAGACAUACUAACAUCUAGAGUGUGAAUAUUGCAGCAAAAGAUAUAUAUAAAUGAUGCGGUAUCUGCAAGUACACGGGUCAGGUUGUAAUAUAGUUACAACGAAGUAUGUGAGUACUCUGAGGAUCGUACCCAAAGGAGGCUAAUACUAGCUCAAUUUCAACCUAAACACCAAAAGAUCUAAUUAGUACUUGAAAUAAGUUAUAUUACGAAAAUAUAAAUAAUAGAGAUUUUUGGGGGUUUUUUAUAGUAAUGAAAAUAUGACAAGUAAUUAAAUAUUGAGAAAUUGAAAAGUGAAAUUAAUCAAAUCUGAUUAUGGGUGAUUAGCUCACUUCAGUAAUCUUCAUCAACUGCCGCUUUAGGUUCCUCAUCAAUCAACUAGUUGAUAUCCUAGUAGAAUCUUCCGAUGGAUCCACUAGAACAAUAAGUCAGCAAUGACUACUUAUCUUCUGACCUCACAGUCUAGACCGGUUUGAGGUGAAGGUGUUUACAGAUAGGCCAUAGCAAUUUUAGGUUAAUUUCCACCUUGAUAACUUCUUAGGGUCGUCAAGCCUAGGUUUUACGUUCUUCUUUUCCCAAACAGCUGAUCUGUUGAGUAAUCCUACAAAACAGUUAAUAUAUCAUAGCUCCACUCGCUAAUCCCCCAUAAAAGGAUUAGUUCCUCAUGGUUUUCGUAAACAAUAUAAAGUUGAUAUAAAGUGUAAACAUGAUAAUUGAAUCGAAAGUAUAAAGUUUAAGAAAAAGCCUGAUUUGUAUUACGAAGAAGAAUGAAUCCACAAAGUUUAAUCGUAUCCACAAGUCAUAUUUCCUGAGAUAAAACAAAGAACAAGCUGAAAUAAAUAUAAAACCUAAGAAAAGAUAAAUACUAAACUAAAAAUAAAAAGAAAGAUUCUAAGCUAAGUAAUCAGUGUCUAUAACAUGUGCCAAAUGAGCCUAUUUAUAGAUUUGAGGUGAUCGUCGUCCUUAACCCUAGGUUAGCUGACAUUCCCGAACUUUAAGUUGGAUUGUGCGGACCAAAAUACCCCCUGGCUCGUAUUAAUUCCCGUCAAGAGUUGAUGUUGCGACACAUCAAAACCUGUGUCGCGACAUAAAAGUCAGUAUACUUUUCUUCAAAGUGUCUUUAGGGGUAUGUCGCGACAUCCUUAAGCUGUGUCGUGACAUCAAAGGAAAUCUUAGAAUUCCUCCAUUCUGCUCCCUAUGUUGCAAUAUCGAAUCCUCUGUGUUGCGACAUAGUGACUAGUAUCAGUUUAGCACGCCUCCUAAUGGUCUCCUAUAUACUCACAAAGUUCAUUAGCUCACCCUUAGACCUCGUUCGACCCCUAAGGUCAAGAAAAGACUCAAUUUAUACAUUUUGUUGAAUUUAAUUAAACUUACUAAAACAUAAUUAAAAUCUAAUGAUAAUGCUUAUUUUCAAGCUCUUAAAGUGAAAAAAUUAGUUUAAUCUACUAACCCAAUUAUGACAGAUCAAUUAUAUUAUUAUUAUUUAUAUCACUUUUUACACGUAAUUUUAGCUUGUUUAAUAGUAAAUAAAAUUAUCUUAGUAUAUAUUUAUGUUUUCAUACUUGAAGUAAUGAUGUAUGCUUUUUAGUAGUUUUUAUUACAUUUUAGAUAUAUAAAUAUGGUUGCAUGGUCCUGUAGGACAAUCUGGGAGCAAAAGAUGCAUAUUCAUGAUGGAACUGUUGCCUAUGUCGCGACACCAACACAUCGAUGUUGUAACAUCAAAGGCAGAAGCAAAAACAAGUCAAUGAGCGAAACUGCUUGGUAUGUCGUGACAUAGCCUUACUAUCUUGGAGCGAAGACCUAAUAAAUUGUACAUAAAUUGAAACCUUGAACUCUUCCUUAUCCUUGGUCUUUUAAUACAUUACAAAAUAGACGUUAGGCUAUAGAUAUUGAGGGUUUAGGUAUAUACAUCAUGGUGGUUUCAAAAAAAUUUAGAGCGAAAAAAGAAGAAACAAUAUGAUACAAUGAUUAUAGGUCAAGCAAAAAUGUGCAAAAAAAGAAAAAUAUAGAAAAAGUAAAAAGUAAAAAUAAGAAGAAAAAGUACAAAAUAAAAGCAAAAGCCUUAUGAGUGAGAAAAAAAGUAAAAUGUCAAGUGGCAAAACAAAAAGUCACAAAAGUGAGAAAAACUCAGUCAUCAAUGCACAAAAACUCGUUGAGCCAACCAUAGUUAUUAGUAUUAUAUUGUAUCUUCCUACAUGGAGAGAUAAGGAAGGUGAGAGAGGGAGAAAAAAGAAGGUGAGCUUGAAAGGGGCACCUAGAGAGAGAGGGAAUAAUGUCAUGUGCCUAACUAUUUCUAGUGUUUGAACUAUUUUGAGCCAUAUCUUUCUUUGAACUCGUACAGUCCUAAGCCUCAGAACAUUACAAGCCUAGAAGACCAAUGUGACUUAAGCGUUCUCUGUGCAUAAUCUUCUAGUAUUGCUAAUGUAAUGACCUAAAUUCAAGGUUAGCGGAAUAGUGGUUUCGUAACCAUAAAUCCGAUUUAAAGAAAAAUUUAUUUUAAUAUUUUGCAUGAAUAUUGAUAUGAUAGGAAAACCGUAUGAAAAUAUUGAUAGAAAAAUUUUACCGAUUUAAUGGUUAGUUAGAAAAAGAAAUUAUUGAAGAAAUUGGGUAAAAAUAAGGUAUGGGGACCUUGAUCUCGUAAAACUGAGUCAGAAAUAUUUUUAUAAAUAUUUAUGAAAUGUAAGCAAUGUGGUAUUAAAAUUUUGUUAUAAAAUUUUAAUGUUUGGGUAGUCAAUUAAAUGAAAAGGACUAAAUUGAAAAAGGUGUAAAAGUGGCUGGGAUGAUUAAAUAGCUUAGGUGUCUAAUGAGAAAGGAUUUAAAAGGCAAUUAGACCAAAAUUUAUUUGGGCUGGACGGAAAGGGCAUGAAAUCAGCAAGAAAAUGGAUUAUUUAAGGGUAAAAUUGGAAUAUUGCAUCAUUAACUAAAUAAAAUUAGGACUAAUGUAGAAAUAUCUAGAUUUCUUGUGAUUUCUCUUCAUUCUCAUCAGCCAAAAGGCCAUAGGAGGGGUUCUUUAAGCUGGUAUUUCAUAAUUUUUGCACCAAGUGAGUUAAUCCUUGCCUUUUUCUUGUAAUUUUUGUGUUUCUAAGACUUUUACAACUAGGUUCUACUAUUAAAUUCAUUAGUUUUUGAUUUCAUGGAUGGAAUUGAAAGUCACCAUGGUUGAGUGCUGUAAGUUUAUGAUGAAAUAACAUGAAAUUGAAGCUUUAAUUUGUUUAUGAGAUGAUUUUAUUAGGUAAUUUUAAUAGAAAUUGAUUUUUAAGACCUAAUUGUGAAAAGUUGGAAUUAAAGUCUAGUGCUGAAAUUUUGAUUCCCAAAGGUUAUAAAGUAGUUUAAAGUGAUAGAAUAAAGUGUUAAUUGAGAAAAAUCAGCUCAAUUGAGAGGUUAAUUGAGCAGGGACGAAAUUAUCAUUUAUUAAAAGCUUAGGGGAAAAUGGUAAUAAACAUCUUGCACUAAAACAGCUUUGGACAGCAACAGUAGGCUAACUUUAAAAAAAUCACCAUAAAUUGUGGAAAUCUAAUUAGAGGAUAAAUAAAAUAUUGAAUUAAAGCUUAUUGAGUCUAGUUUCUUAUAGUAGAAACGGUGUAAGUAAUGGAAUUGUAAAUCAUGAGAUAUAUUAAAUUUUGUGAGACAAGGUCAGAAUGAAUUCGGAAUCCCCUGUUCUGAAUUUGGAAAAUCAUUAAAAAUUGGAGAAAAAUAAUUAAGGGUUAAAAUUUACAUAUUUAAACUAUUAAUGAGUCUAUUUUUAAUAGAAACAAACGGAAAUAUCAUCCAAAUUUUGUACUAAGAGAUAAUUAAUUUUUAGCAAAGAAAGGUCGAAGUUGUCAAACAACAGAACAGGGGUAAGUUUGAAGAUUUUACUGUACUCAUUGGCUGAACCAAAAAUUCUGAAAAUUUUAUGGUGAAAAUAUAUUUGAGUGUAGUUUCAGAAGCAUCAAAUGGUUUUUAAUAUGGAAUUCUGUAGCUUGAGAUAUAAAUAAUUUAGUGACUACGACUCAAGUAGACAGCUUUGAGUGAACAGUAAAUAAUAGUGGAAUUAUAGAGAAUGUUACAUAUGAACGUGAAAUGUAUUAAAUUGAUGAUUAAAUUUAUUUAUUUAGAUCCAGAAAAUUCAAAUAUGAAGCUAGAUCGAGGAAAGGAAAAAGUUCGGGAUUAGUAGAUUUUUGUAUACGAACAAGUAUCGAGGUAAGUUUGUGUAACCUGAAUUAUAUUCUUAAAUGCUUGAAAUGUAUAUUAUUGAUGUGAAUAUGAUUUAAAUGUUCAUUGUAUGAAAAUUGAUGAGACAUUGAUAUAUUUGAUAAAAAGGGGGAAAAAUCCCGGUUGAAUAAAAGGAAAAUUCGAUGGAUCUUUAAAAAGGAAUUGACGGUAAAGAAAAGAUCUAUCCCGGACAGGUGAUCCUACCCUGAUAUAGCCCUCUCGAAGAAUAUGUGUAAAAUAGAUUUAGCUCAGACGGGUAAUCUGAAUUAGGGUUUGAAUUUAGCCUGGACUAGUAAUUCAGAUCCAAGCUCAUUAGAGUAAAUUGUCGUUGUAGGGGAUUUAGCCUAGACUUGUAAUCACAACAAUACUCUAUAAGUUUAUAUUACAGGGGAUUUAGCCUGGACUGGUAAUCCUGCUGUAAGGAUGAGGUUCGCAGGAGUGUGCUCUCUGAAAUGGAAAUGUGCGCACAUGAAUAUGAAUUGACGGACCCGGAAUAGUACGCUAAAAGUGUACCUCUAAAAACCCAUCGAAAUUCCGAGAAAUUCAAUGGGAUAAAUAUGGUAAAUAAUAAGGGUAAUAGAAAACAUGGAAUUGAUGAGCUCAUCAGUCAUUAAUCUUUGUAUUGAACUCAUAUGAUGCUAUUUGAUUAAUGUUUUGGUUGAGUUUGUGUGAUAGGUAAAUGGUAAAUUGAAUGGAUGUAUGAAUAUUUAUUGUAUUGUAUUGGAAAUAUUAGGUAAGUAUAAUUCUUGUUACAUGACUUUACUAAGCACAACGUGCUUACCCUGUUUCCUUUUUCCCUGAUUUGUAGUAUUAAGAGCUCGAAGGUUGGAUUCGGUCGGAGAUACAUCACACUAUCAACUUCAACAUUUUGGUAUAUCAAGAAACUUUAUUUUGGAAUCACUGAUGUGUAUAAGUUGAUAGAGUAAAUGUUAAAGUGAAAUGAAUGUAAAGUUAGCCAUUGGUAUGGCUUGAAAUCCAGGUUUUGGUAUGUGAUGAGGUUAUCUUAUGGAUAUGCGUAAAUCUAUCUUGAAAAUAUGUUGAAUUUGAUUGGUUGAUUUGAUUUGAUAUCGGUGUAUGUUUUGGGCUUCGGAGGCCUAUCUAAGGGACGUCAUAAUAUGUUUCAAUAAAAGAAUAGUAUUUAACUCGUAAUAACGAAAAAAAAUAAUUUGAAAAACUCUGGCAAUGCCUCGUACCCUAUUCCAGUGACGAAUAUAGGUAAGGAGUGUUACAGCUAACAAUUGUACUUAAUGAAAAUUUUUUAUUCACAUGAUUGUAUCUACUCAAUAUCUAUUUGAUUUCUAUUAACGGUGAUAUUGUUAAACAUUUGGUUAUGAGAUUUGCUUCUAAUUUAUUAGUAAUGUAACUUUGUAAAGUAAUCUUAGUUUACUUUAAAAAGUUUUCAAUGCAUCGAACUAUCAAUAUUAAGUUGCAUGUGCGAUAAAAUUUUUUAUAGCUUUACUAUUUGACAACCAUGUUCGUAGUAGUAAUAAAUUCCAAGGGACGUCUUCUUUUUGCAUACUAUAUGUCUAAAGUUGGUUUGCUUGAGGACAAGCAAAAAGUUAAGUGUGGGGGAGUUACGUGUGAGAUUCUUAUUUACAUCCAUCUUCACUAACUUUAUCUUGUUUAAAUAAAGAAAUCAAGUCAUUUUCGUAUUAUUUUUUUUCCUUUUUCCCAUAUAUGUGUUUUGGUUGCUUGAGGACAAGCAACAAGUUAAGUGUGGGGGAGUGAUCUACCAGGAAUUAUACUAUUAUUUACAUCCCUUUGUAUACAUAAUUGUAUCUUGUUUAAUAGUAAAUCAAGUUAUCUUAGUAUAUAUCUAUGUUUUCAUACUUGAAGUAAUGACAUAUGUUUUUUAGUAGUUUUAUUACAUCCUAGAUAUCUAAAUAAGGUUAUAUGGUCAUGUGGGACAAAUCGGGAGCUAAACAUGCAUAAACGGGCCAAAAAUGAUGCCUAUGUCGUGACACCAAGACACCGAUGCCGCAACAUCAGAGACAAAAGCAAAACAAGUCUUGGGGUGAAACUGCUUGUUAUGUCAUAACAUAACAGGCACCAUAUUUGAUUUUGCAACACUACAUGCCUAUGUUGCAACACCACUUCUGCGCGGUCCAAAAGUCCUAGUGCGUGAUAGUUGCAUUUUUUAGGGAAAUUAGGAGAAUUUUUCCUAGUCAAACUCUAAGCACUUCAAAGAUAGUUUAGGCACUUUAAUAUUCUGAGUUUAGCCUAUAUAAAGGCCAUUGUAAUAAGUUCAAACACACAAUUUUAAGGAGACAAAAAUUAUUCUUAGGUUUUUAUUGCAUUCUUAGUUUCUACUUAGUUUAUUUUAUGUUCUUGUAAUCAAAAGAUCCUAUUCCAAAGUGAGACUUUUGCGAGCGGAGAUUGUUCGGAGCCAUACUUUCAUCGAUAAAUCUAUGAGCAUCUCUUUCCUUUAUUUUAUUCUUUAUAUUUCUUUCUUUAAAAUUGUUAAUUGAAUGUUUGUGUAAAGAUUAGAAUCAAUAUAAUUUAUAUAUAUUUCGCAUGUUUCAAUUGUACUAAUCUUAUUAAUUGAUUGAUUGAUAGAGUUUAUUUGGGUUGGUUAGAUUUGGUUGAGUGUUAUUAAACCCUAGGAUUGACAACCCUAAGAAGUCAUCUAGGUAGGAAUUAACUUGAAAUUGGUAUUGCCUACAAAGCAUCACUUAGCAAAUCAAUGGUUAGAGAAGGAAGAACUUAAACCCUAUGAUAGACGAUCCUAGGAAGUCAUAUAGGUGUGAAUUAACCCAAAUUCGGUAUUGCCUAUCCAUGAAAACCUUACCCUACCCCGAUCUGGACUGCAUCAUUGAGAGGUGAGUAGUUCUUGUCGUCUAGUUAGGUUAGUAGAAGUUGAGAAGCCCUGCUAGGUUAAUUAGUAACCAACUAUUUAGAUCCCUACAUCAAUAAUUAAUUAGGUAAAACAAUUGGAUCUAGGCUUAAGGAACUCCCGUAUUCGAAACAAGGGAUAGGAGAAGUUGAUACAUGAACUUAAGAGUAGAUUUAAGUUUAGAUCACUUUAUUUGGUUAUUAUUAUCAUCUUACUUUUAGAUUAACACUACUAAUUUAUACCUUUAGUAGAUUAGUAGUUAUUUUCGGUAAUUUGCUUAAUAGUAGUUUUUUUUUCACACUGCACAAUCUUCAGAAUACUUACCAAGUAUUUCAUUGUAAACAAACUAUAUUACAACCUGCCCCUUAUACUUGUGAACACAACCUUAAUUCCAUAUAUUUUGUAACAGUAUUCAUACUCUCAACGUUGGUAUGUCGGGAGGCAGUCAUUUAGCGAUUUCUAUUCAAAAGUGCAUGCAAGUAAGGAGACCGUGAUGGGCACAGUGAGGUGUCUAUUAGUUGAAAGCAAGUUGCCAAAGGAAUUUUGGGUUGAGGUAGUUAACACUUCAGUCUAUUUGGUGAACAGGCUGUCAACCAAGGAUGUGAAAGAAAAGACUCCAUUUGAAGCUUGGUACGGGUAUAAGCCUUUUGUUUCUCAUUUGAAAGUAUUUGGCUAUAUUUUUUUUUCAUGUACCUCAGGUGAAAAAAAGCAAAGUAGAAAGGAAAUCGUAGCCUGGGAUUUUUAAGAUGCUACUAUCUGAUUCUUAAGGAAAUACCAAUAUUUCUUCCUCCCUUGAGCUGGAAGUUGCGAUUUUGGGUUGUUAUGAGGAGAUAUUUUAUGUUUGGUUAAGUAGUAUGACUUUGUAUGCGAGUUCUGAAAGAGUAAGUUUGUUAGAUUUGGUAAAACAAAAAGAUAAAGAUAUGAGGCUUUGUUUGGGGACUUCUAAUGUUAGAAAUGUUAGUAAAAAGGUAUAUGAAUAAAUUUUGAUGUGCUUCUAUGUUCUGUAUCAGUGCUUGCUGUUGAUUUCGUAAUGAGAGUCUAGAUCUAGAGUUUUUCUUUGCGACAAGUUAGAAUCAGGUGAGUCUCUAAACUGACUCUUGUAUGUAUUAUUCAUACUAAAAAAACUGUAGGAAAUUUCUUGGAAGGUGAUGUGUGAUCUUGUAAGUUGCAGUAUGUUGUGUAUGUGACUUAGGAGUGACUAUUAAAGGAUAUAUAUGAGUGUGUGAAUGUUUGUUAAGAAUGGAAUACAUAUCUGGUAUGAAUAUGAUAGUUCUAGUAAGGCGAGGUGAGGUAUAGUUGCAUCUGAAUGUCAUGAAAGUAUAUGUGCAUGUCUUGGAUGUAUGCUAUGAGGAAUGUUCUAUUAAGAGCAAGUUGUUAUUCAAAUGGUGAAUAUGGAUCGUGUCAGUGCAUGUAGAGUAUCUGUCUGUCUUCACGGUAUUGUCUAAAGGAGUCUGUUGAGACUUUAAACACGAAUUCUGAAAAGAAAAUUCCAUGGCCAUGGCACAUUCCGAAAGGAACUAAAGGACGAGGAUUACCCAAUGGGGUUAUCUGCCUAUCCCAGGAUGAUGAUAGGCAAACCUCACGCAACGUGAGUUUAGGAAAAUCUAUAUCAUAAAUACGUCAGGAAAUGAAGCCUUUGUGGAUAACUCUAAAAAGAAAGCCUUUGUGGCUAACUCUAAAAAGGAAGCUUUCAUGGCGAACUCCAAAGGAAUAACCUCUAUGGCCAAUUGUAAUAGGAUAGCCUUUGUGGCGCAAUGUAAAAGGAACACCUGUGUGGCGAAUUAUGAAAAGAAUAGCCUUUGUGAUGGAUUAUGAAAGAGCAUCAUUCGUAGCAAACUUCAAAUGUGAUGUCCUUGUGGCGUGUCUUAAUAAGGCUCUUAGUGGGAAAACUUUAAAAGAUGUCACUUAUGGCAAUUUUUGAAUUAAGCUAAUUUUCGUAUUCAAUCUGGCUUUUAAAUGUAUUCAGAACACAAUCAACAAGGCAUAAGUUAUCUAUUAAUUAUACGGUGAAGUAUCACAUAGGACUAUCAAUCGAUUGGAAGUAUUGAAUUGAAGAGAUAUAUAGAAAUAAGGAAUUAGUAUGGAAAGUUUAUUUCAAAAUAAGGAUUUGGAAUUGUACAUUUGAAGAAGGUAUUUGUCAUCUACUCACAUGAUGGCUUAGAACUAAGUAUGGUACAGUAAUAGUGUGUUAGUUAAGUUGAUCUUGGAAAGGAAAUGCAAAGAUACUUAUAAAUGCUAGGAUGAAAGGCAUACGUGAUGUAUCGAAUACCCCAAUGGAAAAAGAGUUAAUUUUUGAGUAAGGCAUGAUAUAUAUAGUGUAUGAAGAAUGGAAUUUGAGGGAAGCAAUCGCCAAAGACAGGUUACUGGGCAAGAACAAUAAGAUCAUCUCAUUGAAUCAUCAACUGUAUUGUGCAAAUAUCACAUAGGUAAUUAUAUAUUCCUCACUUAGUUUGUAUAAACUUAUCCAUGUGUAUGUUAUAUUAUAGGUUUGAUUGCAAGGCUACACCAAGAGGGACGAUACCAGGACUACUCUAAAGGAGUGGCGUAUCGGGAAAUUAUGAAUGCAAUUAGUUGAUAUGUUCCUUAGAAUUCAUAUUUUUUUUGUAAUAUAUAGGUUUUAAAUUAGAAAUAUUUAUACCUUAAUUACCAUGUGUUGCAAAUGUAGUUAUCUACUGAACAUACUUAUAUAUUUAGUUUGAAAUCUGCAAUUGAAUAAGUUGUAAUUGUUUGAAAUUUGUAUAAGUAGGUUAAGUUUUUGUUUGUUUAUGUUGGUAAUGCCCAAGAUCUAGAUCCAAAAAAACGGACCAAGCUCAACAAAGGACUUCUCCUCGGCCAUGACUACAAUAAGCUCAGUGAUGCAUUGUCGGUGCAAAUAAUGUUCUUCCCAAAACUUCAAUCCAUCUUCAAACUAGUAGAAUGCUUCUUUUUCACUUAUAUCAGAUAUUUAAAGCAUUUAUUCACUAAAGUACUAAAUAGUGCCUUCUUGAGUAAGCCAGUGCAACUUAGCCCGAGCUUCCUUCUCGGCAUAUUAUUGGUAAAACUGUUUUUUCAUCUCCUUUUGGAACUCCUCCUAAAUUUUAAUUUUAGUCCUACCAUGUUUCUCAUCCGUGAACCUACGAUGCCACCAUAAGAGAGUAACAUCAGUAAAAUAAAUUAAAGCAGUGUUUACCUUAGUGACAUCUAUAAUGACCCAAAAUUCACGGGCAUCGAAAAAGUAUAAUAUCGAGCCUCCGUCUUGAGUUUAAAAAUAAUUAUUAGAAAUAUUUACGAGACUAGUUGUGUGUUUAAUUAGGUUUUAGAUAGGUGAAUUUGGCUCAAUUAAGAGUAAUUAGCAAAAGGGAUUAAAUUACAAUAGAAGUGAAAAUCUAAUCAUAGAUUAAAAGAAAGUAAAAAGGGCUAAAAUGGCAAUUAAGCCAUUUAAAAUGAUUGAGGCGGCAUAAAGGAAUAAAUUUUAAGAUUUUAUUUAUUUAAUUAUAUGAUUAAUGAUAUUUAUUGUUUAUUAUUAGUUAUUAGUUAUUAUUAAAUUAAAAGAUAUUUAGUAAUUAAAUAAUUAGUAUAAGAUUUUUGGGUAAUAAUAAAUUAUGAUUUUGCCAAGUGUGUGGUAAAAAUAAAAUACAAGUGUAUUAUAUUUCUUUAUUUACUUGAAAAUUAAGUAAAAGAUAAUUGUUAAUUAAAUAAUAAUAUUAUGAGAUUUUUAUUUGAUAAAUUAGUUAGAUUGAGACAAGUGUAUGUAAUGAUUUAAUGCAAGUGUACUAAUAAAAUACAUACAUUUGUAAUAUUUAUAAUUAGUUAAUAUAAUAUAAAGUAAAUGAAAUAAAAUGAAAUAAAAACAAAGCAAAAGAAAGGAAAGAAACAGAAUAGAAGAGACGAAACAGGGGAGAAACAGGGGAGAAAGAAGAAAAAGAAGAAAAUAGGGAAAAUAGGGUUUUUGAAGCUUGAAAUUUAAUUUGGUAAGUCAAAUUAGCCCUUUUCUCUUAAUUCUAAUGUUUUAAAAGCUUUAAAACAAAGUUUUGAUGGAAUUAAGUUGAUAUUUUGUAAGUUCAUAGGUUUUCAAGUAACGUUUAUGUUGAACAAAAGAGAUGAAUUAAGAAUUAAAUUGAAUGAAUUUUAAGUUAGAAUUGAAAAAGGGAUUAAAUUGUAAAAGAAACUAUAAGUUUUAUGUUUUAGGGACUAAAUUGAGGGAAAUUCGAAAUUAGCAAAAAUGCUGAAAUUUCGAUAGUUAAAUUUUAGUUUGGAUGAAAUUUGAAUAGAAAUAGAGUGUGAAUUGAAUUAGGAAAGCAAGUGAAUUUAGUUAGGAUUAAAUUGAGAAUUAGGAAGAAAUUGAAUAGAAAUUCAAUUAUUUAUUAUAAUUAGUGCUGUAAUUAAUAUUACAAAUUAUUAUUAUUUUCGUAGCUAACAAAGAACCCGAGGCAUCGGCGUCAAAAGGAAAGGAGAAAGUUAUCGAGGACUAAAACGGGAGAUUUACGGUUUGUAUUACUAUAAUUCAAAUUAUUUAUUUUUAAAUGUUUAAUUUUAAUUUAUGUGUUUAGUAAAUGAAAUGUGCGGUAAGUAUUAUUAUUAUUAUUAUUAUUAGUGGGAAUUAAACUGAAUAUUUGAUAUGAAUUAAUAUUUGAAUUGUUUGUUGAUUGAAAGUGGGAAGUGAAUUUAAAUCGAAUAGUGACUGAUAUUAAAUUGAAUGGAAAUGUAUUGAGUUGUGAAAAUGUGUGAAUUGCGGAUUAAUUAUUGAUUGAAAGGUGGAAAAAUGAUUGAAUUGAAAAUGUGAGAAAUUGUGAUUGAAUUGGGAUUAUAUGUGAUUUAAAUACCCUAUUAACUAGUCGGGCUGAGUCGGAUAUAGUUGGCAUGCCAUAGGAUUGGAAGAGUUCAGGGAUACUUCGACCUCGAGUCGAUGAGACACUGGGUGUCACUAUAUUUUUUCGGAUAGAUUCGAUGAGGUACUGGGUACCAACUUUCUUCGGCUUUGCCGAUGAGACACUGGGUGUCAACUAUUGCUUCGAACUAUCCGAUGAGGCACUGGGUGUCAUACUGGUGUGUUUGGUUGGAUCCGUGUAUCCGCCAAAGUCCGAGUUUUGUUAAUAGGGUAAUUAAUGAAAUGAUAAACCGAACGAGCUACUGAAAUGAAAUGAAAAAGUUGAAUUGUGAAUUGAAAUGUGAAAUGAGAUUGAGAAAUGAACCUAAAGUUCAUGAGAUGUUCAAAUUCAAAUUGUGGAUAUGUGAUAUUGAUUGAUGGAUUGCUAUUGUUGAGAUAUUGAAUUUAAAUUGUAUAUACGAUUUAUGCAUUACAUGUACAUUAUUGUUAUAAUUUGAAUUAUGGUAAUACCACUGAGUAUGAAUUACUCAGCGUACGGUUGUUUCCAUGCGCAGGUCGAUAGAAGUCAAAGGUCUCGGUUCAGCAUCCAGAUUAAUCCCGGCUUCAGCAUAACUUUGGUGAUGUAUAUUUUCUUUUGGUAAUGUGGCAUGUACAUAGGAAUUAUAAGUUUUAUAUAAAUGGUUAAAAAUGUUAGUAUUAUAAGUUUAUGAAUUAUAAUGAAAGAAGUUUAUCUAUUUUAAUCUAAUUAGUCAAUGGAUAAAUUUAAAUUGAUAUUAUGUUAAUUGAGUUUGAUUAGAAGUAUUUAGAAUAGAAAAUGUGAAUGUGAAAUGAAUUGGUUGAUUUGGUUAUAUUUGAAAAUGUUAUGGAUUUUAAUUGCAGGGGGUUGUAUGUAAAAAUAAGCAGAAGUGCUGCCGAAAUUUUUCAAAAAAAAAAUGAAUGAAGUUUAUUAGCGAAAUUUAUAUGAAUUUAUGACUCUCUUUUAUAUGUUCGUUAAUUGUUUAUGAAUUAUUUGAAAUUUGUCUGAAAUGUCCGGUAAUGCCUCAUAACCCUGUUCUGGCAACGGUUCAGGGUUAGGGGGUGUUACAGUUGUUGGUAUCAGAGCUAUCAGGUUUAGCCGAUUCUCGGCCUAAAUCGAGCUCGGAAUUGAGUCUAGAUGUACAUGCCACUGUCGAGUCAAACUGAGUCGAGAUUUUUGGAUGCUGACCUAUUUGUUUGCUUUGUUUUAUAGAUUAAAGAUGUCUGAAGAAAGAAUAAAUGAUACUGAUGAAAGAAUGUAUACUGAAGAUAGAGAAUUAGAUGAAACAGAAUCUGCUGCACCGAGUGUGAAUCUGUUAGGCAACCAGCCUCCUAAUGUGGAACGGGAAAAUGCCAGAGAUAGAGAUGAAUCCCAAUUACUGAGAAUUAUAGCUGAUGCAUUACAAAGAGUAGCGAGAACUACUCCUGCUACGACUUCAGUACCUACUGUUAGACGGGCCCCGAUAAAAGAACUGAGAAAAUAUGGUGCCACUGAAUUUAUGGGUCUAAAAGGAGUCGAUCCAUCCGCAGCUGAAAAUUGGAUGGAGUCGAUUAAAAGAAUUUUGCAGCAAUUAGACUGUACCCCCCGUGAGUGUUUAAUCUGUGAUGUAUCGUUGCUACAAGGGGAGGCUUAUCUAUGGUGGGAAUCAGUAGUUCGACAUCUAUCAGAGAGUCAGAUAACGUGGGAUCUAUUUCAGAAGGAAUUCCAAAAGAAAUAUAUCGGAGAGAUAUAUAUCGAAGACAAGAAACAAGAGUUUUUAAUGUUACAACAGGGGGAUAUGUCAGUAAUAGAUUAUGAGAGAGAAUUCUCGAGACUCAGCAGAUAUGCCUCCAAAUUUAUCCUGACAGAAGCUGAUAGUUGUAAAAGAUUUCUAUGGGCUUUGCGAGACGAGAUCAAGGUACAGUUAGUAUCUCAUCGGAUCACUGAGUUAGUAGAUUUGAUUGAGCGGGCUAAAAUGGUGGAACAAGUUCUAGCCCUUGAUAAAAAGACUGAAGUUGUUAGACCAACCAGGAAAUGUACAGGAACUACGAGUUCGAACCUUCAGCCGAAAAGACCAAAGGAGUCUCAAGGUGGUUGAAGAUCCAGUUUCAGAUCAGGCAAAGGUGGUAGAAGCAGGGGAAGAUAGAUGACGGUAUCUACUGGCAAUGUGAGAGGUCCUUGUCGAGAAAUAGAAAUUCCAGACUGUCAACACUGUGGAAAGAAACAUAGAGGGGAAUGUUGGAGAUUAACUAGAGGUUGUUUCCGAUGUGGUUCUACAGACCAUUUUAUCAGAAAUUGUUUGAAAACUGAUAGUACUGUACCCGUGACAUCACAGAGAUCGGUAUCUACUGCUAGAGGCAGAGGGUUAGGAAGAGGUGGUUCGGUUUCAAGGGGAGGAAGUAUUAGGAGGAGUAGUGAUAUUGCUACCCAGCAGUCUGAAGCUAAAGUACCUGCCAGAGCUUAUGUGGUCAGAACACGGGAAGAAGGCGACGCCCACGGUGUAGUAACAGUAAGAUCAGAACUGUAUGUGAGUUUCCAGAUGUAUUCCCUGAAGAACUACCGGGUUUACCACCUGACAAAGAGGUUGAAUUUGCUAUAGAAGUGUAUCCGGGUACAACACCAAUCUCUAUACCACCGUAUCGAAUGUCGCCCACUGAGUUAAAAGAGUUGAAAGUGCAAUUACAGGACUUGCUAGAUCGUGGAUUUAUUAGACCGAGCAUUUCACCUUGGGGAGCUCCGGUAUUGUUUGUUAAAAAGAAAGAUGGAUCGAUUCGGCUUUGUAUUGAUUACCGGCAGUUAAACAAAGUGACGAUCAAGAACCGGUAUUCGUUACCCCGUAUAGAUGAUUUAUUUGAUCAACUAAAAGGAGCUUCAGUAUUUUCGAAGAUUGACUUGAGAUCUGGGUAUUAUCAGCUGAAAGUAAAAGAAAGUGAUGUUUCGAAGACUGCAUUUCAUACUCGAUAUGGUCAUUAUGAAUUUUUGGUAAUGCCGUUCGGGUUGACUAAUGCUCCAGCUGCUUUUAUGGAUUUGAUGAAUCGUAUUUUUCAGCCAUAUUUAGACCAGUUUGUGGUGGUUUUUAUUGAUGAUAUAUUGGUUUAUUCAAAUUCGGAGUCAGAGCAUGAUCAGCAUCUCAAAACCGUGUUACAGAUUCUGCGGGAAAAAUAGUUGUACGAGAAACUGAGUAAAUGUGAAUUCUGGUUAUCAGAGGUAGUAUUCUUGGGACAUGUUGUAUCUGCGGAUGGGAUUAGAGUUGAUCUGAAGAAGAUUGAGGCAAUUGUUCAAUGGAAGGCACCAAAGAAUGUAUCAGAGGUACGCAGUUUUCUUGGUUUGGCUGGGUAUUACAGAAAAUUUGUAAAUGGGUUUUCGAAGAUAGCUUUGUCGAUGACCAAGUUACUACAGAAGAAUGUUCCAUUUAUCUGAGAUGAUCAAUGCCAGAGAAGUUUUGAAACAUUGAAACAAAUGUUGACAGAGGCACCAGUCCUAACUUUACCAGAAUUAGGGAAAGAUUUCAUAGUGUACAGUGAUGCUUCUUUGAAUGGUUUGGGUUGUGUAUUGAUGCAGAAUGGAAAAAUAAUAGCUUAUGCAUCUCGACAGUUGAAACCACAUGAACGUAACUACCCGACACACGAUUUGGAGUUAGCUGCUGUAGUAUUUGCAUUGAAGAUUUGGAUACAUUACUUGUAUGGUGAGAAAUGUUAUAUUUACACUGAUCAUAAAAGUCUCAAAUAUCUUCUGUCACAAAAGGAGUUGAAUCUGAGACAGAGACGAUGGAUAGAACUUCUGAAAGAUUAUGAUUGUGUUAUAGAUUAUCAUCUAGGAAAGGCAAAUGUGGUAGCAGAUGCAUUGAGCAGAAAGGCAGCGGCUGAAUUACGGACAAUGUUUGCUCGGCUUAGUAUUAAUGAUGAUGGAAGUUUGUUAGCUGAGUUAAGAGUUAAGCCGGUAAUGUUUGAUCGAAUCAGAGCAGCACAACUAGAAGAUGAGAAGUUGAUGAAGAAAAGAGAAAUGGUACAGCAUGGUACGGUAGAAAAUUUUAGUAUUGACGAGCAUGAUUGUUUGAGAUUUCGGAAUCGAAUUUGUAUUCCAGCUACUUCUGAGAUUAAAGAGCUGAUUCUUCGAGAAGCACAUGAUAGUAUUUUUGCUUUGCACCCAGGUGGAACGAAGAUGUAUCGCGAUCUACGAGAACUGUAUUGGUGGCCAAGAAUGAAGAACGAUAUAGUUGAGUAUGUCAGUAAAUGCUUGACUUGUCAGCGGGUAAAAGCAGAACAUCAGGAACCAACAGGUCUGUUACAGCCUAUUACUAUUCCCGAGUGGAAAUGGGAUCGCAUUACCAUGGAUUUUGUUAUGGGGUUGCCAUUGUCAGUGAGUAAAAAGAAUACCAUUUGGGUGAUUGUUGAUCGACUCACAAAGUCAACUCAUUUUAUAGUAGUUAGAACCGACUGGUCAUUACAGAAGCUUGCCGAGGUUUAUAUUCGAGAAAUUGUUAGAUUACAUGGUAUUCCGGUAUCAAUAAUUUCAGACAGAAAUCCUCAAUUCACUUCGAGAUUUUGGAAGCAGCUGCAUGAAUCAUUGGGUACUCGACUUAGUUUCAGUACAGCUUUUCAUCCUCAAACUGAUGGACAAUCUGAACGGGUAAUUCAGAUAUUAGAAGAUAUGCUUCGAGCUUGUGUCAUUGAUUUUGAAUCAGGUUGGGAACGUUAUUUACCAUUGGCCGAGUUUGUUUAUAAUAAUAGUUUCCAAUCUAGUAUUCAAAUGGCUCCGUAUGAAGCACUUUAUGGUCGAAGGUGUCGGUCACCAGUAUGUUGGACAGAAUUAAAAGAAAGAAAAGUGAUUGGGCUGGAAUUAAUUCAAGAGACAGAAGAAACAGUUAAGAAGAUUAAAGAUAGACUGAAAGCCGCUUUUGACAGACAGAAAUCUUACGCAGACUUGAAACGACGAGACAUUGAAUAUUCCAUUAGUGAUAAGGUAUUCCUCAAAGUAUCGCCGUGGAAGAAAAUUUUGAGAUUUGGUCGGAAGGGAAAAUUAAGUCCGCGCUUUAUUGGGCCGUAUGAGAUUGUGGAAAGAAUUGGGCCUGUUGCUUAUCGAUUAGCCUUACCUCCAAAGUUACAGAAAAUUCAUGAUGUUUUUCAUGUUUUGAUGCUUCGGAGAUUUAGAUCGGAUUCUUCUCAUAUCAUUCCCACUGAAGACAUUGAAAUUCGAUCUGAUUUAACUUAUGAAGAAGAACCAAUUCAGAUAUUAGCACGAGAAGUGAAAGAAUUAAGAAAUAAACGGGUUCCUUUAGUAAAAAUUUUAUGGAGAAGUCAUAGUGUGGAAGAAGCGACUUGGGAACCGGAAGAGACAAUGAGAGCACAAUAUCCUCAUCUCUUCUCAGGUAAAUUUCGAGGACGAAAUUUAUUAAGGGGGAGAAAUGUAAUGACCCAAAAUUCACGGGCAUCGGAAAAGUAUAAUAUCGGGCCUCCGUCUUGAGUUUAAAAAUAAUUAUUAGAAAUAUUUAUGAGACUAGUUGUGUGUUUAAUUAGGUUUUAGAUAGGUGAAUUUGGCUCAAUUAAGAGUAAUUAGCAAAAGGGAUUAAAUUACAAUAGAAGUGAAAAUCUAAUCAUAGAUUAAAAGAAAGUAAAAAGGGCUAAAAUGGCAAUUAAGCCAUUUAAAAUGAUUGAGGCGGCAUAAAGGAAUAAAAUUUAAGAUUUUAUUUAUUUAAUUAUAUAAUUAAUGAUAUUUAUUAUUUAUUAUUAGUUAUUAGUUAUUAUUAAAUUAAAAGAUAUUUAGUAAUUAAAUAAUUAGUAUAAGAUUUUUGGGUAAUAAUAAAUUAUGAUUUUGUCAAGUGUGUGGUAAAAAUAAAAUACAAGUGUAUUAUAUUUAUUUAUUUACUUGAAAAUUAAGUAAAAGAUAAUUGUUAAUUAAAUAAUAAUAUUAUGAGAUUUUUAUUUGAUAAAUUAGUUAGAUUGAGACAAGUGUAUGUAAUGAUUUAAUGCAAGUGUACUAAUAAAAUACAUACAUUUGUAAUAUUUAUAAUUAAUUAAUAUAAUAUAAAGUAAAUGAAAUAAAAUGAAAUAAAAACAAAGCAAAAGAAAGGAAAGAAACAGAAUAGAAGAGACGAAACAGGGGAGAAACAGGGGAGAAAGAAGAAAAAGAAGAAAAUAGGGAAAAUAGGGUUUUUGAAGCUUGAAAUUUAAUUUGGUAAGUCAAAUUAGCCCUUUUCUCUUAAUUCUAAUGUUUUAAAAGCUUUAAAACAAAGUUUUGAUGGAAUUAAGUUGAUAUUUUGUAAGUUCAUAGGUUUUCAAGUAAUGUUUAUGUUGAACAAAAGAGAUGAAUUAAGAAUUAAAUUGAAUGAAUUUUAAGUUAGAAUUGAAAAAGGGAUUAAAUUGUAAAAGAAACUAUAAGUUUUAUGUUUUAGGGACUAAAUUGAGGGAAAUUCGAAAUUAGCAAAAUAUGCUGAAAUUUCGAUAGUUAAAUUUUAGUUUGGAUGAAAUUUGAAUAGAAAUAGAGUGUGAAUUGAAUUAGGAAAGCAAGUGAAUUUAGUUAGGAUUAAAUUGAGAAUUAGGAAGAAAUUGAAUAGAAAUUCAAUUAUUUAUUAUAAUUAGUGCUGUAAUUAAUAUUACAAAUUAUUAUUAUUUUCGUAGCUAACAAAGAACCCGAGGCAUCGGCGUCAAAAGGAAAGGAGAAAGUUAUCGAGGACUAAAACGGGAGAUUUACGGUUUGUAUUACUAUAAUUCAAAUUAUUUAUUUUUAAAUGUUUAAUUUUAAUUUAUGUGUUUAGUAAAUGAAAUGUGCGGUAAGUAUUAUUAUUAUUAUUAUUAUUAGUGGGAAUUAAACUGAAUAUUUGAUAUGAAUUAAUAUUUGAAUUGUUUGUUGAUUGAAAGUGGGAAGUGAAUUUAAAUCGAAUAGUGACUGAUAUUAAAUUGAAUGGAAAUGUAUUGAGUUGUGAAAAUGUGUGAAUUGCGGAUUAAUUAUUGAUUGAAAGGUGGAAAAAUGAUUGAAUUGAAAAUGUGAGAAAUUGUGAUUGAAUUGGGAUUAUAUGUGAUUUAAAUACCCUAUUAACUAGUCGGGCUGAGUCGGAUAUAGUUGGCAUGCCAUAGGAUUGGAAGAGUUCAGGGAUACUUCGACCUCGAGUCGAUGAGACACUGGGUGUCACUAUAUUUUUUCGGAUAGAUUCGAUGAGGUACUGGGUACCAACUUUCUUCAGCUUUGCCGAUGAGACACUGGGUGUCAACUAUUGCUUCGAACUAUCCGAUGAGGCACUGGGUGUCAUACUGGUGUGUUUGGUUGGAUCCGUGUAUCCGCCAAAGUCUGAUUUUUGUUAAUAGGGUAAUUAAUGAAAUGAUAAACCGAACGAGCUACUGAAAUGAAAUGAAAAAGUUGAAUUGUGAAUUGAAAUGUGAAAUGAGAUUGAGAAAUGAACCUAAAGUUCAUGAGAUGUUCAAAUUCAAAUUGUGGAUAUGUGAUAUUGAUUGAUGGAUUGCUAUUGUUGAGAUAUUGAAUUUAAAUUGUAUAUACGAUUUAUGCAUUACAUGUACAUUAUUGUUAUAAUUUGAAUUAUGGUAAUACCACUGAGUAUGAAUUACUUAGCGUACGGUUGUUUCCGUGCGCAGGUCGAUAGAAGUCAAAGGUCUCGGUUCAGCAUCCAGAUUAAUCCCGGCUUCAGCAUAACUUUGGUGAUGUAUAUUUUCUUUUGGUAAUGUGGCAUGUACAUAGGAAUUAUAAGUUUUAUAUAAAUGGUUAAAAAUGUUAGUAUUAUAAGUUUAUGAAUUAUAAUGAAAGAAGUUUAUCUAUUUUAAUCUAAUUAGUCAAUGGAUAAAUUUAAAUUGAUAUUAUGUUAAUUGAGUUUGAUUAGAAGUAUUUAGAAUAGAAAAUGUGAAUGUGAAAUGAAUUGGUUGAUUUGGUUAUAUUUGAAAAUGUUAUGGAUUUUAAUUGUAGGGGGUUGUAUGUAAAAAUAAGCAGAAGUGCUGCCGAAAUUUUUCGAAAAAAAAUGAAUGAAGUCUAUUAGCGAAAUUUAUAUGAAUUUAUUACUCUCUUAUAUAUGUUCGUUAAUUGUUUAUGAAUUAUUUGGAAUUUGUCUGAAAUGUCCGGUAAUGCCUCGUAACCCUAUUCUGGCAACAGUUCGGGGUUAGGGGGUGUUACAACAUCAUCCUAAUACCCAACGACUGAUAGUGUUGUUCCAUUUCCCACAAGAAGUUGUCCACUUCUCUAGUGGACCUUCCCCCUCAAACUUCUCUGGUUUGGGAACAUCCAUCUUCCGUUGAUUUGGUCUCGAAGCCAACAUCUUAUUGCUCAAAUUAGCCUUAUAGAUUGUGAGCUCCCCCUUAAGCUCCUCAAUUUUUUCUUUCAAGGUCAUCAUUGUGGCCUCAAGAGCAUCAUCCGUCACGGUCAACUUAUCCACAAUGGAACUAAGCAUCCAUUGCAUCACUUCCACAUUAGAACCGAGAGACUCCAAGAUAAAUUCCUUGAAUUUCUCCUUCAUCGAGUUUAACUCAUUGGUGCGUCGCUCAACUACCUUGAGUGUCUCCCCCAUAUCUCCAAUAGGCUCCUCAAGAUUGGUCACUUGAAUUGCCAAAGCCGACAGCAUUUCCCUCGAUCAAUUAGCUUUGCUAGAGCUCCCGUGGGUCUCCAUAGGCUUAAUUUGAUCUUCUACUCCUUUUGUCAUCUCAAGUGGCACUUUCAAAACCUUAGCUCUAAUACCAACUAUCACAGGGGUAGAACUUUAGUCUCACAAUCCGUGCGACCUUAGGCAAAUUCUUAGGUUCAAAUCCGCCUAAGUUAGUCUAACUCUUGCAAAGUGAAAAAUCUUGAUAGAAAUUCUCUAAGGUGCAAAAAAUAAAGUGAAAGUAAAUCAAAACAAAAGAACAAAAAAUGCCACAAGAAAGCAAAGUACAUCAAGUGUUUGAGUAAAUGUUCUCAAAGUAUUCUAUUACUCUGGAAAUAAUACAAAAAAUAGGAUAGGAUACAAUGGAAUAUUACAAAUGAGGGAGAAUGCCUCUAUUUAUACUUGAGCUCCCCAAGCCAACGAUAUAGAUUGAGUUACAUUAAUGAUUGAGAUUAAAUCCUAUCUACAAUUGAGAUUCUUAAAGGAUUGACUUAAUCUUUUAAGAUUAUAAAAUCAAGUCUUAUCAUGUUACAUAUCUUCUAAGAUUGGUUUCCUUAUUUGCCAAUAUAGCCCUAAUUUUCCAUAAAUGCUUCACUGGACUAUCAAUGCUUCAAGUAGACAGGCUUCUCCAUAUGCUCCACAAAUCGGGCCAGUUCAAAUGCGUCGAAUGAGCCAUGUUUCAUCAUUUGACCUCCAUGGGACAAUCCUUGGCAUUCAUCACGGGCUCUGAUCCGUGACCCAUGACAUAAGCACAUAAAUGUUUAGUAAGUUUAAUUGACAAGUAUUAUACUUAUCUUGCUAGGUGGACCUACAAAUUCAUUGCUCAACAAGCUUCAUAUUCUCGUAUUAGUUACUUAGCAUAAGAUAAGGAAAAUGUGUAGGUAACCAUGUUCAUUAAGUCUAUACAAGCAAAUUAUAACAUGUCCAAUAAGUGUUCAUUAUAUUCUAUUGAUCACAUGUGCACCUAUUUCCACUUUAUUACUACCUUUCAAUUCCAAUUUACGAGUUAAGAUAAUCAAGUUCAUACCUUUUUCAACCUUAAUUCUUUUCUUUAACCAUUUCUUGUCCAAUUUCAAUUUUGUAGCCCAUGUAAUCUUAGUAAAAUAGGACUCGGCUACUAUGAGAAAACCAAAAAUGCUAAGCCCAAAGGCCAUCACAUAUCAUAUCAUGUAGGCCUCCGAAGAGGUAUUGAAAGUCUAAUGGUCUAUAACAAAUGUUCUACCAAGGGUAAGCUAGAACUGGGUUUUCAGAAAACAAACCACAUACCUCUGAACCUCACACCACAACAAAUGUACUUAAGUGUAAGGCACAAAGGCAACAUAUAACAAAUAGGUUCAAAGGCGACAUACACAUAUAACUCUAAUUGACAUGUCAAUCGUAUCCUAACCUUUCUACCAAGUUUACAUAAGCUAUCAUUAACAUACUAAAGAAUUCACAUUUAAGUACCAUUAAGGCAAUUUUUCAUAUGUAUCGUCAUAUUUCCAUAAUGCCACACUUUAAUCACAAGAGUUAAGAUCUUCAAUUGAGGUUUUCAUACCACAUGAAUUUACGUGUUUGUUUAUUCACGUUAACAUGGUUACGUAUAUCAUAAUCAUACUAAAUCUUAACUUGACAUAGUCAAUUACCAUAUUUAACACGUUCUUUCAUAUUUAAUUCUUUGCAUAACAUAGUUCAGUAUAUAAACAUAUUAACUAGUAUAUUCCAUUAAGGUUCUGUUAAUAUACUCAUUAAUUAAUCGUCCAUUCAUGAUCUUAACAUGUUAUAUUCAUUAUGCAUCAAAUUAAAUGUUGUUGAGCUAUUUAACACCUAUAAACAUUGUACUAAAGACACAUAAUAAGCAAAUAUUGUAAGUUCAAGUGAACUUACCUAUUAAGAUCAUUUAAUGAUCAUCAAUUUAAAUUUUCAUUUCCUUAACUUAAGAUUCUACUCAAAAUACACACAACACAUACAAGCAUUGAAUUAAUAAUUUGAAUCUCCUUUGGUUAGUCUUACAAGCAUUGGAUUAAUUGAAUUCAACACUUGAUAGCCAUAUAGUGGCCAUUUUACUUGUUGAAAAUUCAAGAAUGCUUAACCUUUGAGCCUUAGACUUUUAUAUCCAAAAUUGAUAUAACUCGUAAUUUUCCUAUUCAAUUUUUGUUCCAACUUUAAAGUUAUAAUUUCAAGACCUCAAAUGAUCCAAAAACAUGUUUAAACUCCAAAGUUCUCAUAAUUAUCUCUAAGGCUUCUUAAGUACUCAACAAUGGUGGUAUGAACAUCCUUUAACCAAUUUUUAAUCCACCUUCUUUUCUAACUUACACUCUUCUAAGUUCAUCCCAACAUAAGCAUUGAACUAUCAUGAUCAAGCUUCAUCUCUUUCAGUUCCAAGCAUUCAUCUAUGAUUAUCUAAGGAUUUUUCUCAUCAAUUUUAACAUCGAAAAUGAAUGGGCUCAUGCUUAUCUAUUAUUUUAUGCUAUCAAUUAAACCAAAAUUCAAAGGAAACUUAUCAAUUUCUUGAAGAGCAACUCACGGCACCAUGAAACCUCCAUGAAAAUUUUCUUUUUCUUCUUUGUUCUUAAACCAUGGAGAAUGGAUGAGGAUGACCACAUAAUAAGCUUAUUCUCCCACCCACUAAGUAUAUAUAUACCUAAUUAAUCAAUUUAUUAACCUUUAAUAAUAAUCAUCCAAUGUUGGGAUUUAAGCAUGGCAAAUUGAGCGGAAAUGUAUGGCUUUUACCAUGCUUCUCCACUAAGUAAAUAAAUGAUGGUUUAUUUGUCAUUUUAAGGCAUUUGAUUAAUUUUUCAUCCAAUCCUCCAAACCUUGCUAGUGCAUAUUUAGAUCUUAUGCAUCAAUUACUAAUUUAUCAAUUUAAUCCCUUUAAUAAUUCUCGACAAUAUUUCAUAUCUACUUCAUUAACUUCUCGAUUAAUAAUAAAUUUUUGAAACGGCUUGAUCGAGAAAUCGAAUUAUUCCUAUCACAGCGAAAAAUAGAUCAUCAAACUAUUUUAAUUUGAUUUAUUAAUGUCUUUUCCAAAUUCGUAUUUAAUUAAUAAAUAUUCCACAAUAACCUUCAUUAAUUGAUAAUUUUUCCUUGUAUUAUAGGAGAUUUAUAAAUAUUCAUAUUGUAGCAUAAGUAAACUCAAUUUAAAGUGCACAAGGAAAUAGUCAAAUAUCUCAAACUUCAAGAGCCUUUAAUUAAGCCACAAUGUGUUCGCACACUCUAUUAACACUAGUGAAUUUCAUUAAUUAUAAUUUGAUCAUUAGAGUACUAGCUAAAAUUUUAUCCCAAGAUUCAAAUUGUCUUUCAAUAAAUCCUCGACAAUUUUGUGGUCUCUAACUCAAAAUUUUUUUACUUUUGUGAUAUUCGUAAAGAACAACUUCAGCAAGUAAUUCAUCUUUAUGAAUAGUCAUCACUAAUUAAAUCAUGCAUAUUAAAUUUGAUAUCAGAAAAGCUUACAAGUCGCAUCAUAAAUACAUAAUUGUGAUAUAUUUGAAUGGUUUUCCACCUCAGCAUAGGCUUAUUUUAGAGUAAAUUUGUAUGCAUUUUAGGGAAAAAUACCAAAAAAACCAAUUUUUUUUUAAAUUUACCGAAAUGGGCUCAGUAUUUUAUUAUUUACCGGAAUGGGCAUUUUCCCCGAAACCGCGUCCACGUCAGCACGAUGUCAAGGUACGUGCCAGGAAAUCGCGGCCACGUCAGCGCGCUUUGCUGACAUGGCAACAAAUCGCGUCCUCUAAAGCGCGAUUUGUGUCCACGUCAGCAAAACGCUCUGACGUGGACGCGAUUUCCUGGCACGUACCCUGACAUCGUGCUGAUGUGGAUGCAAUUUCGCCGUGUCUCCCACGUUAGGGUUUUUAGGGGUUUUAGGGCUUUUGGAGAAAAAAGUAAACAAAUAAGGGAUUAGGGUUAAGGGUUUCGUAAUUAAAUUAAUUAAAUUUUAUUCAAAAUUGGAUUACGUUUCGUGUUUAUGGGUUUUUAAGAUAAAAUCAAAGCAGGAUGAUUUAUCAGAAGGAUUUUUGAAGUCGCACCCACGUGUACGCGCUUUUGCUACAGUAGGUCUUGGGAAAAUAAUUUCGACUUGAUGUUUUUGAGCAAAUAGUUUAAAAAACAUUUCAAGCAGAAUGCUUUGUGAGAAGAAUUUGUGAAAUCGCGCCGUCGUGGACGCGCUUUUACUACAGUUGGUCCUAAAAGAAAUAAUUUCGAGUUGAUGUUUUUGAGCAAAUAGUUUAAAAAACGCUUCAAACAGGAUGCUUUAUAAUAAGAAUUUGUGAAGUCGUGCCCACGUGGAUGCGCUUUUGCUACAGUAGGUCCUAAAAAAAUAAUUUUGAGUUAACGUUUCUGAGCAAAUAAUAUAAAACAACGCUGCAAGUAGCAUGCUAUUUGAGAAGAAUUUGUGAAAUUGUGCCCUCGUGAACGUGCUUUUGCUACAGUUGGUCCUGGAAAAAUAAUUUUGACUUGACGUUUCUGAGCAAAUAGUAUAAAAUCGAUUCUAGAAGGAUGCUUUAUGAGAAGAAUUUGUGAAAUCACGCCCACGUGGACGCGCUUUUGCUACAGUAACAUGUUUGGGCUGAGGCUAUAAAUGAGGCAAAAAAUGUUCUGAGAUUGCAUAAGUCACAGCAAAAACAAUUUAGAGAGGCUAAGAAGGUUAGAGUUUCAAAUAUGAGUGAACGUAUUAGUGCUGUUAUUUACUACAGUGGUGAGGUUUGCCACACUGAGAAUGGUGUUGUUUUUUUGUCGAAGAAUACGGUGCGACUGGUUUUUAACCAAAACAUAGAUUUGACAGAACUUCGUAAAAGAAUUAGGCGUAAAAUUUUCGAAACGACGCCAAUGAAAGUUCUGUCUAUUACAUAUCGAUUUUGUUCCUCUGUUGAUCCGGUGACAUAUGACUCGUUCGACAUAAAAGGUGAUCGUAGCUUGGAGGCAAUUGUGCAGACUCAUCUUGCUAGUCGAGCACAUUAUAUUGAGUUAUAUGUACAAUUUACAUUGCCAAAUGAUGUACUUGCGACCAGUGUUCGAGAUGUAUACACGACCCCUGGCCAACAUUCGGUUAGCGGGUUAGAAAACACGAAACAGCCCAUGUUUGGUAGUGGUGUUGAAUGCACAUCCCCCGCAGGACCUCUGUCGGUGGAUGGGACAUGUACGUCGGUGGUUCGAUGUUUGAUGCUGGAAAUACGUACUGGGGAACGUCAUCAAGUUCUAGUGAUUAACAAUCUACAUCCAAUUGGGGACGUUAUGAAAUGCCCAGAAAAAAGGAUGAUGUACUCCCUACGACGUCAAUUGGUGAGGGGACCUCAUACGCUGCAGAUGAUUAUGGGUUAGAAGAUGACUCCGAUGUGGAUCUACCUCGAGAGCUCGGGCCUGAUGGUGUAGAAGUUGGCUUAUUUUCUGAACCGGAGUCUAUUCCAACAAAACUUGAAGAUGCUGAAAGGAGUUCAGAUGAAGAAGAAAAUCCACGAUUCAGAGCAUACUCACCUUCAGCCCACAUGCAUAAUGUCGAUCUGUCUGCAGAUGAUACAUUAGAGUUUCCAGAUCUACCACACUGGUUGCGUGAUCGUACCAGUUCAGGGCUAGAUUCAGGUGAAUUUUAAGUUGGUAAUCAGUUUACCAACAAGGAUAGUUUUAUUGGUGUUUUGAAACAACAUAGCAUCAAAAAAUGCGUUAACUACCACGUCGUUAAAUCCAAAUCUGAUAAGUUUGAAGCGAAAUGUACGGUGCAAUAUGGCACAUGUUCAUGGAAAAUCUACGCUUCGUUAAGGAAAAAGACAGGGUUGUGGGAGAUUAAAAAGUACAAAGGUCCACAUACAUGUGCUGCAGGUACAAUAUUGACGGUAUCUGAAUAAUACUUUUAUUAUGUAAUGUUGCAUUAUUUAAUGUAAUCCGUUUAUAGGUGUUUCACAAAAUCAUCCGAAGAUGGAUUCAGCUAUGUUAGCUAGCUUGAUACUGCCCACGGUAAAAGCAGAUUCCAGGAUUUUAGUACCGGUGUUAAUUGCCAAUAUUCGUAGCCAAAUGGGGUACACGCCCUCUUACCGUAAGGCUUGGAUAGCUAAGAAAAAGGCGUUGAAGAAGAUGCAUAGUUGGUGAGACGCCUCAUAUACUGAAAUAUGACAGUGGUGUCAAGUGCUAGAGAGAUACGUCCAAGGUGCCUCACAGACCUUGAAACGGAACAUGCGUACUACAACGGCCAAUUGCUACGUGGAUGCCAAGUGUUCAAACGUCUGUUUUGGACCUUUAAGUAAUGCCAAGACGCAUUUCCAAGCUGCAAGACAUUGGUACAAAUUGACAGUACCUUUAUGUUUGGUAGGUAUACUCAUCGGCUAUUGCUUGCAGUGGUACAGGAUAGCGGUGGGAGAAUUCUUCCAAUUGCAUUUGCAAUAACACCGGGGGAGUCGUCUGAUGACUAGGAUUUCUUUCUCUCUAGGUUAAGGAGGCAUGUGUGCCUCCAACCUGAUAUCUGUGUUAUUUCAGAUCGGGGCACCGGUAUACUAGUUGCAUUUGAUCGACAGGGAAGCUUAUGGCAGUGCACACACCAUCGAUAUUGCGUAAGACACGUUGCUUCCAACUACUACAGGCAAUACCCAUCUAAGAGCGAACGACGACAAGUGACCAACAUGGGUAUUUAGUCUAUAUCUGUGUUAUUUCGUUUCUCAAUUUGAAUUAGUUUUAUUAGUAGAAGUUGUAUGUAAUAUUCGCUAUGAACUUAUAUUGGCAGGGUAUGAAAUAAAUAAAUAUCGUUUCCACGAGAUGUUGGCAACUUUACGUUCAAUUAACGGAGAAGGGGCAGACUACCUUUGUAACAUACGUUUCGAACAGUAGGCACAAGCAUACGACGGCGGCCUACGAUAUGGCCAUAUGACGUCAAACCUGGCUGAAUGCAUAAAUUCUAUUCUUAAAGGAACAUAUUUUCGUUCAGCGACGCUAUUUCCAAAGCGAGCAGCAAGUUAUGCAGGCCAGAUGCAGGGAGGACAUGUAUGGUGCAGUAAGGUAGUUUAAGAAAUUAACAAGGCCAAGGCGCAGGCAAACACCAUGCACACAGUGUGUCACGAUCGAGACAACUUAUGGUUUCACGUGACAGAGUUUGACAGACCGCACCAAGGUGUUGUUGGCGGACAAUAUCGUGUACACUUGCGAAAUAGGACUUACAACUGUGGGAUGUUUGAUGCACUUCGUUAUCCAUGCGCUCAUGUUAUUGCAGCUUGUCAGAAUCUCCGUCUAGAUCCGAUAAAUUGUGUGGACGAAGUGUACAAAUUAGAAAACAUGUACAACGUCUGGAGACUCGUUUUUCCACUGGUCCCAGAUGAACGUAAGUGGCCCCCCGUAUCUCUUUCUCAUUUUAAGCUGUUACCGGAUAGAGAAUUACGUCGUAAACCAGAGGGUCGACCUUGCUCGACUAGAAUACAUAACAAUAUGGAUAUCCGAGAAACAGUCAAUCAACAUAAGUUGUGCAGAUGGUGUAGGAAUCCAGGCCAUACAAGUCGAUCAUGCCCUAAUCGCAAUAGUUGAAUGUAAUUUUUUUAAAAAAAAUUAUAUUUUUUCAAUUAUUAACUGAUAAUUGUAUUAAUUGUUAGUAAAAUUAUCAAAUUAUAUCAAAUAAUUAAUUGUUAGUAUCAGUCAAAACAUUUUUUCAAAUCUAACAUUAUGUGAAUAUAAAAUUAUUAACUGAUAAUUGUAUUAAUAUUAGUAAAAUUAUCAAAUUAUAUUUAAGUUAAGGGUUAGGGUUUUUAAGUUAAGGGUUAAGGGUUAAGGAUUUUAAAGUUAAGGGUCUAGGGUUUUAAAGUUAAGGGUUUAGGGUUUUUAGGUUAAGGGUUAGGGUUUUUAGGUUUAGGGUUUAUGGUUUUUAAUUUAAGGGUUAUGGUUUUUAAGUUAAAGGUCUAGGGUUUUAAAGUUAAGGGUCUAUGGUUUUAAAGUUAAGGGUUAGGGUUUUUAGGUUAAGGGUUUAGGGUUUUUAAGUUAAGGGUUAGGGUUUUUAAGUUAAGGGUUUAUGGUUUUAAAGUUAAGGGUCUAUGGUUUUAAAGUUAAGGUUUAAGGUUUUUAGGUUAAGGGUUAUGGUUUUUAGGUUAAGGUUUAGGGUUUUUAAUUUAAGGGUUAGGGUUUUUAAGUUAAAGUUUAGGGUUUUCAGGUUAAGGGUUAGGGUUUUUAGGUUAAGGUUUAGGGUUUAGGGUUUUUAAUUUAAUGAUUAUGAUUUUUAAGUUAAGCGUUUAGGGUUUUUAAGUUAAGGGUCUAAGGUUUUAAAGUUAAGGUUUAGGGUUUUCAGGUUAAGGGUUAGGGUUUUUAGGUUAAAUGUUUAGGGUUUUAAUUUAAGGGUUAAGGUUUUUAAGUUAAGGGUUUAGGGUUUUUAAGUUAAGGGUCUAUGGUUUUAAAGUUAAGGUUUAUGGUUUUUAGGUUAAGGGUUAGGGUUUUUAGGUUAAGGGUUUAAGGUUUUUAAGUUAAGGGUUUAGGGUUUAAAAGUUAAGGUUUAGGGUUUUUGGGUUAAGAGUUAGGGUUUUAGGUUAAGGGUUUAGGGUUUUUAAUUUAAGGGUUAGGGUUUUUAAGUUAAGGGUUUAUGGUUUCUAAGUUAAGGGUCUAUGGUUUAAAAGUUAAAGUUUAGGGUUUUUAGGUUAAGGGUUAGGGUUUUAUGUUAAAGAUUUAGGGUUUUAAAUUUAAGGAUUAGUGUUUUUAAGUUAAGGGUUUAGGGUUUUAAGUUAAGGGUCUAAGGUUUUAAACUUAAGGGUUAUGGUUUUUAGGUUUAGGGGUUAUGGUUUUUAAUUUAAGGGUUUAUGGUUUUUAAUUUAAGGGUUUAGGGUUUUUAAUUUAAAAGUUUAGGGUUUUUUAAGUUAAGGGUUUAAGGUUUUAAGGUUAAGGGUUAAGGUUUUUAGGUUAAGGGGUUAGGGUUUUAAAGUUAAUGGUUAGGGUUUUUAGGUUAAUGGUUUAGGGUUUUAAAGUUAAAGGUUAAUGAGUUAGGGUUUUUUGGUUAAGGGUUUAAGGUUUGUUAAUUAAAUUAUGCAUUUAAUUAUAAAUUAUAAAUUUAUAAAUUUUUAAUAAGUUAAGCGUUUAGGGUUUUUAAGUAGUAACUCAAAAAAAUUUCUAUUUUUAUUACAUCAAAAAAUAUCAAAAUAUUCAAAAUAUUUGUACAAAUAAAUUUAAAUACAAAAAUCAAUGUCUAUGCCCGCGGGAUUCAGUGCCACAUGGCAGCCGUCGACAGUUACGCGCUGGAUUCCUCCUUGUCCAGCUUUUGGCGGCGAUUAUAGUUCUUCCGGCGGCGGUUGUGGUUCUUCCGGCGGGGAUUCUGGUUCUUCCAGUAGGGCAUCUGGUUGUCGGAGUUGUGACGAUGAGCCACCUUGAUAGAAUUGUGAAUGUGGAGGUGUUUGCAUCACCAACGGCAACGGUGUUUGAAACCCAUACGGUGGUGGGGAUUGGUAAAAAGAAGAGCUCCCCGACGGCCCCUCUUGCGAUCCCUCGUGCGUCGCUGGCCUAUACAUCGGCGGUCGACUCGGCGUAACAGAAAUAGAGCUGAACCGGGCCAUUGGCUCCAACCUGCCAUAGGACUCGAAAAAGGAAACAUAUAAGGGUUAGGAUACAUAAAAGGGCUAGGAAACGCACCUGGCAUCAUCUGAAAAGGCGGUUGCGUGGGUAUCAUUGGUUGAACUGCUGGGUCGGGUGAAUGUCUGGGAGUCGUUGAAGGGCCAGCGUCGUCGUCCUGUCGUCUUGGAUUUAAAGGAUCGCGUCUUUCCCUUUGGACACGUAAUUGCCGCUGCCUCUCCUCUAGCGAUAGUAAAUACGGCUUGCCAUGGAUCCUAAACCAUGGCAUGCAUUCCGGCAUGCACGCUAACUCCGGAACGAUGAUCGGUUCCAUACUAGGUAUAUAGUCAUACCGAUCUUCCCACAUUUGGAUGUACUUGAACCAGAAUCUCGGCCAAUCCGUAUUCAAUUACCGAAGGUCGAUUUUGUGGUGAUCGUCAAACAUCUCAAGUUCCAUGGAAAUCGGUUGUCUACAUCCAAAUUGCCAUAACACCCUGUCUGACUGGUGCAUCUCCACGGUCGCGUAGUUGAUCAACGCGACUUUCGCCUGCCAAGCGUUUGGAUUUUGUAAGAACUCUUUCGGAAUUACUGCCCAAAUUGCCGGAUCCUCAUAUGGUGUCCAUUGAAACUAUAUGAAAAUGAUAGAAAUAUUAAUUAUAUACAUAAUACUAAAUACUAAAUACCAAUCGACUAGCGAAUGAUGGAAAUAUCAAUUUUAUUUAAUACUUACAUGUGCUUCCGACUAUUGGUCUAAUAGAAGCCGUAUAUCUUCAAGAGAGGUAGGUAAUCGAGCAUGACUUGCCGGAUGGUUCCACCUAAUUAAAUAAAUUUUUAGCAUACUUUUAUUUUUAAAAAUCUACAUAAUAAUUGUAAAAUCUAAUAUAAAAUUUACCUCGUUAUCAGUGGGAAUGUAUAUGGGUGGUCCACUCGAGGAUGUAGAAAUGAAAAGCGAAACCGUGCCCAUGAUUGCAGUAGGGACAGGCAACCUCCGAUUUUUGCUUUCCUCGGUCGCAUCGCCCCGUACAUCUCCUUAUAUAACGUUGUCAAGACGGCAGACCCCCAACUUAAUUCACCAGCUGCUCUAAAAUCAACGAGUUGCAGCAGCCAUCUUAGAUGUACGCGGCUCCGUGACAAGUCAGGCAUCAGAUAACCUCCAAUUAACUGAAGAAUGCAUGCCCGAGCAUAUCGGAUUCUUUCUAUUUCGGUUGAAUCUUCAUCCGGAUCCGGGAAUGUGUCUCGAAACCAGCCCAUCUCGAUCUUACCUCCCUCCAUUUUCUCCAGAAUAGCGCCCAAAAGCUCGUAGCACACCGCAAGCCAAUCGCUAGAUUGGGUAGACCCGGUGACUGGGUACCCGUCCACCGGCAAUCCCAAUUGUAGACUGACAUCUUCCAAAGUGAUAGUGCACUCUCUACAUCUUAAAUAAUAUUUAAAAAUUAAAUUUAACGCUUACCAUUUUCAUUUGUUCCACCGAUAUGUGAUGCUUAUCAAGACGAGUCAAUUCUUCGGCCAUUGCUGAAAUCGUACAAAUUUUUAAUGUUUAAAAAAAUUUUAAAAAAGUAAAAUUAUUUAAAAAAAGAGAUUUAAAAGAAAUUUAAGAGGAACUUGGGAGUAAAUUGAAAAUAAAUAUGAAUUUGAGAGAAAUUUUAAAGGAAUUUGAAAGCAAAAGAGUGGGGGUAUUUAUAGUUUUUUUUUUACCGUUCGGGGGGGCAAUGGUCAAUUUUUUGACCGUUGCACUGUUCACGUACGGGGCAAAUCGCAACCACGUCAGCGCGAUUUGCUGACGUGGACACAAAUCGCAUCCUCUGAAGCAGAAUUUGUUGCCACGUCAACGCGCUAUUUGCUGGCACAUACCCUGACAUCGCGCUGACGUGGACGCAAUUUCGAGAAAAAAUGGCCAUUUCGGUAAAUAAUAAAAUACCGGGCCCAUUUCGAUAAAUUUAAAAAAAAAUAGACUUUUUUUAGUAAAUUGCCCUACGUUUUAGUCUUGUUACAAUAUCCAAGUCUAAUGCCAAUAUUGAAGUAUACCGUAAUAGUAAUUAUUCUCUCUAUCUAGUACUCGAAACUGGUUUUAAAUAUCUUCCAUUCACUCGACAAAUAGUUAUGGUCUAAAUAAAUUUCUGGAAUUCAUGGCUGCCUACUUGCGAGAGGAUUAAUGAAAUAUGCGAUGCAAGUUGAUGAAAUCUUAUUAUUUGUAAUAUAAAAAACAAAACCCAUGCAUCCUUAAUAACAUAAAAAAAACACAUUCCAUAAUCAACAUCUGAGAAUUUAAAACUUAAUUGUAAUGUUGGCUGAACAAGACUCAAAAAGGGGAGAAAAGAAAAAUAAGUCCGAACCUGAAAAAAGUGACCGUAUAAAAAACCCUGACAGGCAGAACAGUAGCAAGCAACAUAAAACCAAGACAUAUUAUCACUUAAAGCACUUGGCAUCCAAGAGAGGCUCUCCCUCAAAUGGCUCGCAGUCUUCAAUCAUCUGAUUCACCCGUUCCUUCUGGGCUGCAUCUGACAGGUCAACCUUCUUCCACUCGUAGAGUUCCAUGUCAUAGCACUCGUCAAUCACAAAUUGAGGAAUCUCUUGCCCACGGAAAAGCCAUAGUCCUUUCACCUUGAAUGGAGGGUUAGCACCGAUCACCAACAUCUUCCCAAAUGCAUACUUGCGGGCCAAAUCCAUUCUCUGCAGGAAUCCUCCAACCUUGUUCAUUGUGACAAAUGAAACUGUAUUCUCCUCAUUGUACUUGUAGUCACAAAACCACAGUGAGUAUCCCUCGGGAUCAUACAUGUCCCAGAAUCCUGACACGAAUCAAGUAUCAGAUAUCACAAGCCCAAACAUUGCUUUUAAAAGGGAGUGCUACUGUGAAAACAACAGGGAUACCUUUAAUUGCAACCUCUCGGAAAUUGGUCUUUGUGUUAGAGUAAAGCCUCUUCCAGUCAUCCAGUACCAUCUUACUUGGAGGCAGCAAAUCAAGAGGAUUCUUUGGUUUGGGCUUUGGUGCCUCCUCCUCAGCUGCCUCUGCCUUUGCUGCCUGUUUCUCAACCUCCUUUUUGGCUUCUUUCUUUGGUUCAGCCUUUGGUUUAGUUUCUUUUGGCUGGGCAGCAGGCUUCUUUGAAGGAACAGGUGGUAGAGAGACUGCCUGCUUCACUUCACCAAGAAUCUUCUUGAUUUUUGGUUGAUUAACCAAGGUCCAAAAGUACCUCUCAACAUGAGGGAACUCCGAGGUAAAACUCUUAGUCAUGAUCUGGGAGAAACCCAAGUAGAGGUUACAUGUCAUGAUAAUGUCAGCAAGGGUGACAAAAUGUCCAACAAGAAAUGUGUUGGAAGCAAGAUGAGUGUUCAAAGCGCCAAGGGCUCUCUUCAAUGCAGCAAUAGCAGCUUCCUCAGCCUACAUGCAAAAUACAUAUAAGAGAUUAAAAUGAAAUAGGUAGGCAAAAUCAUACCAUUGAAUUAAAAUGAACUACUACUGAAUUACAAAAAUAAAAUUUAACUCUUAAUAUAGAUUAAUAAAUACAUCAGAAUGGGGGAGAAAACAACCUAGUCUCUUAAAAAAAUAAUGAGGAGAAAACCCAUGCCUACUUGAUUAUCAAUGCAAUGGGCAUUCCCUUCAACCAAAAUUACUUAAUAGUGCUUGAGUUGAUUCCUUUCCAGAAACUAUGCAGGGGAAAACACUACCACAUUAAGCAUGUACUAAAUGUUGUCUAACUAAUCCUCUCUAAAAUAAAUAAAACAAGAAUCAUAGACAGGUAAUCAAUGCCAAUUUUCCCUUCACCAUUCCCUCCUUAAUAUAUUGUAUUUCGAUGACUAAGUUGCCUUAUUCAAAUUUUAACACGGGACCAAUUGUCUUAUAAUUAGAAAGAAACAAAGACUAAGUAUGGCCCCAGCAAAUCAAGCCCAAUUAAAAUGACAAAAGAAUCUGCGAGGAAAGACAGUAGAACUUACUGGAGGAAGGUAAACACCGUAACCAAGUCUUGGAUACAACCAUUUUGCAAUAUUAGCAUCAAUUUCCAUGGCUGCGAAAUCAAUCCAUUGCUCGAUAUGACCCUAAGAAAGCCAAAGUAAUACAUACAAACAAUUACUUCCAUGGUUUAAAAUAAACUCAACUGAUGACAGAAGAAAACAAGACCGUUGUACUAUAAGAAUCUUACAUAAUCAAUCAAUGUAGAACCACAUAUAGGGUUGUUAACCUUUGAGCGAGCAACUGCAGAGAAAAGUAUACCAAUAAGUAAACAAACAUUAGAGGAAGAAAAUUUAGGAUAUGGAGUCAGCAGAUCUUCUCACCAUAACGAGCAAUGGCAUUGCUCUCAAAUACAGGACCCUCAGGUGUUUCCAACACAGGAACCUAGAAGAGUUAUAAAUAUCUUCAGUGAACGGACCUAAAAAAAGGUUACAUAACAUGUAUAAAAAAAAAUCACUAGUUUAAAUUUAUUAAUAGGAGUUACAAGGUCACCUUCCCCAAAGGGUUCAUCUUGAUGAACUCAGGAGUCUUAUUUGACACACCCAUCUCAAAAUUCUCAACCAUUUUGACCUGCACACCACUAUAUUCUGCAGCAAUGAGUGCCUUAAAGGCAUUUUUGUUUGUUUUUCCUGCAUGCAAGACCUGCAUGUAAAUCAACACACCACAUUGAUUAGAAGAACCGGUUGAUUAAGAAGUUGAGUUGAAUGUCAAGCACCAGUCACUCCCUACAACUAAUCCAGUAAAAUCCUGAAAUUGAUCCUUUUCGCCCCAUAAAUUCUCUUAAAGACCAGUCACUUUACAUUCUAAACCGCUAGACGGUACUUAGCAUUUCCAUCUACCAUACACAAUUAACCUAAUUGACGUAACACCUCGCCAUCUAUCUUUCUUCUGAACAACGGAUCCCAAUUGAAUCGAAGGUAAUAUAGUUAAAAUCAAAUUAUUUUUUUAUCGUUACUAUUAGUAUCUACAAAUGCAUAAACUAUUACAUUGAUUUAGAGAGUAACUAUAUAAAACAUAUUCGAUCUGCCACUUCCUUCGCAAUGUAAAAAACUACUUACAAACUUCACUUUCGAAUUCUAUCUGAAACAACGCCCACCAAAUCAUUUGGUGUCAAAUCUUUCAACAGUUAGACUACCACAAGAAACGAAACUAGUCUAUAUUCACACAUAUAAACCUUACCAGAGCCAUUGCUUGAUAUAAAAGGGCGCUACAAUUUGAGAAUUGAGAUCUGGAAAAUGAAAAACAGAGAAUAAAAUAAAAGGAAACAGGAAAAAUCUACAACGAGGAGAGCUUGGUUCCUAUGAAUGAAAGAAAAAAAAUGAGAGAAAGAACCUUGCAGACGAAGACGCAGCGAGCAGGAGAGGCUGCGGUAAUAAGAGGGCGAUAAAUAUAAAAGAAGGGGGGACUAGGGUUUUUGUUGAGUAGAGUGAGUAUGAUGUGGGGUUCUUUAUCGGUUCGGGUUCGGCUUCGGCUUCGGGGUCCGGUUUGGAUCCAGAUUUACUAACCCUCCUUUUUUCGGCUUUUUAAGCGUGUCUUUGGUGUUGCAAGUGGAGGGUGUUCCAAGCAUCAAUUUACGGAUAUCCUCUUUUAGGUUAAAAUAUGCCUAUAGUCCUUGAACUUUUCAACCAUUAAAAAAUUAGUCCCAGUACUUGUAUUUUUAGGAAUUUAGUCCCUCUAUUUUCCAAAUUUCAAAAUUUUGGUCUAACUGUUAAUACAUUUAAUUUGUUUAGUCAAAUUUGUUGCUGUGACAUUUUGAAAUAAAAAAUUACUCACUUGAUAACCAUGUAAUUAAAAAAAUAACUUUACAAUUAACUUGAAUUUAACAGAAAAAAUUAACAAUAUUAACAGUUAGACUUGAAUUUUAAAAUAUGAAAAGUAGAGAGACUAAAUUCCUAAAAAUAUAAAUAUUGAAACUAAAUUCAUAAUUUUUGAAAAUUACAAUAAUUAUAGGCAUAUUUUAACCCUUCUUUUAAUUAUUUUAAUGGAAACUAUGAUUUUUUUUCUUAAUUAUUUUUCAAAAAAAAUUCAGUCAAAUAUUAUCAAUUUUCAUUUCAAUAGAUUCAACUAUGAAAUCAAACUAGAAAUCAAUAGUAAUUAAAUAAAAAUAAAAUUACAAAAAAUAACACUUAAUUAUUGAACCGAUUGAACGAUUUCUUUUUCCUAUUUUUUUCUAAUUAUUCAUCAGUUUACAAGUAUAUGCUCUAUUUGCAACAAACCAAUGUAAAUAACGAAACAACUGCUCAUGCUUGUAAAUAUUAUAAAUAGGUAUGUUGCUUUUUAUUCAAUAUUUCCUCUUUUAAUUCGCCUAUUGAACAUGUUGGAAUAAGUAAUAGGUAUUUUUUAUGUUUUUUCUAUUAGUUUUUAAGUUAUAAGUGUUAGAAACAUAAAAUAAAUUUAAAGCUUAAUAAAUCAAGAUCUAUCAUAUUAAAUCAUCUAGGAUAAGUCAAGAGCAAAACUAGAUACGGAAGCGUACCUAAAUUCAUCAAUUUUUUAAAAUCUAAGUUUUUUGCGAUUUUGAUCUUUCAAAUUAGCACACAAGUAAUUUUAAGAAGGUGACUCUCUUUUUUCUAAAGAUGGGAUAUUAGAUCUAUUAACAAUUAACUUUUGUAACUUUUACGAAUCAGUCUUUUUUUCUUAAUUAACAACUUAAACUAUAAAAAUUUUAAACCAAAAUUUAACACAACUCUAUAAUAACUUUAAGAACAUCAAAUAAAUAGAAAAAAGAAAAAUAUAUGCUGUCUCACUAGUCGAAAUUGUGGUCUUGAAACCAUUGUUUUUGACACCACUAAAAAUGAGAUGUUACAAAUAAACUUUAUUUCUGCAAAAAAUAAACUUAAUAUCUGUAAACUGAAAUAAUUGAAAAUGUAUUUAUAGCAUAAAAACAUUUAAAAGUACAAACUCCCAUUAAAACCAAAUAUCCUUAAAUGACAUUACACCCAUAUGAGUAGUGUACUCAUGAAAAACCUUAGGUGUAGUCCCUUAGUAAGUGAGUCUGCAAUCAUGGAGUUUAUCUCAGUAUGCUUUAUAGGCACCUAACCACUUUGAACUUUUACUUUAACAACUAGGAACUUAAAGUCUAUGUGCUUUGUGUAACACCCCUUACUCGUAUUCCCUACCGGAACAGAGUAUGAGGUAUUACUAAAUUUUUAAAAAAAUUUCGACAGCAUUCCUACUUAUUUUUGCUUAAACCUCCUGCAAAUUUAGAACACAUUCCAAUAUACCAACCAAUUUCAUUUGUAUAAUCACACAUACAGUUUAACUAUUAAUAAACACUACAUUUAAAAGGGAAUCAUAACAUAUAUUUACAUGAUGAUCCCACAUUACAUAAGUCGUCUAUACAUGCCAUAAAAUUUCGGAACACUAGUAGUAAAAUACCCCAAAUGUGAAGGAUAGUGUAGAUGAUUGUCUGACUUCGUUCCAAUUUCCGAGUUGUUGGAAGUCACUAUAAUCAAGAGAAAAAUAAAAUCGAGUAAGCAUAUAGCUUAGUAAGUAAACACAUGAUAAAUAAGUAAUUACUCCCAUAACUACACCAAAAUAUAAACUUAUUCAUGAAUAACUUUAUUGUUUAGGCAAUUUCCAGUAAGCUGUUUUUCUGCGUCAUAGUCGCUAAUUUAUUUUUAUCUGGAGCUACAGGGCUCCAAUUUGAGUUCCGUAAAUUUUCCCUGAAACUAGACUCAUAUACCAUUUCACCAUAAAAAUUUCAGAAUUUUUGACCCAGCCAAUUAGUACAGUUUAUUCAUUAAACCUUCCCCUGUUUCACUGCCCAACGGUUCUGACCCUUCCUCACUAAAAUUCACUUAACUCUCUGUACAAAAUUUGAAAAAUGGUUUUGCUUGUUUCUAAUAAAAAUAGACUCAAUAAGGAUUCCAGGGAUAUAAAUUUCAUGCCAUAAUUAUUUUUUUACAAUUUUUGGUAAUUUUCCAAAGUUAGAACAGGGGAUCUCGAAAUCAAUCCAGCCCUGUUUCAGUAAAAUUCAGAUAUCUCCAAAAAUACAACUCUUUUGCUUAUUCUAUUUCUUUCAUAUGAGAAUAGAUACAUUCAACUUCAAUUUCAUAUAUUAUUCAGCUUCCCAUUCAUUUUCCACCAUUUAUGGUGAUUUUUUUAAAGUUACCCAAUUGCUGUUGUUCAACACAGUUUAUAAUUAAAUCAUUCCUUUUUGCGUUUUUGAUAUUUUCUCCCAUCUCAUACAUGGGUCGAUUUAGUAUUCAACUCAAUAUUUACCCCAUAAAAUUUUCCACCAUAUGGCAAUAUUCACCUUCCACACUUUUUUUGUUGAACACUUAGAAUGUUAACCGUUAUCGGUAGAUCCCGCACUUAGCACCACCACUGAAUCGGGGAAUCAGCACUUAGCAACCCCUCGGGGGAAUCAGCACAUAGCAACCCCCUUUUUCAUUUCAAAGAUACGGUGGAUAUUGCACUUAGCAUCACCAAUGAAUCAGGGAAUCAGCACUUAGUAACCCCUCGGGGGAAUCAGCACAUAGCAACCCCCUUUUCAUUUCAAAGAUACGAUGGAUAUCGCACUUAGCACCACCAAUGAAAUCGGGGAAUCAGCACUUAGCAACCCCUCGGGGGAAUCAGCACAUAGCAACCCCCUUUCACAUUUCAAAGAUAUGGUGGAUCACGCACAUAGCACCACCAAUGAAUCGGGGAAUCAGCACACAGCAACCCCUUUUAUAUACAACAUACUCCGGCUUAUUCCGAGUGUUCAACCCAUAAACCAUAUAUUGCAACCCUUUAUCACCUUUCCCGAUUUAACAACAUUUUUAGGAUAUUGCCAAACAUUUAUUUUAAUUCCAAAUAAAUCUCAACAUAUAUCAAAUAAUAUCAAAAUAAUACAUUAAGUCAUGUGUUUACUUACCUCGGUGCAAAAUAUCGUAAUUUUGCACUUUACUCCACUAUCUUUUCUUUUCCCCGUUUGAUAUACUCUUCACGUCUUUCUUGAUCUAUAAUAGCAAAUUUAACUCGUUUAAUAUUCACAUUUAUUAAAAUAAUCCACCACCCAACUUUUUGAAAAAUUACAAUUUUGCCCCCAAACUUUUGCAUAAUUACACUUUUGUCCUAAAGCUCGGAAAUUAAACUUCAUCACUUAUUCUUAAGUUUUAUAACAUGCUGAACAUUUUUUCCUUCUAUGGCAACAUCAAAUUCCCACUCCAACACAUACUUUUGAAUAUUAAUUAUUUUUACCAAUUAUGUCUAUUUACCCGUUUUCGCUUAAAAUUGCUUAGCAAAAGUUGUUUAACAUAAUCUCUAGCUUCAUAUUCCACCAUAAAACAGCAAAAUAAACACAUUUCACCUAUGGGUAUUUUUCCAAAUAUGAACCCUAACACGAAUUAAUGGUAGAAUAAGCUAAACCAAGUUACCGGGACUCCAAAAAUACGAAGAACAUUAAAAACGGGGCUUAGAAUCACUUACUAUGGAGCUUGAAAGCUUAAAAACCCUAAAUAUGGCUUCCCCCUUGCUGAUUUCGUUCACCAUGAAGAAGAUGAGCAUAUUUUGCCAUCUUUUUCCCAUUUAAUUCUAUUUAAUAACCAAAUGACUAAAAUGCCCCCAUUUAAAAAAAUCUAUUUCACCCAUUUCUUAUGUCUAUUUUUGUCCAUCAACUAACUAAUGGUCUAAUUACCACAUAAAGACCUCCAAUUUAAAAUUUCAUAACAAUUAGACACCUCUAAGAUGUAGAACUCAACUUUUGCACUAUUUACAAUUUAGUCCUUUUGACUAAAUUGAGUGCCCAAACGUCGAAAUUUUCGAACGAAAUUUUUACAAAAAUUUUUCGUGAAAUUGUAGACCAUAAAAAUAUAAUAAAAACCAUAUUUUCCCUCGUCGGAUUUGUGGUCCCGAAACCACUAUUCCGACUAGGCCUAGAAUCGGGCUGUUACAACUCUCCCCCCUUUAGGGAUUUUCGUCCCCGAAAAUCUUACCGGAAAAGAGGUUUGGGUACUGUUUCCUCAUAAUUUCCUCCGGUUCCCACGUAGCCUCUUCCAUUCCAUGUUUUUGCCACAACACUUUCACUAAGGCUACACUUUUAUUUCUUAACUGUUUGACCUCCCGAGCCAAAAUCUUUAUGGGUUCUUCCUCAUAAGUCAUAUCUGGUCGAACCUCAAUCUCUGUAGGAGAAACUAUAUGUGAAGGAUCCGAACGAUAACGUCGCAACAUCGACACAUGAAAUACAUUAUGUAUCUUUUCCAACUCUAGCGGUAAAGCUAACCGAUAUGCUACAGGGCCAACUCUCUCGGUAACUUCAUAUGGUCCAAUAAAACGUGGACUUAGUUUGCCUUUACGACCAAAUCUCAGAAUCUUCUUCCAUGGGGAUACUUUCAAGAACACUUUAUCACCCACUUGAAACUCAAUUUCUUUUCUCUUUAAAUCCGCAUACGACUUUUGCCGAUCUGAGGCAGCUUUUAGGCAAUCACGGAUUAUUUUCACCUUUUCUUCAGUUUCUUUCACCAGGUCGACUCCAUGAAUCCGAUUCUCACCGAGUUCAGUCCAAUAUAAAGGGGUUCUACGUUUACGCCCAUAUAAUGCUUCAUACGGUGCAAUUUGUACACUUGACUGAUAACUAUUAUUAUAAGCAAAUUCAACCAGUGGUAGAUAUUUCUCCCAACUGUCCUUCAUUUCUAAAAUACAACACCGGAGCAUGUCUUCAAGAACUUGAAUCACCCUUUCUGAUUGCCCGUCAGUUUGCGGAUGAAAUGCAGUACUGAAAUUCAAUUUCGUACCCAAAGCUUCCUGUAACUUUAUCCAAAACCUCGAAGUAAAUCUCGGAUCUCUAUCCGAUAUAAUAGAUUUAGGCACCCCAUGUAAUCUUACUAUUUCAGCAACAUAUAAUUCCGCCAACCUGUCAAGUGAAUAAUCAAUGCGUAUCGGAAUAAAAUGGGCUGACUUUGUCAAUCUAUCCACAAUUACCCAAAUAGCAUCUUUCUUCUUUGGAGUUAAAGGCAAUCCUGUCACGAAAUCCAUCGUGAUACUGUCCCACUUCCAUUCUGGAAUCGUUAUCGGUUGAAGUAAACCCGAUGGCACUUGAUGCUCAGCCUUCACUUGUUGAGAGAUUAAACACUUUGUUACAAAUUCCGAGAUAUCCUUUUUCAUGCCCGGCCACCAAUACAACUUCUUCAAAUCAUUGUACAUUUUCACACUACCCGGAUGGACUGAUAAAUCACCACUGUGUGCCUUACCUAAAAUAGUCCGAAUUAGCUCAUCAUUUCUCGGUACACAUAUUCUGUCCCUGAACAUCAGGCAAUCAUCUGAACCAAUUUGAAAAUCUGAGUCAACACCUGCUUCACACUGAGCUCUCUUGGCUUGCAAUUUACUGUCAUUCUUUUGAGAUUCCCGAAUUUGCUGAAGAAAUAACGGUCUAGCUCUCAAUUCAACCAACAUUGAGCCAUCAUCAGAUAAAGUUAACAUCGUACCCAUAGCUCUCAAAGCAAAUAAAGAUUUUCUGCUCAAGGCAUCAGCAACCACAUUAGCUUUCCCGGGGUGAUAAUCAAUCACUAGCUCAUAGUCUUUGAUUAGCUCGAGCCAUCUUCGUUGCCGCAAAUUCAAGUCUUUUUGACUCAUCUAAUAUUUCAAACUCUUAUGAUCAGUGAAGAUUCGGCACUUUUCACCAUACAAAUAAUGACGCCAAAUUUUUAAAGCAAAAACAAUGGCAGCCAAUUCUAAAUCAUGCGUCGGAUAAUUCUUCUCAUGCGGUUUCAACUGUCUCGAAGCAUAAGCUAUUACUUUGCCCUCUUGCAUUAACACACACCCACGGGUUGCUUGUUCUCGAACGAGCAAUUUAUCAUAGUCAUUUGUUGAUAGUGGUCAUAUUAAUCAUUAAGAAGACACAAUGGUGAUAAUGAGAUAAAAUAAGAUUGUAUUAAGUGAAUGGAUUUAACUCAAAUGAAUCAAUGAUAUCAUAUGAGGGUAACACACACAUGACAAAGUCAUUAGACAAAGUAGUUGGAUGAAUUGCUUUUGUAAAGAGUAUAUAAUAAGGAGUUUUCAGUCAUGGUACUUCUUUUGGAUUGACUCUAUGAUUAAGUAAUUGUGAAUUAUCGAAACGGUGCUUCUCGACAUAAUUGUUGUAACACCCAUUUCUCGUUUUGUUAUCGAAAUAGGGUUACGGAGUAUUAUCGUACAAGUCGAAACAUUUCAUUUCAAUUAACUUCAAAAAAUAAAAUAAAUUCAUAAAUUCAAAUAAGAUUCAAUGUGAAAUAGAACAUACAUUAAUGGGCCUUAAAUCAAGCCUUCAAAGCUCUAAAAAAAUUACGAACAUCUAGGGACCAAAUCGAAACGAAUUAGAACAUUCAGGGAAAAUUUAAAAUUUUUCAAAAUAGGGGUCUCACGGUCGUGUGGAACUACUAGACCGUGUGAUGUAGGGACAUGACCAUGUGGAAAAUCAUACUUCAGGCCGUAUAACAUUCAAAUUAAUUCUACACGGUCGUGUCGUAGGUCAUGUGCUAGCCCAUGUACCAUUCGAAAUACCCUCACACGACUGUGUCGCAGACCAUGUGUUAGACCAUGUACAAUUUGAUGUUAGGUCACAUGGUCGUGUCUCAAACCGUGUGAAUACUGCACUUAAACACAUUUAGGGCACACGCCCGUGUGUGACACACGGCCAUGUGAUAGCCCGUGUCCCAGGCCGUGUGUGCCCAAAAUUGACCCAAAUCAUACUCUUUUCUUUACCCAUAUGCAUAGGUUCCUAGACAUAUUAAAACAUACCAUUUACAAUCCCAUCAAACACCUUCAAUAACAUUUAAAACAUGUAUAUACAAUCAACCUAGGUGCCUAACUCAUGUGCCAUCAUCGACACUACAAUGUAAUUCACUUCCAUGGUUACUUAUGCAAGAUACAAUUUACACAUUAAAAUUCUACAUCCAUUUCAUUUCAUAUCAUAAUUCAACAUAGUGUAAUUGUAGUUCAUUCUUGAUCAACCAAUUCAACUUAAGUAAAAACAUGCAUACUUCCAUAAGUUAUUUAAACACAAUAAGACAAGUUAAAGGUAUAACUUGCACAAACCAAGUACUUAUACAUCCUAUCCAAAAUGAGUCCUGUUACAUGCUAUAUAUGCUAAACCAAAAUCAAAGUCCACCAAAGAUUCCUGGAUAGUGUGAUUUCUCUUGUUGACUCGAUCUUCCGAGCCCACAAAAACAUAAUCUACAAAAAAAUGAACCAAAUACAAGUAAGAUUACAUAAAGCUUAGUAAGUUCGUUUGAAUAAUCAAAAAAAUUUACUAACUUAAACAUGAUAAAUCAAACUUUGCAUUUAGGCAAUGAAAUUCCUAGCAAUCACAACUUCCAUCAAAUGAAUAAUAUUCAGAGCAUUAUUUCAGGGUUCGUUUCUCAACCAUCGAUAGAGAAAUAUCUUAUUCAGUAUAAUCAGUGGAUAUCGCUCAUUUUGAGCAAACAUUCAGUAUAAUCAAUGGAUAUAUGUAACACCCCUAACCCAUAUCCAUCGCAGGAACUGGGUUAUAGAGCAUUACCGGAGUUUAUAGAUCAAACAGAUAGAAAUUUCAAACAUUUCAUAUCAUCAAAAUAUAUCAUCAAAGCAUUAUUCAAAUCCAAAUUAUAAACAUACCAAAUUCAAUUCAUUUUUCCAUGUACAUAAGCACUUAAACAUCAACUUAAUUUCACAUGCACAUAUCUAGAUUUGGUUUAAUUUACCAUGCCAUAAUAUGGCUUCAAAAACAAAUACAUGUUUAUAUAUAUACCAAACCAAUAUUAAAAUUAUAAUCUUAUUUACAAUCAAUCUACAAAAUAACUAUUAUUUAGACACCCUAGGUACAUUCUGACACAAAAGAUAGAUAUCGCCACAUUUGAGUUCAGGAUCAUUGUUGAAUGCUGAAUCGGCGAUCAAAAAGUUAAGUACCUAACCUGCGCAUGGAAAACAAAAUCGUACGCUAAGUAAAACUCAGUGGUAUUUCUAUAAUUCGAAUAUUUAAAGACAAUAGAUUACAAAUGUAUAAUUGAAAUAUAGACACAUAUUAAUAUUUUAAAAAAAAUUACAACUACCAUAUGUCAACUCUUUGAAUUCAUACAUAAUAGCAUAUCAUAUUUCAUUUGUUUCACAAAUAUCUCAAUUCUCAUACUUACUAUAUAAAUAGCUUCUCACAUUUGAUUCACAUUUCAUUCAAACAAUGGCAUUAUUAAUUCCAUAUUCAAUUCAUCAGUAUAUAACUCAUAUAUUCCAUGUAUUUAAAACAUAUUUCACAUUUUAUUUUCAAUUCACUAUAUCACUUCCAUUUCUCAUACCAUGUCAUUUCAAUAUCAAUUAUAGAACUUUAUUAUUUAUUUACCCCUAUUAACACGACUCGGACGAAUACACGGAUCCAACCAACAUACCAGUUUGGCACCAAGUGCCUCAUCAGAUAAAUCUGAAGUAAUAACCGCGCCCAACGCUAUAUAAAUUUGACACCCAAUGUCUCAUCAGUUAAACUGAAAUAAAUUGGCACCUAGUGCCUCAUCGACUCGAAGUCAAAGAAAUCCCUGAACUCUUCCUAUCCUAUGGUAUGCCAUUUAUAUCCGACUCAGCCCGAUAUAGUUAAUAGGGUUCCAAUUCACUUUCCAAAUACAACCAAUAAACAAUUAUCAUAUUUGCACAUUAUCACAUUUACAUAUAUAUAUAUAUUCAUAAUAUAUAUAUCAAUUCCAUCCAAUUCAAUUCAAUCCAAUUCAAUUCAAUUCAAUAAUCAAUACAUUCAAUAUGUAUCUACCAUUUCAAUCAAUUAUCAAAUGUCAAUUACUCACCUCAAUACUUACCAUAUACAUUAAAUUGAAUUAUAACAAUUAACAACUAGGUUUAUAGAAAUACAAAUCAGAAAUUCCGAGCUCUUCGACUUUAUAUUUCCCCUUUUUAGUCGAGGAUUCCGAUACGACAUUAGCUACAGAAUUAAAACAAUUAAAAUUCAUCAAUAUAACACAAUUCAAUUUCAUAUUGAAUAUUUCAAAUUUUUACUCAAUAUUUUCCUAUUUUUCAAAUUAGUCCCUAAAGCGAGACUAAUUUUUAUUCUUCACAUUUAAUUCUAUAUUUUCAUACAAAUUCCACUUUAAACUAAAUUUAACUCCAUAUUUUUACUUAAAUCCAUAAAUUUUGAAUUUUUCACAAUUUAAUCUCUAUUACUCAAAAUUUACAAUUUAUUCUUUGAACUUUGAACAAUUUAAAACCCUAGCAUUGCGUCUUUCUCCUUUCUUCUUUCUUUUUUUCUUUUUCUUUCUGGUUCGUAUGGCUUUCUUUCUUUUUUAUUCAAUUCUUUUAAUACUUUUGUUUUAUUAUACAUUAAAUUAUUAUAUAAUACAAUAUAUAUACUUAACAAUAAGAUUUCGUAUUAUAAUAUAAUAUAUAAAUUAAAUUUACAUAUCAUAUAUAUCACUAACCGUUCCACUCAAAAAACAAUGGUAAAAUUUCUUCUUUAGUCCCUUUAAUUAUUCUUUAAUCUAAGAUCUAACUUUCACCCUAUAUGCAAUUUAGUCCUUACACCUAAUUACUCUUAAUUCAAGUAAAUUCACUUAAUCGAAACCUAAUUAACUACACAAAUAGCUUCGUAAGUAUUUAUUAAAAAUGUUUAUGAGUCCGAUUUACGGGAACAGAAUCCCGAGAAUGCACUUUUUUUCAAUUUAGCCCUUUUUAAUUAAUUAACUAUCAAAACAUUAAAAUUUCUUAACGAAACUUUAAUACCACCUUAAUGACACUCCGUAAAUAUUAUAAAUAUUUACUGCUCGGUUUAUAAAAACAAGGUCCCGAUACCUCAUUUUCUAAAACCACUUGAACUUAAUAAAUCACUUAUAUAACAUAAAUUAUCAAAUCAAAAACCUUUUUAAAAAUCACACUUGUCUCGUAAAUAUUAAAUAAUAAUAUUUACGAACUUACUCGUUGGAUUUGGUGGCCCCAAAACCGUUGUUUCUGACACCACUAAAAAAUGGGCUGUUACAAUAUCGUUCGUUUGAACAACUUUCAGUAUAUUCAAUAGACAUUGCUCUUUUGAGCAUGUUCAGUAUAAUUAGUAGAUAUUGCUUGUUUGAGCAACUUUCAAUAUAAUCAGUAGAUAUUGCUCUUUUAAGCACAUUUAGUAUAAUCAGUAGAUAUUGCUUAUUUGAGCAACUUUCAGUAUAAUCAAUAGACAUUAUUCUUUUGAGCACGUUCAAUAUAAUCAGUAGAUAUUGCUCGUUUGAGCAACUUCAGUAUAAUCAGUAGACAUUGCUCUUUUGAGCACGUCCAAUAUAAUCAGAAGAUAUUGCUCGUUUGAGCACAUUCAGUAUAAUAAGUAGAUAUUGCUCAUUUGAGCAUAUUCAGUAUUUAAUCGAUUCACGAUGCUGCUCAUAAGAGCUUCAAAGUGUCCACAACACAUGCAGGACCUCAAGCCAUCGUUACUGUCCAUAUCACCGACUCAAAGCCUGAUUGUAAAUCACCUACCCAAGGCCUGAUAGAUAAUUCGUAUUCCAUUUUCGUUUUCAACAUCAUACCAUUGUACAAUAUAACAUUUUAAAAAAUUAUAUUAACAUAGAAUAUAUAAGAAUUAACAAAAAUAUAAUAAAAGUACGAACUUACAGAAUUGAUUUGUAGUAAGGGCUCACCGUAUCUCAAUCAAUGAUUGACGUAAUAUCAAUUCAUUAUUUCCAUUUUCAAUUACACACAUCAAUAUAAUCUAACAUUAUGAAAUUAGAUUAAUAUAUUACAUUUAAAAAUUGUACUAAAAUUGGACCGAACGAACUUACCAGACUAACUGCAGCAAUAAUGGAAGUUCAGAAACUAUUUAGUAAUUUUCUCUUUUCCUCGAUUAUUAGCUUGUCCUUGAUCAAAAUAAUAAUUUCAUUCAAUUAUAAAUUUCCAGCAACAUAAUUAACUAUUUUAUGCAACUAAAUCCUUUUUGACAUUUUUAUAAAAUUACCCUAACAUUUUACUUUUAUGCAAUUUAGUCCCUAAGCUCAAAACUUGCAAUUUAACUAAUUUUAAUCUAAUUUAAAUUCAGCUGAAUUUUAUAGGGCCCCAUACAACCCAUAAUUUAUGUCAUUUCACAAAAAUUUCCUGUAAUUUUAUCACUUUCACGAUUUAGUCCUUAAACAUUAAAAUUAUCAAAAAUUAAUUUACAAAAUAGUCCUAUUUAACAUUCAAGCUUUAUAAUCUACAAUAAAACUUCAAGAAUAUCCAAAACUCAUCAAUAGCAUAAUCCAUAAUUUUUAAGCAUUUUGAAAACGGAGAAACGGUUUAGCUGGACCUAGUUGCAACGAUCUUAAAAACAUAAAAAUUACAAGAAACCAAUUAAAAUUGGCUUACCAAAUUGAAGGACAAGCUUGGCCGAAGCUUCCUUCACCUCCAACAAUUGUGUUUUGGCUUUUUUGGGAGGAGAAUCAAAGAAAUUACAUUGUAAUUUAGCUUUUAUUUUAAUUAUAAUUCAUUUAUUUACAAAAUUAUUAUUAUAACCUUUUAAUUAUAACGUAUAUAAUUUAUAAAACAUAUCCAUAAAUGUUCGAUAUACAAUUAUAUGGUAUAAAUACCAUCCAAGAAAGGUUUGAUUGCACAAUUAGUCCUUUAAUUGUUUCAAAUUAUUGAUUAAUUAAGUUUUAUUUCAAUUUAACCCUAAACUAAUUAAAACUAAAUGAGAAAUAGCCCAAAAAUUAGUGGAUUUAAUAAUGUCACCACCGCUUGGACUUUUUGACUAUGGUUUAAUCACCAUUUUGGUCUAUUUAGUAGUUUAAAUCCAUAGCAAUUAACUUUUACCUCUUUUACAAUUUAAUUCUUUUACCUUAAUUAAGCAAUUAAUCAUAAAAAUUACCGGACCAAACUUCAAUUCACCUAUAAUAAGACUCUAUAAAUAUUUAAUAAAAAUAUUUUUGCUCUUAAAUUAUAGAAACGAGGUCCUAAUACCUCGUUUUCAAUAACCACUUGACUUUUGAAUCGAACCACCUAUACUAACUUUUAAUUCUGUUAGUUAAAAUCCCUCAAAUUAAAAUUCAAUAUAAAAAUUAUUGUUGACUCAUAUAAUUUAAAUACUAAUUAUACGAACUCACUCAUCAAAUUUGUGGUUUCGAAACUACUGUUUUCAAUUCCACUGAAAAACGGGUUGUUACAAUUGCAAUCACUAAAACAUAAUUGUUUAUGUCCGAUUGGUCCCUCCGCUAUCACAACAAAAGCUCGACUAGAAUGCAUUUGAAUCAGAAGAAAAUUUUAGGACUUUAGGAAUACUUUAAUUGAGUUGAUUUAUUCAAUGUGUAAUUAAAUUAGGUGGUCGUGAGAAUUGUUCAACUAGAGAUGAUGAGUCAUGAAACUAACUAAAAAUACGAUAAAGGCAAGUGCACCUAUUGAUAAAUAGUAUAGCAACGGUGAAUAGAGAUAUCGUAUCCACGAAGACUAAAAGUACUAGUAAUUACGGUUUUCCUAUUAUUUAACUGACAAAUUGGAGUGAUUGGUUUAAGCUAAAAUCUACUAAAUUAAUUAAUUAAAGAACUCAACAAAGAAUAAAACAGGAAAAUAAUUAAAUAAUAACUAAGAAGCUAAACAAUACACAGGAAAAAAUCUACCUAAACUUCAUCUAUCAUUAUAAAUCUGAAUUAAACGAUUUAUUCACUUGGUAUCUUGAUAUGUAGAAAUCCCUAAAUUAUGCUAAUAUCUCUUUCGAGAGUAAAAGCAAUUGGCUCUAGGUUGAUUAAUUGAAAAUUUUUUCUAAUUAAAACCCUUAUUGUCGCAUUAACUUUAUUUAUGAAUCCUCCUAUUAGAUUUGACUCUAAUCCGGUAGAUUUAUAUCAUCCUAUUUCUAGGAUUGCAUGCAACUUCACUCAAUUAUGCUAGAUCUACUCUUAAACAGGGACUUUUCCUCCUCUGAUUUAAUCACAUUAAACAUGUAUUAAUAUUCAGGAAAUAUUAAAAAUAAGAGAUAAGCACACAUAACUGAGUACAAAAAUCAAGUAUUUAUCGUGUAAAAUAGAAAUCAAAUAAUAGAAUUCAUCAUAGGAUUCAUCUUCCCUAGGUAUCUAGAGAUUUAGUUCAUAAUUGUAAAUAAAAAUAUCUCAAAGUCAAUAUAACCACUAGAAAUAAAGAAACUCAUAAAAACUUCAAAGAAAUUAACAGGAGGUUUUCAAUCUUUGAUGGAAAUCUACUUUAGAGUUGGCUUCAAUGGUGUUUUGCGAGUUGUUUUCUUCAAUACACUCUAAUGGCUCCUGAUUCUUUUCUUCUAUUUGGCAUUUAUAGACUUUAGAAUGCCCGAAAAGCCUAAAAAUUAUGUUUUUCAGAGUGUUUGGGAUGCGAAUCGCGAAAUCGACACAGUCUGGCACAUGGCUGUGUGUCCAGCCCGUGUGGCUCCUUAAAUAUGCUCUAUUUGUCCGAUUUUAGCUGAUUUUUUGCUCUCAAAUGUUCUCAUAAGUAUAGAAACAUGAAUUUAAAGGAUUAGGAGCAUAAAAUUCACUAAUUUGCAUAAAUAAUCAUCCAAAAAAGCUUUAAGAACAGGAUUAAAAUAUGUUAUUUUUAUCACUUGUCAAGAGAAUUUGAUUAAAGAAUUUUCUUGAAAAUUUAAUUUGAAAAAUCUAAGUGAUUUUUGGAAAAAUUAAUUUUGAUAAAGUAAAAUUAAAUUAAUCAAAUCAAUUAAAAUUAAUAUGAUAUUUUUGGAAAUUAAUUUUCAAGUCAAACAAUUGGCCCAAUGGGUAAUUGAACUUAAAAAUUGGACCUGAGAUCGUAAAUUGGGUCUAGGAGCUCAAAAUCGAAACCAAUAUCCAAAAAUUGGUCGAACCAGACCUGAUAUGUGAAACUGGACCAACGGUCUAACUGGUGGUUAGACCAAACUGGUCAAAUCGUCAUUGACUCGAACUGAACCAACAGCAGCCGAAUCGACUUAGGGUGCCGUAAGAGUGCUGCACCUGCGUCACCAGACACAACGGUGUUAGUGGCUGCGAUGGCAACGUCCUGGUGGUUGGCGACGGUUGGUCGUCAAUGGUUGAGCAGUGAAAGAGUUACACUCCUAUUGGGACUCUACUAGAGCAUUUGAUUUCAAAAUAAUUAUUCCAAAAAUAAUAUUAUUUUAAUAGUUUAAUAUUAAAUUUAAUUUAAUACUUAUCUAAAUAGUAUUCUAUUAAUUUAAUAUUAAAGUGAUUAUCUUAAUAUUAAAUUUAAUUUAAUGUUUAUCUUGUAGAUAAAUAUUCUAUUAUUUUAAUAAGAUUUAAUAUUAAAUUUAAUCUAAUAUUUAUCUUAAUAAACAUUAUAUUAAUUUAAUAUUAAAGUCAUUAAGUUUAAUCAUAGUUAAACUCUCUAAACUCUCCCUAUAUAAAGAGGGCCUUGAGUCAUUAUUUACACACACUUGAAUUCAAGAGAAAGUUGUAGAGAGAAAAUUCUUUAAAGAGAUUAUUCUAGAAAAUUUAUAGAGAUGUUUUUCUAAUUUACAACUUGACCCAAAAGUUUAGAGAAAUUGCAAAAUUACCUCACUGGUAGGUUUUGUGAAAAUUUUUCUAAUUUGAAGCGAGCCUACACUCGGCAGACGUGAGCUUGAGGAUAGCGUAGAAGACUACUUGGUCGAAGCGCUCAUCCUAGAUGAACCGAAAAGGUAAAAUUUUGAUUAAGUGUUUAUUAUUUUAGAUAUCACAACCAAGAUCUUGUUUUAGAAAAAAAUUAAAACUUUGGUUUUUCCCUAAAUUUAUUUUCCGCAGCAUUUUUCAAACUCGUUUUUUCCAACAUGAGCAUGUAAUCUUUUGUUCUCUGAAGAUAUCUCAUAACCCUAUUGGCUAUUAUCUAAUGGUUCAUACCAAGAUUGCUUAAAUAUCUGCCUAACAAUGUACGCAAUGUCCGAAUGCAUACAUACUUAAGCAUACAUUAGACUCCCCACUCUUGAGACAUAAUGAACCUUGCGCAUUUCUUUAAUCUCAAAAUAAUUAUUAGGGUAUUGGUCGAGACUUAACUUAUUAUUGACAAGCAAUAUGUUAUUAACAUAUAAAACCAAAUAUAGAAUCUUACUCCUGCUGAACUUUUGGUAUAUAAAAUUAUCGACCAAAUUCAUCUCUAAACUAGAUGAGAUAAUCAUUUGGUAAAAUUUGUAAUACUAUUGACGGGAAAUCUGCUUAAACCUAUAGAUGAAGUUCUUUAAUUUGCAAAUUAUUAACUUUGCAUCAUCAGACACAAAAUUUUUUAGUUGCUCCAUAUAAAUGUAUGACCAAUGUUACCAUUGAAAAACCAUUAACUUAACAUUCAUCUGAUGCAGUUUAAAGUCAAAAUAAUUCACUAAAGCCAUUAUAACCUUUUCUUUAGUGGACCUUCUUAAUGACAUUUGUUUUUGAGGCUGUUGAGUUUGUUCUUCUAGAACAAUUACCUCAUCUUGAAUAGGGAGUUAUUCAAUAGUGUCUUAUUGAGGUUCUAGAUUCACUUCUUGAUCAAUGAUAGGUAUGAGAACCUGAACAUUGUCAAAAGUGAUAACAGUAACUAAGUUAAAAUCCAAUUCAUCCUCAAAAGUAACAUCUCUAACCUUAUUUCUCCUCCCAAACUCAACAUCCCCAAAAAUGGUGCAGUUUUCAUAUAAAAAUAUUCCUAAUUAUGGUUGUCUUUAGAGGCACUGUCCAAAUGAACACUUUCAGCCUUAUCAUAUUUCAACCUUUCUUCCUCUUGCACACAAUGAGAAAUGGGUUCAUUUAGAGUCCAUUGCUCCUUUUGACAGUUGUAACUAAUUUUAAAAUGGUUAAAAUAAGCAAGAAGCAAUACCAAAACCAUAAGAACAAACAAUUCCUUAAAAAGCUUGAUUUUAAGUACCUUAAGUCUUGAAGCAACAUGGAACAUCUCCAUAAUGUACUCCCUCAUGUUUCAUUGACUCAUAUACUUCAUAAACAUCAAAGAAGUCAGAAGUGAUGUCAUCUCAACCUUAUCAUUUUUAACAAUUUCUCAAUUUCAUCAAGGAAACCCUUGGCCUGAGUAAUCUCUUCAGAUUUUGUGCCCCUAAAGGCUUCUGGAAUGUUGGGCUUCAUGAUCAUUAGACUCAUGCGAUUUGAAUGAUCCCACAUCUCAAAAUAGCUUUUAGUAUCAGGAGGCUUUCCGUAUUGAGAGGUGCGGGUUGUUCUUCCCUUAGUGCAAUACCUAUGUCUAUAUAACCAAGCACUAUAAGUUCCUUUUCAAUUCCUUGAAAUUAGUCCCAUUAAGCAUGGGUAUAGAAUUUAUAUUAGCAGAUAUUAUGGCAGCAUAAGAUGAACUAGUUAAAUAUGGAACAAAAUAGAUAAAAACAAGCUCACAUGAAUAUUCAUAUCCAUAAGUAAACAAUAAAUUCAAAAUAGUGGCUUCAAUUCCAAGAUGCCGAACACCAUUAAUAUCAAGUCUUUGGACAAUAAUAUUAAAAGGAAGCGUUACUCUUUUUGUAGCAAUCAAACAUUAACAAUAAAUUAUGUCAAACAAUGAAUCAAUUUUUGGACUAACUUAUUGCUCACAUAAAAUACCUAAUAAUUGUCACACAUUUAUCACCACAGAUGUGUUGAAAUUCUACCAAAUAUUAACUUACCUUUGGUUCAAUUAAUAAACUCAUGAAUCACAAAAACAUAUAAUCAUCUUGAUAUUUUAAAUAAACUAAUCUACGUAAAAGAUGUCACUUUGGUGGCAUUUUGUUUCAACUAAUCUAUUUAAAAUAUUAGACAUCCUCAAUUAAAUCCUAAAGCCAAAAUCUAAAUUUAUUUGUUUCAAAAUAUUUCAAAUUUAAACCAAAAUAAUUUGAAUAAAGAUAAAUCUCAUCUCAAUAUAUCAGACACUUCAUUAAUAUUUCAUCUUUGGAUAAAAUAUUAACUUGUAAGUGAUAUCUGAGUAUAGUAGUCAAACACUGACAAUUAGAAAUUAUUUUUUAUUUUAAUUACUUGUAUUUUUAGCUUGUAAAUAGGCUUAGCUAACCACUCAUAUCAUCAUAGGGUGAAAUAUAUUUUUCAUGUGAAAUUGUGUUAAUUUUUUGUGAGAUGUAAAGAGUAUUUUGAGGAUUAACGUGAUUUGACUCAUAGGUUUUUUAAGUUUAUUACUUUCUAAGUGUUUCGAAACUUCAAGGUUUUCAACAUGAAAGAACUGAGUAAUAUUUGCUAGAAAGUUGAGCAAUGCCAAAAAUAGUGAUACAAUCAAUACCAAUUGCUUUAGGCGCUGAUGAAGAACAAAGAUGAACACAAUAAUAUGUUUACGCAGUUUGAUUUUCCUCGUACAAGUGAUUACAAGUUCUGGCCCUUAUCAUAUUAGCAAUCUCAUUAUUGCACUUAAGAUUUGUAUCACUCUCCUCUAAGUUUUUAGGAACUUAGACUGAAAACAAAGUAAUUAACUUAUUUUUAAACUCAAUGCACUUACGAUUACAAGUUCUUUAUUUAACAAAUAAGUGCUAAAAUUCUUUGUACAAAACCUAUACAAAUCUCAAGUGUAUAAACUAAUUUCGAUUUGCUAACAUACUAGAUCAAUUACAAUCAAUCUCUCCCAUUAAACUAGCAGGAUAAUAAGCUCAGCGAAUAUCUUCAAUAAGUCCAAGAUAAGUCUUCAAUAUUCAAAAUCUAAUCAAAUCUCUACAAAACAGGGAAGUCAAUUUGCUUGAUCUAAUCCAAACCAAUCUUUAAGAUGUGUUCGUAUAACAGGUUUGGAUAUCGUAAAUGAGCUUACACACGUCCAACCUAUAACAGAUCUGGAUAUCAUAAAUGGGCUUGCACAUGUCCAACCUAUAACAGAUCACUCUUAUUUCUUUGCAUUUAAUGCUCACACUUGACAACACACACCUAUUAGAAGUUCACCAAUUAUUUGUUAUUUCUCCUUGCAUUUUAAAGAGUGUAGUUAAGGGUUUUUUAGAUAUAAAACCAUAAGGAAUUAGAUAAGUUCCAAUUGAGCCUUUAUAAAAGUUAAAGGGUUUUUGCUAAGAUAUAAAAAUUAGCAGAAAAGUUUUAUAUUAGACUUAUUAAAAAAUAUAGGGAUUGUAAACAAUAAUACAUUUUUCUUAGAGUACCAAGGUAGUGGAGGUAGACAAUUAAGGAUGAACCACUAUAAAUUGAUUGUCCAAUAUUUUCUUUCUUUUUAACUCUUUUAUUUUAGAAAACUUUAUUGAAAUUUUAAAAUAAUAAUUCAUCUUUCUUAGUAUUUUUAGGCCUAUCAAAAUAUAUGAAGAAACUAAUUAAUUUUUAAUAAUUUUGCAAGGGUUUAAUUAAUUUUUUCUAUAUUUUCCAAUGAGUUUUUUUAACAUUUAAGCCUAAAAUUUUUAAAAAUGAUUAAACAUUAUGAAAAUGAUUUUAAAAUUUAAAAUUUAUUGCAAAUUUUUUAAGAAUUACAAAAAGUUAUAAAAAUUAAAAUUAUAAAAUUUAUCAAAAAUAAAAAAUGUUUAUAAAAAAUUAAUAUUUUAAAAAAUAAAAAAUGUUUAUAAAAAAUUAAUAUUUUAAAAAAUAAAAUAAAUAUAAAUAAGUAUAGAUACUUGUUUUAUUUUACAAGAGUUUUUGGUUUCAAUAAUAAAAAAAUGAAAAGAAUGAAAUGGGAUAUCAAUCAGUCUUACGUGUAUCGUAGACCUGUCCAUGGGCCGGGCCGGGCCGGGUUCAGGCUGGGCCCAGAAAAAAUUUUCGGCCCGACUCUUAGGCCCGGGCCCAGCCCGGCCCAAAAUAUGGGCCUAAAAUUUUGCCCAGGCCCGGCCCGGGAAAAAAAGAAUAAGCCCGACCCGGCCCGGCCCGAUUUUUAAUAAACACAAAAAAAUAUUUUAAAAAUAAAAAAAUAAAAAAAGUUUUAAAGUAUUUUAAAAUUAAAAAAUAAAAAUAAAAAAUAUAUAUUUAUUAUAUUCGGGCCGGGCCGGGCCGGGCUCGGGCUAAAAAAGUUGAGCCCAAGCCCAUAUUUCGGGCCUAUAUUUUUACCCGAACCCUCCCAUAGGCCCAUGGACAGGUCUAGUGUAUCGAUCAGUCUUACGUGGAGAGUUGAGUGAGAGGUUUGAAUGAUGAUGUGCUUAGUGCUUGGAACAAUUGUUAUGGUUGAGGAAUUGUGAUUCAAUUGAGGUCUAUGAAUUAGAGCUGCUCAGGGGUUGGGCCGGGCCCAGAAAAAAAUUUCGGCCCGGGCCCGGCCCGGCCCGAAAUAUGGGCCUAGAAUUUUACCCAAGCCCGGCCCGAGAAAAAAUUCAUAAGCCCGGGCCCGGCCCGUUUUUUAAAUAAAUACCAAAAAUUUAUUUUAAAAAUUAAAAAAUUUAUUUUAAAAAUAUUUUAAAAUAAAAAAAAAAUAAAAAAGUAUUUUAAAAAUAUUUUAAAAUUAAAAUUUUUUUUAAAAAAGUAUUUUAAAAAUAAAAAAAUAAAAAAAUUAUUAUAUUCGGGCCAGGCCGGGCCGGCCCGGGCCAAAAAAGUGGUGCCCGAGGCCCGGCCCAUUUUUUAAUCGUGCCUUAUUUUUUUUGCCCAAGCCCAUAUUUCGGGCCUAUAUUUUUACCCAAACCCUCCCAUAUUUUGGGCGGACCGUCAGGCCGGGCCGGGCCGCCCGGCCCAUGAGCACCUCUACUAUGAAUCAUGAUUUGUAUCAAAUUAAGUACAAUUUUUGAAGGAUGGACUUAAUUGAUUUUUUAAUUAUUUUCAAAAGGCUUACUUGACAUUUUAACCAAUAAUAAUAAUAAUAAUAAUAAUAAUUAAAGUUGAAACAUUUUAUUGACAAAUUAUAAAAAUCUGUCCAUUGUUUUUGAUUUUCUCUCACAGAUCCAUCCUUCCGUCCCUUGGAAAUACAAAGGACUUCUCUGCUAUUCUCAAUUUUUAUCCUAAAACGCUUAAAAAAAAAAACCAACUAAAAAGAUGGCGAGGAGACCGGACGAGGAAUACGAUUACUUGUUUAAGGUAGUGCUAAUCGGCGAUUCUGGUGUUGGAAAAUCUAAUUUGCUUUCUCGAUUUACUCGGAACGAGUUUUGCUUAGAAUCUAAAUCUACCAUCGGCGUCGAAUUCGCCACCCGCACUCUCCAAGUAAUAAAUCUCCCCUUUUUCUGCUCUUUUUUUUCGUUAAUUUAUUUGUAUAUCUGUAAUGAAGUGUAAUUUUGGUUUACUUUGGAUGCUUGGAUUUAGAUCAAUUAUUUCCCGUUCUUAACGUGCGGUAGAUCUGAUUCGUUCGUUGUUUAAUCGUUCUUUUUAAUUUGAAUUUCAACUGCUUUACUUUCAAAAAAAAAAAAAUUUCUCCAGUUUUUUCUUGAAUGUAUGAUAUUUUAGAUUGAGCCAAUCAGUGAUAUAGUAUUUGAAAGAAAAUGGAGUUCACUCCUGAUUUUGAUAAUCUUUAGUAUUGAAUUGUGUUGAAGCUAUGUGAGACAUGAAUAAAUAUGUAAAAAUUUUCUUUGAUUGUGAAGGAUUUGAUAGACGCCUAUUUGGCGGUGGAUUUGAAAUAACUAUAUAUCAUUAAAUAUUUGUUAAUUAACUGAAAUGAAAUUAGGUGGUUAUCUAUUAAAAUAUAUGUAGUUCAUUUGCACGAUCUCAUCAGUUCGGACAUUUGAAUCAAGUUUGAAUUUUAGAGUCUAUUUGAAUCCGCUCCCGGCCCGAACAGAACUAAUCCUAGAUUACAAAACGAAUGAUGAUACUUGUGGUUAUACCUAAAAAAAAAAGGUUGUGGCUGCCAUCGGAUUAGGUGGCCGCUGGUGAGUUUAGUCAUGAGUUAUCAGCCCUUAUAGGGGAUGAUUAAAGGGCAACAGGUUCCUGGCUAUGCCAAUCCAUAUUUCUUGAUGGAAAAUGUGCGAGUUUUCUUGGUUAACUGAUAUUUAUGACUAAAGGGUAUCUUUUUAAUACCAAAAAUGUUGAAUGGUGGAAUAAGAUAUUAGCUAAAUUUAAUUAUUAUAAAUAGACAUUUUAGUUCUCGUAUGAAAAUAACUGUAAAAGCUGAAAAAUAAUACAUUGUUAUUUGUACUAACUUGGCUGUUAUGAUCAAACAAGGUUGGAAAUGUUCAUCUAAAUCCAAAGUCGCAACCUUUUAAGAGCUGAGUUGCACACAUGUCAUGUUAUUUCGCUCAGUCUACUUGAUGGCCUACCUUGUUACAACUAAUCUAACAUAAAGAAGUUUAGAUUUUAGUCUUUUUGUUUCUCUCUUGUCGGAAAUGACUGAAAAUGUGGAGUUGGUCUUUUUUACAGAGAGAAUAUAGCUAAUGUCCAUUUCUUGGAGAAAGCCUCGAAUGCGUUUCUGGUCUCUCUGUUUGCCUUUUCCCCUGCGUGUUAGGCAUGAGAAAUACGGUUACGGGUCUGGUUGUUAUAAGUUAAAUGUUCUUAAUACAGCUUCUUUCAGGUUGAAGGGAGGACUGUGAAAGCUCAGAUAUGGGACACUGCUGGUCAGGAACGGUACAGAGCAAUAACCAGUGCUUACUAUAGAGGUGCUCUUGGAGCUCUUCUGGUGUACGAUAUUACCAAGCCAACGACUUUUGAAAAUGUGAGCCGAUGGCUGAAAGAACUCAGGGACCAUGCAGAUUCUAACAUUGUAAUUAUGAUGAUUGGGAACAAGACUGAUCUGAAGCAUCUCCGAGCAGUUGCCACAGAGGAUGGUCAAAGCUAUGCCGAGAAAGAAGGCCUUUCAUUUAUUCAGACAUCUGCACUAGAAGCAAUAAAUGUUGAGAAGGCUUUCCAGACCAUUCUGUCUGAAAUAUACCGCAAAAUUAGUAAGAAGUCACUUUCUUCAGAUGAGCCAGCACCAGCAAGUAUUAAAGAAGGGAAGACCAUUGAUGUUGGAGCACCCGAAGCCAACACCAAGAAGGCUUGCUGCUCAUCAUCUUGAACAUGUUACAAUUUUCAUUCCUUUCUUUUGUGUAAUCAAUGUGUUGUAUUGUCAAGACAUUCUUGUUGUUUCUAUUACGUUAUUUUGUAUCAUUACAAACAUUUGAAUUAUUCAUGUUCUUGUGUUGUUGCAAGUUAUUGAUUAUUUUGACAUGGCUGUAAUUACCAUCUCCUCUGUUAAUGAUCUUAAGGGGGGUAAUAAUUUUCGACUGUUUCAGAUACCGGGAUUUUAUCAUCAUUUUUGUGAAGGCUUACAGGUUAAACAUUGAAGGUAUUGCACCCACUAAUCCUCAGUUUUGUCACUCAUGCAUUUCCUGUGGUUUGAAUCUUUUUGUCCUCGUGAACACCAGAAUAUCAGGAAUUACUAAUAAUGGUUCCUGCACUCAAGUUCAGUACUUCCAACAUUUUGUUUUUCAGCAAAUACGGUAUAUAAUCUAACGAAAAUAUAAGAUACAGAGGAACAUGCAUUGGUACUUCAACUUACACAGAAAAAGUUCAAGUAGGCAGCAUUUUAGUUUCUGAAACAUUCAUAUGAUAUGCAACAUGUUUACGAUCUAAAAGAGUUCCGGCUACUAGCCACAGCAAUUGUUCUUCUGUUCGAUCGGUUGUCCCUUCAUUUGAACAGUUCCGGCUGACUUGUUCCCAGUUGGCUGGUUACCCAUUCUACAUAAAAUUGGAUAGAAAACCAGAUAGGUAAACUUCGUAAUUAAAUAUAUGACAUAUAAAAGAACUAGAAAUAAAUAGAAAGUGGAGAUUUUAGACAAUAAAUAAUGUAAACAUCUUAUGAACGUCUGGUGAACUCCAGACUAAGCUAGCAAUGUGAAAUCAAUUAUCAGAAGCAUGAUCAUUACAUUAAAUACUCUGUGGUGCAUUACGAACCUAUUGGUGGGUGACCAUGACAAUUGUGACAUCUUACCAUAAACAACAUUCAUUUAAUAGCAAAUAGGUAAAAAGAUUAUGGAUUUUGAAAGGAAAAAAAAAAAGGAAAAGUACGACAGAGUGGAACUCAUUGUACUUUUUCUUAAUCUCGCCAGCCAUGGUUAAGAAAGCCUGCUCCACAUUGAUUGAAUCUUUAGCACUUGUCUCCAGGAAAGGAAUCCCAAUUUCAUCUGCAAAUGCCUGUAGUUCAAUGAAGAACAGAAUUGCAAAUUAAUAAAAUUAUGAUUUCCUGCAGUAAAUUAUAUUUAAUCACCAGCUGUAGAUUACAGUAGUGUAACCAAACUGUUAUCUUAUCCAUUCAUAACCAGCGAGAAAUUUCAAGAGGACCAAAAGCAUCUAGAAAUCUCAAAGAGAUUAAAAACCUUCAAGGAACACCCCGGGUAAACAAGACAAUUAACUGAUGAUAACUGUCCCAACAUAAAAAAUAACAAAACAAACCUUCGCUGUCUGCGUGUCGACAACCUUGUUCUCAACUAAAUCACAUUUGUUCCCAACCAGAAGCUUACAUACACUGUCAUUAGCAUAUCUGUCAAUCUCGUUCAACCACUGCUUGACAUUGUUGAAGCUCUCCAUCUCGGUAACAUCAUAGACGACCUGUUGUAAUACCAACAAAAGGAUUCUGAGACACUUAACAGGGUCAGAUAUGAAAUAAGAAAGUAAAAUGUUUAACAAUAAAAAUAUAUGUUCUAUGUUCUUUGACAUGCUAGGAUUUGAUUUUGACAAUUUUUUUUUUAUAAAUUUCAGGGUGUUCAAACAGCAGUAUGGACUUAUAUUCACCUAGCUGACCAAUGGAAUCAGUAAAUGGGAGGCAAUUAGCAAGAGCUACAGUGAACAUUUCUGUCACACAUUCCUGAUUGGAAAUAAAUUUACACACCCAAAAUAGAAAAUUCAAAACAGCAGUAAAAAGCCAAUAAUAUGUAUGUUUAGUAAAGCAGGCUCCUCCUCUUUCACCAAGUUGAGAAUUUAUAAAUAAGGUAGUUUUGGGCUCACAUUACAAUUAGCAUGACGCAAGAACAUCCAGAAUAUUGACUGCAAGUUAAUUAUAUUUGCAAGAAAGAAAAUGGAUAUCAAUUAGCAGAUAACCUGAUGGUCAUAUUUUCUUGAAACACAUCCCAAUACCCACCCUGAAGGUCUAGUUGGGAUAAAAUUUUAUGAUCUGAGAUCAAUCAGGUUCAGUUUCUUACUAUUAUCCCAUGAGCUCCUCGGUAGUAGCUGCUAGUAAUAGUCCGAAAACGCUCCUGUCCAGCAGUAUCCCACUAAAAGAAACAAGAGCAAAAUGUUACACAUUAAUAGAGAGCCAGUGAGAAAGGGGGAAAAACUUUUAGAGGAAAGUGAUGCAUGGCUCUUCCGUCACUAAUUUCUCCCAACAUUAGACAGCCAUGGUCAAACGUAAGAAAAGUAAUUAAAUUGGAUUAACUAAACAAACUUGUCCUACAAACACCUUCUUAAUGGCCACAACUAACAACUCCUGCAUCAGUUAUACAACUAAAGUCUCCAUUUCUGGGGUGAAAGUACUUGUGAAAUCCCUCUAUUAUAGGGACUAGACCAAAUUAAUCCCUAUACUAUUAAAUGGAUCAAUUUAAUCCCUGUACUGUUAAAAAGAAUCAAAUAAGGCCAAUUGCAAUAAAGUUAACAUUUACUGUUAAAAACAUAACAUGAAAAUUAUUUUUUAUCAUUUGCAAUUCAACUCCGGACAAAAUAUUUCAUUUGCAGAACCAUAAAAAGCUUUCAAAAUAGUAACUUUGUUAACAGUAAAUAACAAUUUCUAACAAUAAAUGUUAACUCUAUUGAAAUUUGGACUUAUUUGAUUUUUUUUAAUAGUACAAGGACUAAAUUGAUCAAUUUAACAAUAGAGAGACUAAUUUGAUCCAAUCCCUAUAAUAGAGGAACCCGCUAGGUACAUUCACCCCAAUUCCGGUGUAUCAAAAAUAAGUCAUUAGAUUAUGCAAGCCCUUCUUGGUAGGAAAUUGAUAUAUGGCACUAUCUUCUCUCAAUCAUUUACAACUAAACCAUCUAUAUAUAAAGCCAAACACUAGUAGCAGCCUUUAUUGACAGUUGGGUCAUAUACUCGUAUUCUUCUACCAAGACAAUAAUUUGACACGGGACUCUCGCAAGCCCAUAUGGCUUUCCUACAUGACAACAAAAUUAUAUAGGGUUGUAAAUUUAGCGACAUUCAAAAUUUUUUUGACCAUAAAUAACUUUGAAAGAAUGAAAAUAUCAGCUUAAAUUAAAGAAGAUUGGAAAUGCAUUGUAAUUGGCUUUGAAAAGUAAAUUACAUUUAGUAAAGAAACAUAUUAUACUCACAAUUUGCAGCUUGAUUGUCUUGCCGUCCAACUCCACUGUUCUGAUUUUCUGAAUAUAAACAAUUAGGUAAAUUAAUUUUCACAUUUUUAGCAGAUGAAAGUAUGAAACAACUUCCAUUAAAAAUAUUUGUCCAGCAACGAAAAAAAAACUCACGAAAUCAACACCGAUGGUACUGAUGUAGCUAUCCACAUAAGAAUCAUCCUGGGAAAAAAACAACGUAAAAAACACUUAAAAUUCAUAACCCUAAUUACUCUAACAUUAACCUUAAAAUCAAGUUCAUUACUCAUUCUUCUUCUUAAUUUACAACAAGAAAGAGGGGAAAGCCCAAAAGGCCAAAACCAAACCGACAAUGUAAAAAAUCGAAAAUAACAACUGAAAAGCAAUCUAAAGAAUAGUAAGAAAUUAAAAUUUACAGCAAAUCUGAGAAGCAAGCAGGAUUUUCCGACGGAGGAAUCGCCGAUAAGCAGAAGCUUGAACAGAUAAUCACUAAAAACCAACAAGAAAGAAAAGUUUUGAAAUGAAAUGUGAGUAGUAAUAUAUGGAAAAAUUACUGAUAAAUGGAAAGAGAAAAGGGAAGAGGAAAUGGUGGACUCACUAUUCGUUACUCAUGAUUGAAUCGAAAAGGGGAAAUUUUUUGAAACAAUUUCAGAGAAAGAGGAAGGGAAAGCUUUGGCCGUCACUCUAUCCCCUUCUUAUUGUAGACAAAUUAAAUAUUAAAUAUUCUUAUUUUUAUUAUAUAAGGGUAAUAAAACGUUCCAAAGGCUUUGAAAGCCUUCCAACAAAUUAUUAUAUACGGACACCCAUAAUCUGUAUGGUAAAGAUUACCUAUGCUAGUAUCUAUAAUUUUUCCUAAAUUGGCAUCAUACUCCCAUGCAAUUCAUACUCGAAUCAGGUAAGUCAUUCAUUCGUGAAUUUAAUCAGUUUCACGGGUCUAACUCAUUUAUAAGAUUCGAUUUAAUAAAUUAUUACAAAAUUUAUAAAAAUAAAAUAAUAUUUCAAAAAUAAAAAAAUAGUUUUAUUAUCGUUUCAAUCAAUUUAUGAGUUAAUCGAUCUGAUACCUCUCUUAAACUGGUUUCUCAACUGAUUUAAUAAAUAUGAUAGACCGAUUCGAUCUUGUUCAAACAACCAUACCUUCAAUUGAAUUCUAACCCAAUAGAGAAUUUAUAAAAAAAUCUCUCAUUUUUACAAAGUAAUAAAUAAUAUUUUGAGAGCAAUUUUAUUUUUUCAUAUAAACAAAAAAAAUAUUUACGCAUAAUAAAAUUUAAACCUAAAAUAUUAACUGCACGUUUGGUUCGCUGUAAUGGAAUAGAGGCGUAAUAGCAAUUCAAUUGUUUGGUUGAAUGCAAUGGAAUAGAGGCGUAAUAGUAUUCUUGUGUUUGGUUGAAUGGAAUAGAGGCGUAAUAGCAUAAGAAAAAAAUUAAAAUGACUAAAAUACCCUUAACAGAAUUUUUUUUAGGUAGAUGAUUUAUUGUUAUUGUUAUUAAAUUUUAAUAAGAUUAUUAAUAUAAAUAAUAAAUAAUUUAAUAAUAAUUUAAAUUAUUAAUAUAAUUUAAUAAAAAAUAUAUAAUUUAAUAAAAUUCUUAAUAUAAUUAUUCUUAUAUUAAUUUACUAAAAUCAUAAUAUAUAAUAAUAUAAAAAAAUAUUUAAUCUCAUUUAUUAUUUUUAAACCGAAAUACAAAUUUAAUGUGCUAAAACAUCAUUAGUGAAUCAAAUAAUUUAAUUAUUCUACAAAAAAAUUAAAAGUAAUAAAUAACUUGAAAAUUAUAUUUUGCAUAAAUAUAAUAUUCAAAUAUUAACAAACAUACCCUAAAUUAAAUUUCAUGUAUAAUUUUAAAAUUUACCCCAAAGAUUUAGUAUACUUCUUGACUUGAACUUAACAAUUAAGUUUAUUUUAGUACUUGUAUAUUUUUUGUCCACUUUAAUAAUUGAACUUGACAAUUAGAUAUAUUUUAAUAUUUGAACUUGAAAUAUAUAAAAUUUUAUUGACAUAACACUUUAAUAAUUGAACUUGACAAUUAGAUAUAUUUUAAUCUUUGAACUUGAAAUAUAUAAAAUUUUAUUGACAUAACACUUUAAGAUUGUCUCACAUCAUUAAAUUUGGACGGAAUAUAAAUUCAUAGUCAAAAUAGACCUACUUGUAAAGUUAGAUACUAAAGUAGACCCCAACAACAUAUAAGUAUCAAAACGAAACUAGCUCACAAAGCGAAACUUCUUAUGAAAGAAGAUAAACAAAUUGUGCUACUUGAAGGGAACAACACUGGCACUGGAAAAACAUUCCGUGGUUGAGGACAUAAAAUCUCUUAAGCACUGCGUCCAGGUUAUGAGCUACUCACAGCAACACAGAUCGCUGAGAAAUAGUGUGCCAAAUUACCUUUUGUAUCUCUUCUUGCAACCACAUGGACAAGGAGCAUUACGGCUCAUUUCUCCACUCUUUACCAUAUUAAACUUGGCAAGAUCCAAUGGUGUUGAACCCAUUAGCUUUUGCACCUGCAAAAGAAAAAAAAAUAAAACGAAUGACAUUUCCAAUGGAGAAAGAGAGAGAUGCAUAAACUAAUACUUGUCAUUGAUGUUUUAAACUGUGGGAGAAACAUUCAUCCGAACUCAAAUGCGAAUUUCAGCAACUGAAGAUGAAUGAAGGCAGACAUCUCAGUCUUUUAAGCAAUCUGGCAUUGAACAAAAAAAGCAUAACGUAGAUCAGCAGACCAAACAUCUGUAACUCUAUGUUAGUUCGACUCUUUCUUUUCCUUUAUGCAUCCAUGUUUGAUGCAAGCGUGGGACGAGAAUGAAUAUAGGGAGAUAAUCCUCUAAAAAUCCUCCAAAUACAUUAAAAAACUUGGACAAAAAAUGAACAUAACACACCCGUGUCAAACAUAUAUAUCAGACACUCAAACUAACUCCCCUACCUUCUUAGACAAAUAUCUUACUUGUCUUUCAAAUAGCUCAUCCUACAUUCAACAUCAUAUUCACCGAGUAGCAGCCAAAAGACAAAAAUACAUUAACUUAGAGAAUUUAAGAUCAGACAAAUUGAGCAAUAAGCAUAAAUACACUAGCUCAUACAUUUGUAUCAUUCAACAUAUGAUCAGCAAAAACAUAACUGAAAAAAACCAGUGGUGAACCUACCUCAGCAAAGUUCUUUGGCAUCGGCUUGCCUUCCUCUUUCAGCGUAACCAUCUUCUUAUGAACUUCUUUAGCCCAUGUGAACUUCGCAAGCGCAUUCUCAACAUCUAAUAAGGUACAUCUAAUAAGUUAGAUGUUAUCCCUUUCUCACUCUUAAAGUCACACUUUAUGACAGCAUGCUCAUUUGUGCCUUUGAACGAGUUACGAGCUUAUUACAUAAUUAACAAGAUCGAACAACAAUCACCAUUAACAUAAACAGAAUUCUACAAACAACUACCCCUUACACUAGCUCUUGAUUGCAAAAAAACAUAAUAUCCAUCUUAUAGACCAUAGUAUGAAGCAGGAGCAAGUUAAUUUCCCAUUUCCAACUUGUAAGGUGCUCUUGUACUCUUCAUUUUUCCAAAAAUAACCGUAUCGGAAACUUGUAUUUCAAGCAAUGUUCAACAGAUUCUUGGGCAUGGAUAUGACAUUAAUAUAUUCCAAAGAUUCCCAAAUACAUAAAAGAAUACACUUAUGAAGCAUACAUACACAUAUCUUACAAAAACACCUGAGUCCAAUUAACAUUACCUCCAAAUUUAUGUAAAACUUAAAUGAGAAAACUCGAACCCAUAUCCAACAUUCAUCAGCAGCAACAUAGCCGACAAAACAAAAAUAAUUAUUUAUAGAGCUACUAUCCAACGAGCUAAAACAGACAAACAGAGGUAUAUUUUAACAAUGAAAAUAAUCGAUUGCCUUAAACACCAUAUAGUGUUCCAAUCAAUCAAAUUACAGCAGGCAUUAAAACCUUUCCUUUUCGUUAAUUCACAACUAUUAGCUUCAUUAAUCAAAUCCUAUGUACAGUUGAUCGAUUGAAAGUGUAAAAUUUCAAAGACGAAAUUUAAACACAAAACUGGUUAACAUUGAAAUUACAUGUAAAUAUAACCUAAAAAACCAAAAAAUUAAUCAUAUUUUCAGAUUUCAGGCCGAAAUGGAAUGAAAUGAAAGGCAAAUCCAUUUUUUCCCCAAAAAAACAAAAAUAAAGAAACAAUAUUUCAAGAACAGAUCAUUAAAUUCAUGGUAUAUAUAAAGAAAUUUAUUUGAAAUCAAAGGAAUAGAAGAAGGGAGAAGCGUACUUGGGAACCAUUGCUGCUACUCUCUGUUACUCUGUUACCUCAUACAAUUCGUAAUUGAAGGCCUUGUUGAGGGUUGUUAGGGUUUGUUAAAGGGUUGGUCAGGAUAGAAGCAUGAAAAGGAGGGAGAAGGUUGGAAGGAAAUGGAAAGAAAAAUGAAAAAAAGAAAAGAUGCUACAACGGCUUGGGAGGGUAAAAGAGGACCGAUUAGGUAAUCCUUUCUUUUGAAAGGGAUUACAAAUCGGCGCUGCAUAAGGGAAAAUGGGGAAUCCGUGCGCAGCGUAAUAGGCCCGUAUUAGGGCAAUACAUCCAACCAAACAAGGUAAUCGGUGGGGCCACAGAUUAAAAAAAUUUUAAAUUUGUUACAUAAAUUCUAUAAUCUAGUACUUAAAAAGAUUAUAUAAGAAUUAAGUUUUUGCUUAAAAGAUAAAAUUAACAUUUUAAAAAUCAUAAUUUUUUUUUCAAAUACGAUGGUUCUUUUAUUGAUUUUAAAGUUUUAUUUUUACUCAAACAAUCAUCAUUUCCUAGAAUACUUUUUUUUUUAAACAUACUGUUGUCGAUUUUAGUGAGAAUGUUUACACAAUCAAAAUUUUCAUGCUCCGUUGGAAUCAGAAUAAUUAUUAUGAAAUGAUUACAGCAUAUUAACACUUGUUGGUGUCAACUGUCAAGCUCCUUUUUAAAAUAUUUAAUAUUUAAAUGGUAAAAAUAUAAUUUAAUUUUUUAACGAAUGAAUAUAAAAUUUAACCUUAAAUUAAACAUAUAUUUGUGUCGAGUUUUAAAUAAUAAUUUGUUAAAGUAAUUUAACUAAUCUGAAUAAAUUUUAAUAAAAAUUUAAAUGGACCUGAACACUCAUUUAAAAUCCUAAUAAAAUUCUAAUUUUUUUGGAUAAAAUAAUCAUACAUAAAAUAUUAAUAGCAUCCAGCAUCAUAAAUUCAUGGAUAAAGAUUAUCAAAAUAUAAAAAAGCAAAAUAUCCAUACUAUCAUGUAACUAACUAGCUAAAUAGUGCGAAACUGAAUUACCAAUACAAUUAACAUAUGGAAGGAAAUAGUGGUAAGACAACUAAUGAUGUUAUAAGCCUCUAAAAUGUGCACACCAUGGAUUCACCCUCCAUCACAACCUCAUAACAAAAUACAUUAGUUAAAAACAAUAAUUAAAAAAUAUCAUCAAAAUAUUAAUUAAAAAUAAAAAAAAUUAAAACAAUAUGAAAUAAAAAAUACAUUAAUAUGCUUAUAAAAAUAAUGGAUCCUCAUACUCAAUGAUGUAAUUGCAAUUAUCUAACUAUCUAACCAAAAAAUUAAUAUGUUAAAAAAAUUAAUUAAAAUUUUUAAAAAGCUUAAAGCAGCAUGAAAUAAAAAAAAAUACAAAUGUGUAUAAGAGAAGAAUCAAACCCAAGACUUAAGGAUAAUAGCAUUAACAUCUAACCAUUUAGCCAAAGCCAAAAGCACAUUCAAUUAGAAGCGUUUUUUGCCAUAUCCAUUGAAUCGACUAAUCCGGGAAUUAUGAUUGAAAAUCAACAUUUUAGGGUAAUUCACCCCAAUUCCAUUAUUCUCAUUUAAUAUUAAAUGCACAUGAUUGGGUACUGAAAAUUACAUUUUCACCUUUUUCUCGACAUAAUUAAUUUAUUUACAAUAUAAUCCUUAUGCUAUCAAAUUUUUUCAAUUUGAUCUCAAAAGUGAUUUUUAUUACGCUAAUAUAUAAUCUAAUUUAUUCUCAUACCAAUUAGUGACUAAUAAUUCACAUUUUCCCAUUUUGAUCAAAUUUACACUUUAUUCCUCAAACUUUUUAAAAUGUACAAUUUAAUCCUUUUUACCACAUUCUCCCUCUUAAAAUUCUUUUUAUUAUUUCCCAUUCUCCCCUUAAAAAAUUUCAUUCUCAAAAUUUCAUCCAGAAAGUCACCGAGUAACUCUCUUGAUGCACUGAUUCUUUUUCCAUAAUUUCUUAUUACUUGCUUAAGGCAUCAAUUCUAAUUUCUUCUUAUUUCCUUGUCAAUACAUACGAUCUUAAUCCCAAUAGUUAUUGGAUUGUGCUAAUAGUUAAUCCAUUAAAACAAAUAAAGACUUGCAGUGAAUCCAAAACAUACAGGAAUGAGUUUUAGAUUUCGUAUCACAAGUUCCGAGUUCGUAUCCAUACAUAAAGCUUAUCAAGUUUCAGACUCAAUUUCUUUCUUACAUAUCUUUAGACUCAUGACACAUCAUCUCUUCGGAGGAUUCCUACUAUCCGAGGUGUUCAUCUGUUCAGAUUGCACUUAAUACUCUCCAGGUCUCCUGAACGGAUUAAAUCCACAUGACUAUCUUAUGUCGGAAGAAAUCACAACACCCAUUUAGUACUAUAUAACCUUGUAGGGUCUUUACUAACACUUAUGGCAUGAGCCGUAUAGCACCAAAACCACUCACUCUCCCUAGUCAUGCUCAGCUUUUCUUAACGUCUAUUUUUAUCAACCACCUCAUUUUUGGAACAAGCCUUUCAUGACUCAUUGUCCCAACGGGGUAGUCACGGUGGAUUUAUGUUUGGUGACGACUUUCUCUAGAAUUUUUGCCCUAACUGAGAAUUCUUUUAGUUUGCUAAUGUCUCUAAAAUACAACAUAAUAAUAACAAUGAUUUAACUAAGUAAGCCUUUCAUAUAAAUAAAUAAUGAAUGAAUGAGUUCAUCUUUACAUGUAAGAAUUCUAUCGACAACUAACCAUGAACAAAUAGAAUUUGAAAGAAUGACACAACAAUACUUUUUUGGAAUUUUAUACAUUUCUUAGAACAUUUUGGACUGCUAACAUAUACCACACACCAUUCUCUAUUCUCCCAUCUUUUUAUUUUGUUACAGCUUCAGAUUGAAAUGGGAUGGAAUAGUUAUUAUCCAGCAGUCAACUUGAAAUCCAUGGCAAUUUCAUGAUUACUGAAUAUCUUGUGGCAGCAAGACUAGUCAGACCUCCAAAUGUAGUUAUUCUUUUCCCUAAUACUUCAAUUGGCACUCUGCUCACCACCUUCUGUAUCAAAAUAAAGCCCGUAAAAGCUUCUUUUCCACCUUUCGCCAACCAAUUCAGUUUGUCCAAUAUCAUCCAAAUUACUUUUUACCUGUCUUGUCUAAACGAGCUUUGCGGACAGCAUCUUGGAUCUGUCUCUCGUGCUCUUUGAGCAUUUCGUCAAGGUUUUCUCCAGGAGGCAUCAAUGGUCCAGAAUAAUGGAUUCGGUUGUUCGGGGGAACAUAAGCCUAGAUUAACACACAAAAGUAAGUGACUCACUCCAGACAGAUGAGAUAUUAGGAAACGUUAUAAACUAUGUUCUUUGCCAAGUAAAAGCUUCUAGCUUCAAAUUUUUGCCAAUUUUUUAAGAUAUGGCAAUCAGAUAAAAGCUUUGCAUCCAACGAUCAGUUGUCAGAAGAAUGGAUAUAGAAUCUGCCACUAAAGGGAAGAUAAAUGAUGUCUAGGACAAAACACGUGAUUGAUAAAACUGUCCAUAAUUCUCUUACCACAGAUGAUUCCUUGGAAGACAAUAGUUCAUCCAUUACAAGUGAAACUUUUGGCCUACCACGUAAUUGAUGUGACCAUUCCCACUCUUUGGAGGAGCCAGAAUUAUCCAGAUGGUUACAUCUGUUGCCAAGACACUCCUCUGGGCAAUGUGGAUUUAUAGUAUUUUCUUUGGUCAUAUCAAACCGUGAACUGCCACUAGCUGCAACCGAGUUAGAAAAUCUAGACAAUUCCGCUGCUCCACGAUGAGCAUUUGCUGUCUGAGCUCUCGGCUCUUCAGUAUUCCUUGAAGAGCCAAAUGCUUGAGCAGAAGCCUUCACAGACUCAAUCUCAUUUGCCUUCAUACUCGGUGAAGACCCAAAGUUGGCAGGGGGCAAUGAUUGGCCAGAACGAGAGUAUACAGCUCUUGCCGUUCCUUUUGGAGGUUCAAUAAGGAAGCCGGCACUCCCAUCCUUUUGAGGAUAGCUUACUCCACUCACACUUUUAGCAUUGAAAUGUCCUUGCCGCUUCUGUCUCAAGCAAUACAAUAAAUAUAAGUCCCGAUCAAGGGGCUGACUUCCAUUGAGAAAAGUUCAAACACCAUAGUUACAUACUAUCAUAAUAUAUGUAUUAUGCAUAAGCAAAUAAAUCUCACAAGUUAGAAAGUACCUUUAUGGAUGCUCGUAAUUCAGCAUUUAGCUCUGGGACUGGAACAGCUCUAGAAACCUUUCUAACUGAACCAUGCCUACGCAGUUUCCCACCAACUGCUCUUUGCCUGGUUUUCCAAUUACCAAACAGGCAGGACAAUUGUUUUUAUACUUUAUCAGAAAAUUUUAAAGAACGCCCAAAUGACAAAUUCACAAAACUUCGAUGAAGAAUAACAAAUUUUCAAUACAAAUAGCAGAAAAAUACCUUCUGGAUUCAUCAUCUCGAAGCUUGACAUCAAACUCCUUACUAGGUGGGUACUUAGGCAAAUUAGAUGGACCGCAGGGAAGAGGAUUUGUUGUAAAGAACUGGAUGAAAAAUUCCAGAGUUAAAACAAACUUACCAAAAUGAAAUACUGUAAACAAAAAGAAUGUUAAGAUACAAUGAUGAACUACCCAGCAGGGCACAAACACAUGUUGUGCAAUACUAUUCCCUAGAUAACUUUAGCAAAUAUGUCAUUUCUCAAGUAAAAUGAAAACCUGAUGUGUACCAAUAUACCAACAAGCUGGAUAUCUGAAACACCCAACCAUAUGUGGAAGAUUACACUAUUAAAGAUCAUAAAUAAUGGCAUCCCAAUUGAAGGUAAAAUGCUAAGGAAUACCAAAAAAGAGUUAAAAUGCUAAGAAAGGCUUCUUGCUUAUUAUACAGAUAUUUCAAAUUCCCAACUAAACCAUGAAGAGUUCUCUUAUGAAGAUUGUGAAUGGUAGAUGUCAGAAUGCAGUCAAGCCAAUAAGCUAGGAGUCUUUUCUCAUCUUGCUUGUAUAAGAAGGAGGUGCCACCUUUACUUGUUCUCAAGGAAAAAGUACACAAAGAAGCAGUUGGACUAACAAAAAGAUUGAUCCCAAAAAGAAGUACAUGUAAAUAAUAAGGAGAUAACUAAAAGAGCUGUCAUAACCUAGAUAAAAAUGUAUGACUUGGAGGGAAUAUAGCUUUACCUCACUCUCAAGUGCUGAAGAAGCAGUUCCACGACACUCAGGUUCUAUUGCAAGAAGAACCUCUAAAAGGGCCAACACAUUGGUAGGGAAGUCCUUGAAUGUCUCAGAAACACAACGUUUAUAAGGAUGCUGAGGUUUGAAAAUAGUUGCAUGAGGCAAUUUUGAUCUCUUCCAAUACUCUUCGGAAGGUGAUCCACAAAGUUUGAAGAUUUUAUGCAUCUGCUCAACCUACAAAAGAUAAAUGUUGAGAUCACCACACUCCAGAAAUGUUCAACUGUAGGACUAAGUGUACUGCACUUGGCUAGUUCUAUCGGUAAAUUCUGAACAUUUAUAGACAAUUCUAGUGUAGACAAUACAUUCAUUGUAUGUUCAUAAUUAUGUCAUGCCAGUGAAAAGUACGACAGAAAUAACAGUUCAUCAGAUAAUGCAUGCUCCAGUAAAUUUUCAACUAAAAGUAAACCACAUCAUCUCUGUGGGUACGCACUACACCAACAGCAAUGCCUCCCUCUCCCCUGCAGACUACAUUAAAAGCAAACACUGACACAAAACAAACACAAACUCAUACCUCUCUCCUGAAAGAGCAAAUAAUUUGACACCUACAAGAGAAAUGAGGUGACAAGUAAAUUCACAAAGCCUAAUCCCUAAAUAAGAUCAUAGUUUUGGUCUAAGCAAUUCUAUACCUAGAUCAUAGAACAGUGCCACUAUGCCUGCAGAAUUUGAAGCAAAAUAGUCAAUUUGCUGUAUGGUAUGACUUGAAAGUCUAGCUUUUAGCAUCCUGGUCUGCCAGUUUCAUAAUGUGAAAAGAAAUGCAGAAGUCUCUUUGCAUGUAUAUUUUUCCAUUCUUCAUGCAUGUUCACCAACAUCCACACCCACAAACACAUACAACUAUAUAUAUAGCCAGGGAUGCAUACAAACAGUAAUAAUUCUACUAGAGGAUUUAUUUCUUCUAACAUAAGAGACACAAAACUUCAUCAGAAACUUGAUGUACAAAAGAAUUUCCAAAAUACGGGUCAAUACCCCCAAAACUUAAAUAAGUACCUCAGUUCUUCCAGGCAUGAUAGGCUUUCCAGCAAAUAAUUCAGCAAGAAUGCAACCAGAACUCCACAGGUCAACAGCAACUCCAUAGUCUGUAGAACCGAGCAAAAGCUCAGGAGGGCGGUACCAUAAAGUUACUACACGACUUGUUAAAGUCUGCUUCUGGUUGGGACGGAAUAGUGUUGCCAGUCCAAAAUCACCAAUCUUGAGGUUGCCAUUAUAAUCUAUCAAGAGAUUUGCACCCUUGAUGUCACGGUGCAAAACACCUCGACUAUGGCAAUGGUCAAGACCACGAAGCAGCUGUUGCAUAUAACACUUGAUCUGCAGAGAUAACACAUAAAAUUUAUCAUUUGAGCACAAACAACAAAGUUUAAUGCUUUCAUUUGAGUUAAAAAAAUGAAAAGGGGUAUAUAAUUCUUCAGAAAUCAAAUAAUGGCACACUAUAAUGGAAGUUAGACAAACUGCUACCAAGUGUAAGUAGCUAAUAUCUGAAGAUUGGUGUUUCCACCAACUGUUUUGUAUUUAAGCAGUGAAUGCUAACAAGUUUAUGCAUCAUGCCCAAUAUGUACAAUCAAAAACCAAAGAAAAGCCACAGUUCAAGAUGUAGUAGAGUUCUUUUAAAAGAGUGUUCUUCACCAUCCAUAUAUUGUUUAGAAGCCCAGAAGAUCUUUAUGGUUAUUUGAACAACAUUAAUGAAAUAGUCAAAUAAACAUCGAAGAUGAAUAUACCUGAGCCUCAGUGAACUUGAUCCCAGGUGUUGCCACAAGCCCUGCAAGAUCAUGCUCCAUGUAUUCAAAUAUAAGAUAUAAACUUCCAGACACCCUAGAACUAAUUAGACCUUCAAGAUUCAUGACAUUAGGGUGAUCAAGCCUACGUAAAAGAAUAAUUUCUCUCGACAUGAAGCGAACACUUUCAGGGUCCAUAUUAGCAAAUCGCACUUUCUUCAAGGCAACUAUCUUGUUUGAUUCAAGGUCGCGAGCUUUGUACACACUGCUGUAAGUACCUUGACCGAUCUACAUUAUUAGCAGGAAGUCAAGUUGUGGAAAAGGAAAAAAGAGUCAGUAGGCAUAAAAGAUUGCGACAAUAAUUCUAAGAGCUACAUUAACAAAACAUACGCUCAGUUUAGCCACAUACACUAGCUAGUAUAUAGAAUAUAAAUUUCAAAGCAAGCAUAUAUAAGAAAAACACAAAUUUCUGAACCAUUUAAUACAAUUAGCACUAGAAUCAAAACUAUAAAUGAAUUAAGAAAAGGUAAAACCAAUUUGUAGACCUUUUCCAACUUUUCAAACGACUCAGCCGUUCGAGGUAUCCACCCAUUGAUGGCUUCUCCAGCUACAGCUGCAAGCCAAGAAGGCCAGCCAGCAACCACCUGUGCACCUUUCUCACCACCAGUGACAUCAAUGAUCCUGGAAAUCCUCAUCUGGUUAUGUCCACUCCUGUCCCCGGCCUCCAUUGACAGGCUUUGCGAGUGGGAUGGGGUCUUUUUAGGCCUCUCAACAACAGACAAUACAGUCUUCUUUUCGUCAUCAUCAGAAGAGGAUGCAGCCUGAGAAACUGCAUUGUCCUUCUUAGAGAAAACAGGAAACCUUUUUGCGGUUUUUGUUGAGUCUUUGUGGGCCUUGCCUUUUUUGUGACGGUUAUUUUCGAAAUAUUUAGUUGAUCGAUUUCCUUUCCAGCAAAUGCAACCCAUGAUUUGAAUGCUUCAUACAACAGGGUUUUCUUCUUGUGUUGUAGGAUUCAAUUCAAUGGCCCCAGAAAUAAUAAGGUCCCCGGUAUUAGAACCCAAGUUUCGUCCACAAAUGCAGGUUUCGAAUUGAAUAAGGAAGAUCCCAAAAGGCUUAUAGUACAAUCAACAAGAACUCAGAUCCCGAAAUCAAUGAAAACAGCUAGGGAAAAUUGUGCUGUCGAAAUUUGUAAAAAGAAAAACAGAAUAUGAAGUUAAAGUUUCAUUAAAUUACAACUCUCACCUAGGGAAAAUUUACUAAAAAUAUUUUUGGGGAGGUAUUUGAGAAUUUGAAACACUUGGUUUUUACUUGGAACAGUCUUUUUUUAGAACAUUCAAAAUUUCAGUUCUUACCAAAAAGAGAGAUUGAAAUACGGGUCAAAGCAUCAAAAAUAGCCCUUAAUAUGAUAAUUUUGGUUAUUCAGGCAGAGCAGCCAUAAUUUGAUCCUCUCUUUUUUAAAGCAAAACCAGAUUGUUUAUUUUUAUUAUUUUCUACAAUACCCAAAUAAAGAAACUACUAUGAUAAACCAGAGGAAGAGCAAAUAAGGAAAGUUGCGCUCUGUUUUGAGCCAAGAAAAAGGAAAGCAUUGUUGUGUUUUCUGUUUCGGACAUGGGAAAACAGAACCAACAGAUCUCUGCUUCACGACAGUGGAGGUUUGACUUUGACUUUGACUUUGGUCUCCGCGGAGAAAUAUCCUGAGUGAUAGAGACGUGACGGAAAGGAAUGAGCUGCGCUAACCUAAGUUGGUAUAUACUUUUGGCCCAAUCCAAACCAGGGUAAUAAUACAAUGUCAGUUAUCUUCUCUGGUAUCACGCCAUUAAAUUCUCCUCGUUAGAUUAUAAUGGGGUGUGAUUUUUGAAAAUAUUAAUUAAAAUCUUGAGGGUUCUCUAUUUUAUUAAGAAUUAUAAUAAAUUUCCAAAAUUCUCUCAUAAAAUAAAAUAUAAAUUUAAAAUUUUUCAAUGAUUGCUUUAUUAUUAAUUUUAAAAGUAUAUAUUUUAUUAUUAAUAAACAAGCAAUUUAAUAUUUCAUUUUUAAAUAAAAAUAAAUUAAUAUAUUUAUCUCAUUGAUAUAUGAUUAAAUUGAAUAUAAAUUUUAAACAUUUCAAAUUUAUUAAAUUAGAGUAUAAUUUAAAAUUUAAUUCAUUAGUAUCUAAAAAUUGUGAAUAGGGGAAAAAGUAAGGCAUAAAAAUAAUGGAAAUAAUAAAUAAGAGAAAGAAGGAUAAUUUUAUCUCAAACAUAAAUUUUAACUUUUCAAUUAUACGUAUUUUCCCGCCAAUAUUCAAAAGAAUCACAUUCUCAUAUUUAACAAAAGAUAAUGGAUUUAGCAUCCUAAACGCAAGUGCCACUCUUAUAUCAAUUGAAUUUUUUAAAAAUAAUUAUUUUUCAUCAUGCUAAGUGUAUUUUUAAGGACAAUCGUAGGUGAUGUGAUGAUAUAACUAUUAAAGACAUAAAAAUUAAUAUAUAAUAUGUAAGUUUUAAAUUAUUUGAUACAUAUAAAGUAACAAAAAAUUAAAAUUAUAUUUAAAAUAAUAAACUUAUUAAUGAAAUGAUGAAAAUAUCUCAUUAUUUAUAUAAACGUUUAUGGUUUAUUUAAUUAUUAUUUACAUUAGUUUCGUAGAGCAGUAAUUAUUUUAAUGGCAUUCGACAUUUAAAUUUCUCUAAUGCUAUUUUAUAAGUUUAUUUAAAUAAUUGAUUGUUUUUACUUAUUUAUUAUAUUGAAUUAUAAAUAUAAUUUAAAUGAAUUAAGUAAUUAACUUAUUUUUAGUAAUGAGAUGUGAACGAAAAGAAACAUGCAAGGGCUAGGACCGAAAAUAUAUAUUCACAUUUUAUCAUGGUAAAUUAUAUAAGUAGUUACUCAAUUAUGAAUUUUUUUUGUCACCUCAUUAUGAAAAGUUAUAAAAUGAUUACUUAAAUAUUUUUUUUUCUUUUUGGUCACCCAAUUAGGGAUGAAUAAAACUCAAUUCGACUAAAAAAAUUGAAUUUUUUUUAAUUUUGAGUUCGAAUCGAGUUGAGUUUUCGAUUUUUAAUAAUUCGAAUAAACUGAAUACUAAAUUAUAAUAUUUUAAAUUUUUAACCCAAACCCCUAAAUCUUUUUAUUUUUCCCCUAAACUGAAUACUUGGAUCUUUUUAAUUUUCCCCAAAACUUUUACCUCAAACCCCUAAAUCGAGUUGAGUUUUUGAAUCGAGAAAAUUUCAAAUCGAGUUAGGAUGAUAAAAUAUGAUUCGUUUACUCGAUUAACUUAAAAAAUUUUCAUUCAAUUAAAUUCGAUUGAACGCUUACCUCUACAUCCAACUAUGAAAAGUUACAAAUUGGUUAUCUAACUAUUUAAUUUUAUUUUUUUAUUGUCAUCAAUUGACUAAUGUAAAAAUGAAAAUACCCAAAAAUUAAAGAUAAUUAGGUGACCAAAAAAGAUAAAAUUAAAUAAUUAAGUGACCAUUCUAUAAUUUUUCGACCAAAAAAGAAAAGAAUUAUAAUUAGAUGACUACUAAUAUAGUUUAGGGAGAGAUAGUGGGCAUAAAUGUGAAAAGGAGGCGUUAGUGGGUUGACUGAAACUUUUACCCGCGCUCCAACCAAAUUGCGGAAUUUGGCGUCAGUUGCCAAAUAUCACUGUAAUGAUGUUACCCAAACACCAACUAAAGCAGGUUUGAAAGCUGAAAAGCUUCUAAGUUUAAAGCAAUCCAAAGGUACCCAUAAAUAGAUAACUUUUUGGAGUGUUGUUGAGAUAUGUUUGUAUUAAGAAAUUGAUUUCUAGUUAUUAAAAAUGAAAUAUUACUGUUUGAAUGCUAAAACUCAUGUUUUCCUGUUAGUCUAUACAUCGAGGAUCCAUCCUUGCAUAAAGGAUAAUAUAAAUGGUAUUUUGGCUAGCGGGCUAAUAUAAAUUUCGAUUUAUAAAAGAUUAAAAUUGAUAGAAUUUAUAAAGAUUGUGGGAUAAAUUUAUUACAAUUGAGAUUAAAUCAAUAAAAUGUGUAAAUAUAUUAAUUAAAAAAAGUCACUUUAUCAUUUCUGUUAAUGAUUUAAAAAAGAGGGAUUAAAAUAAAACCGAUAAAAAAUGUUAGUGAAAAAAUUGAAAAUUUUUAUAAUUUGGUGACCAAAACAAAAAUUCGCUAAUAGUUUAGUGAUUAAUGGUAUAAUUUAUUUUUUUAUAUAAGGACAACAAAACUAUUUUGAAGAAAAGGUUUACCUCAUGUGUUAAAAUUUGAAAGGUUAAAAUAUGCUAUAAGUCAUUGUACUCUUUGUAAAUUUAAAAUUUAGUUCUUCUAUUUUUAUUUCAUGGAAUUUAGUCCGUAUAUUUUUAAAAUUUUAAAAUUUAGGUCCAAUUGUUAGUGUCUCCUUAAAAUUCAUCUGUCAAAUUCAAUGGUGUGACAUUUAUAAAUUAAAAAAAAAAUACUCACUUCGUAGCCAUGCAACAAAAAAGAACAUUUUAACAACUUUAAUAUAAAUGAAAAACUUUAACAAUAUUAACAACUGGGCUUGCAUUUUUAAAUUUGAAAAUUGGAGGGACUAAAUUUCUUAAAAUAAAAGUAGGAAGAUUAAAUUCUAAAUAUACGAAAAAAUAAAAAAUAUAGAUAUUUAGAACACAUUUUGAUCAAUUUAGACACAUGGUGACUAUUUUAAUAAAAAAUUAAAAUUUUAAUAAAUUUAAAUGAUAAAAAAUCAUAAAGUAAUCAUCAUGAUAAAAAUUAUGAUUCUUAAUAUUAAGGAAAACCUAAGUUAUAGGCUCAACUUAUUAAAUUAAUUCACAUCAGAAUUUUUUUCCCAUGUCAUACUCACACAUAAGCCCUCCAAAUCUCCUAUUUUUUCUCCCUUAAAAAAAAGUGAACAAAUGACCGGCAGCCAAUAAUAGUAGUGUUGUUGAUUUUCCGACAAAUCUAAAUGCAGCACUGCCUACACAUUCAUUGCUAGCUGCAAAACCUGAUGAAGACAUGGCUGCCGCUAUUAGGCUGUUUUGGUACAUUGAAUCAAGCAGUAAUAUAUAGCAGCCACAUCCAAGAAUGAAGGGAUGCGUUGAUGACCAACUCCUUUAGCAUUUGUAACACUUACUGUAACCCUAGUGCUGAUAUGUUGCUCCAAGAAAACCAACUUGAUUACCUCUACAACUACACUAAAAACACAGUGAGAAGAUAUAAGCAGUUGGUGAGUGAGGAUGAAAAUUAACUUAUGAGAAAUUAAUAAAGGUUUUAAGGUGUGUAUUAAUGCCACUUUUUUAAAGUUCUAUUCGCCUCACUUAUAUUAUGGCGUGUAAAGGAGUUACUGGCAAAUGAAUUUCGAGGAUACAAUGAAAGUUCAAUGACUAUUUACGUUUUGCAUUAACAGAAAUAAUUCACUAAGCACUUAGCGGAGCAUAGCAAUGAUACCAAUUUCUAUAAAGAAUUUAUGCAAUAAUUCUUUAUAGAUUAAUCUAGCAAUAUAAAAGAUGGUUGGAGAUCAGAAAGAAACUUUUUUCUAUAUUGUUUGGUUUAUCCUAUAAAUAAAAUUCCUCUCCUAUUUAUAGGAGGUCUCAUUUCUUUUCAUAAGAACAUAACUGCCCAAAUGAAUAGCAUAUAUUUAACCACAAAUAUAAUUAUUUAAUACGUAUCAACUUAAAUAAUGAUGACCCUUUGUUAUUAAUUAGGUGAUAUAACUUUUCGUGACAAGAGAUAUGACCGAUCAUAUAGAGAGUGACAACUCUAACUUAAUUAUCAAAUGACAUUAUUUUUGGAUUACAUGUAACUUUUUAGCUAUAACGUAUAGAACAUUAUAACUAUUUUGAAAAUAUUACAACAUAAGCAAACAAAUAGUAUCUAAGACAUUCUAAAUAUAAUAGUUAAUAGACUCAGUUUUUGCUUCUAUCAUUCUAUAUGGAGUUCUGUAGUUCAAGUAAACAGACUUUUAAAAAGACAAGGUUCUAAAGAGUACUCUAGGUGUCAAAUGCCCUUUUGCGGCAAUGGUGAGGUUAUAUUUAGAUUUCUUCAUGUGUCGAGGUUGGAAAUUUAAAAAAAAGUAGGUCCAAUAUAUUUCUGUUUAAAAAAAUAAAAUAUUAAAAAUAUAUUAUUUUAUAUUAAUAUUUAUAUAUUUUAUAUUUAAACUUAAAAUAAAAAAUAUUAAAAAAAGCUCAAUGUGCUAAGUCGGGUUGAGGUUGAAAUUUAAAGAAAUUUUAGUUUUAGUAUAUAAUUUUUUGUAUAUACAAUAUAUAAAUAUAAAAUGAUAUUAUAUCGGUAAUUUUGUUAAUAAUUUGUGAGAAUUAAAUCAAAUCAAAAUUUUAAGUAUAAAUUUAUACAUAAUCAAAUUUCAUGUAUAUUUUUGAAAUUCGUCCCAAACACCUUAAUGUAUGUUUUAAUAUUUACAUUGUAAUACUAUAUAUUUAAAUUUUAUACAAUAUAAAAUACAUAAUAUAUAAAAAUAAAAGAAAACAACAUUUCAUAAAUUAGAUUUGGAGCUUGAAUAUAAACCUGAUCAUGGGUUGGACUGCUCGCCCUAAAAGUGAGAGGGUUUGGAGAAAAUAUAGGUAAAAAAAAUGGGUUUGAAUAAAAAAUAAAGUUAAUUUUCUAAACGGAUUGGGCCUUGGGUAGGAUUUUUUGGCUCGGAUUCGGCCCACCCCAAUUGGUUGUUUCGUUUUUGUUUUGCUAUCAUUUCACUAUUAUAUUGCUACUAUUUUAGAGGCAUUGUUCGGUAAGUUGCAACUAUCUUAGUGUUAUUUAAGUAUAAAAACUUUUUUAAAUGUAUUUUCAAUUUGUUAUUUUAAUGUUUUUAGUGUAUUUGAUGUAUUAUAUUUUUUAAAUUUAUUUUUAUAUAAAAAAUUAUCUAAAAAAAUUUAAUACGGCCUGACCAGAUCGAGCUCAGGUUUAGCAUUUUUAAUCUGGGUCUAGCUUGGGUAGAAUUUUAGGCCCAUUUUUGAGCUAGGUCGAGCCUAGAAAAUGGGCCUACAAUUUUGCAUCAGCUCGACCCGAACUUGGCCUAGCCUGACCCAUGAUCAGGUCUACUUGAAUAUUAGAACACAAAUCCAGCUAAUAUAUAUAUAUAUUGUAAAAACUCAAUUUUUGAACAUGAUAUUUUUAUUUUUAUCUAAAACAUCCAUAGUAUAUAUUAUACAAAAGAAAAAAAAUGUGGAAGAAAAAGUUGAAACCUAUAAGGAUAGACUUGUAGCAAAUGCUUAUAUGCAAAAAGAAGGUAUUGAUUAUGAGGAAAGUUUCUAACUAGUAGCAAUGCUCUAGUCUAUUCGCAUUCUAUUAUCCAUCGUGGUAGGUCUCAACUACAAGUUUGGCAAAUAGAUGUCAAGACUUCAUUCUAGAAUGACUAUCUUGAAGAAAGUAUAUAUAUAUGGUGAAAUCCAUUGGUUAUAUAGCUAUAUGAAAAGAGCAUAAAGUUUGCAAGUUGCUAAGAUUCAUUUGUAGACUUAGCAAGCAUCCCACUCAUGGAACCAAAGGUUUGAUCAAGUAAUAAAAACCUUUAAAUUUGAAUAAAAAAAUGAUGAACCUUGUGUUUAUAAGUGUAUAAAUCAUAGAAAUGUAGUCUUUCUCAUUCUAUAUGUGGAUGAUAUUCUACUCAAUGAGAAUUAUGUAAGGACAUUAUCAUUGGUUAAAUUUUGGUUAACUAAAAAUUUUAGCAUAAAAGAAUUUGGUGAGGUUGGUUACAUUCGAGGGAUUCAAGUCCAUAGAGAUUGGAAGAACAACAUGAAAUCCUUUUCGAUAGCUUCAUAUAUAUAAGAUUCUAGAGGGUUUUGCAAUGAUCGAUGCAAAUAGAGGUGCACAACCUUCUGCAUCAAGUUUCCAUCUUUCUUUGGAUGAUUAUCCUAAGACAAAAAAAGAAAGAGAGUAUAUAAGAAAGGUUCCAUACACUUUGACAAUAGGAAGCCUUAUUUAUGUCAUAGUUUACACACGCCCAAAUAUCUACUUUGCAAUAGGAAUGGUGAAUUGAUAUCAGACAAAUCCUGAACCUAAACAUUGGCAAACAAUUAAGCAUAUACUCAAGUAUUUACAAAGAAUGAAGGAUAGUAUGCUUGUAUAUUCUAAAAAGGACCUAACACCCCUUAAAAAUAAAGAUUCUAACUUCCAAACAUGAAAAGCUUCGAGGAAAUCGACAUUGACUUGUGCUUUUUUCCUAAGCGGUAGAGUCAUAGUGUGGAGAAGUGUCAAGUAGACUUGUACUAUUGACUUCAUUAUGAAGGUUGAAUGUGUGACUGCUUCUGAAGCAACUAAAAGAAGCAGUCUAGCUUCGAAAGUUUUUUAAUAGAUCUUCAGGUCAUUCCUAGUUUGGAAAAACUAUCACACUGUAUUACAAUAAUAGUGUGACAAUAGCUAAUAUUAAUGAAACAAUAAAUCAUAAGAGGACAAGAUACAUUGAUCACAAAUAUCAUACUAUAUAAAAGGUGGUAGUUGAUGGAAUAAUAGAUGUAGUCAAAGUGUUACCAUGUUUAGACAUAUUGAGGAUGCUAAUCAACUCAAUGCUUUUAGAGAACAACAACUAGCGGACAACUAAAGUAUAUUGCUUGGGCAAAGUCGCCAGCGGGUUGGAUAAAGGUAAACACUAGUAAAUCUAUUAAACAUAAAUUUGUUAUGGUCGUUGUAGAUGGUUUGAUGUGAGAUAUAAGUGGUGUCACACUCGAAUAUCUUUAAGGACUCGAAUCUAGAGGAAUUUUGGGACUUAAUUGAACAAGGUAGAGAGUUGGCAGACUCUACCAUGAAUUUUGGAUAAAAAUUGUCUACGAUUGAGUAAAUAGUUAAGUUCUAAUAUUGGUUUGGUUAGGAUGAAACCAGCUAGUUCCAUAGUGAGAGACAUAAUGAUUGCCAAUGAUUGGCUAAGAGGGUUGGGGAACCAUGUAUAUGAGUUAUAUGUAUAAGUAAAGUGGCCAUUAUAGCAAAGAAGAAAAAUUCUCUUUAAUUCAGUCUAUUAGUUUCUUUUUACUUGUUUUGUCUUCUUUGAUUGCUCUGGAGAAUAAGAGAACUUAGGAAAGCUCUGCAUGGAGUAGAAGUUAUGAGAAUUGGAGUCUGAAAAUGGAGAAAUUGAGUAACCGAUAAGCUAUUUUAUCCUUCUGUACUCGAGGAUUCAAGGAAGGAGAAAGUAAGAGCGCCUAAUAGAUUUCUAUAAACUGGGUUCUAGGUUGUAAGGUUUAAAUGUCUUGAAAUUAACAGAGGUAAAGUUGUUACACUACUUCAUUGUUACACUACUUCAUAAAAACUCACUAACUUCAUCCGAAUUUGUGACCGUAUUAUUUUAGUUGCAAGAUCAAAUUAACAUAGUCGUUAAAGGAGAAGACCAAGCCAAACACCCCAUCAUUGUACGAAGGGCGUGGUAGUCGUAUAAUGCAUAUAGAAGGGCAUUCAUAAAAGCUACACCUCAGGGACUAAAUUAGAUGUAUCACUUUCAUAAACUUAAGUUAGAAUUGUAAAUACUGCCAGAUUUGAUAAUGUAGACAACUUGUAAGAAUUGUAAAGUCGAAUAAUGAGGAUUAUAACUAAAAGUAAAUAUUGUAAUUUGAUGGAGCCAAAAUAUUUAAGCCAGUCAGUCUAGAAGUCUUGGUAAGUUAUUUGGUUUGUUUGUGACAUUCGGUAUUCGGACCUAUCGGUCGGGUUGGGUAUAGGGUGUUACAAGUGGAUUGUGGAUCAAAGGAUUUAUGUGUAUCACAGGUUGCUCGUUUGUUAUUUAAGCUAAACCAUAGGGGUUUAUGAAUGUUUAUGAUUGGCCUAGGCUUGUGGAUUUCGUAAGGUUAUAUUGGAAUUGGAUAACUUGGCUGUGGUGCAAUUGUUACAACAUACUACGAAUGUGGACACUGUAAUAGUCUAAAUUCAAGGUUAUCGGAAUAGUGGUUUUGUAACCACAAAUCUGAUUUAAAGAGAAAUUUAUUUUAAUAUUUUUGCAUGAAUAUUGAUAUGAUAGGAAAAUUGUAUGAAAAAAUCGAUAGAAAAAUUUUAUCGAUUUAGUGGUUAGUUAAAAAAAGAAAUUAUUGAAGAAAUUGGGUAAAAAAAAGGUAUCGAGACCUCGAUCUCGUAAAACCGAGUCAAAAAUAUUUUUAUAAAUAUUUAUGAAAUGUUAGUAAUGUGGUAUUAAAAUUUCAUUAGAAAAUUUUAAUGUUUGGGUAGUCAAUUAAAUAAAAAUGACUAAAUUGGAAAAUGUGUAAAAGUGGCUUGGAUGAUUAAAUAGCUUAAGUGUCUAAUGAAAAAGGAUUUAAAAUGCAAUUAGACCCAAAAUUUAUUUGGCUAGACGGCAAGGGCAUGAAAUCAGCAAGAAAAUGGAUGAUUUAAGGGUAAAAUUGGAAUAUUGCAUAAUUAACUAAAUACAAUUAGAAUUAAUGUGGAAAUAUCUAGAUUUCUUGUGAUUUCUCUUCAUUCUCAUCAGCCAAAACGCCAUAGGAGGGGUUCUUUAAGCUGGUAUUUCAUAAUUUUUGCACCAAGUGAGUUAAUCCUUGCCUUUUUCUUGUAAUUUUUGUGUUUUUAAGACUUUUUACAACUAGGUUCUACUAUUAAAUUCAUUAGUUUUUGAUUUCAUGGAUGAAAUUGAAAGUCACCAUGGUUGAGUGCUGUAAGUUUAUGACGAAAUAGCAUGAAAUUGAAGCUUUAAUUUGUUUAUGAGAUGAUUUUAUUAGGUAAUUUCAAUAGAAAUUGAUUUUUAGGACCUAAUUUUAAAAAAGUUGGAGUUAAAGUCUAGUGCUAAAAUUCUGAUUCCCAAAGGUUAUAAAGUAGUUUAAAGUGAUAGAAUAAAAUGUUAAUUGUGAAAAAUCAGCUCAAUUGAGAGGUUAAUUGAGCAGGGACGAAAUUAUCAUUUAUUAAAAGCUUAGGGGAAAAAUGGUAAUAAACAUCUUGCACUAAAACAGUUUUGGACAGCAGCAGUAGGCUAACUUUGAAAAAUCAUCAAAUAUUGUGGAAAUCGAAUUAGAGGAUGAAAAAAAAUAUGAAUUAAAACUUAUUGAGUCUAGUUUCUCAUAGAAGAAACAAUGUAAGUAAUAUAACUGUAAAUCAUGAGAUAUAAUAAAUUUCGUGAGACAAGGUCAGAAUGAAUUCGGGUUCCCUUGUUUUAACUUUGGAAAAUCAUCAAAUAUUGGAGAAAAAUAAUUAGGGGUUAAAAUUUACAUGUUUAAAUUAUUAAUGACUAUUUUCAAUAGAAACAAAUGGAAACAUCAUCCAAAUUUUGUACUAAGAGAUAAUUAAUUUUUAGUAAGCAAAGGUCAAACCUGUCAAACAACAGAAUAGGAAUAAAUUUAAAGAUUUUACUGUACUUAUUGGCUAAACCAAAAAUCCUGAAAAUUUUAUGGUAAAAAGGUAUUUGAGUCUAGUUUCAGAAACACCAAGUGGUUUUUCAUUUGGAAUUCUGUAGCUUGAGAUAUAAAUAAUUUAGUGACUACGACUCAAGUAGACAGCUUUGAACGAACUAUAAAUAAUAGUGGAAUUAUAGAGAAUGUUACAUAUGAACAUGAAAUGUAUUAAAUUGAUGAUUAAAUUUAUUUAUUUAGAUCCAGAAAAUUCUAAUACGAAGCUAGAUCGAGGAAAGGAAAAAAGUUUGGGAUUAGUAGAUUUUUGUAUACAAACAAGUAUCGAGGUAAGUUCGUGUAAACUGAAUUAUAUUCUUAAAUGCUUGAAAUGUAUGUUAUUGAUGUGAAUAUGAUUUAAAUGUUCAUUGUAUGAAAAUUGAUGAAACAUUGAUAUACUUGAUAAAAGGGGAAGAAAUCUUGGUUGAAUGAAAGGAAAAUUCGAUGGAUUUUUAAAAAGAAAUUGACGAUAAAAAAGAUCUAGCCCGGAUGGGUGAUCCUAUCCUGAUAUAUACCUCUCGAAGAAUAUGUGUAAAAUGGAUUUAGCCCGGACGGGUGAUUCGAAUUAGUGUCUGAAUUUAGCCUGGACUGGUAAUUUAGAUCCAAGCUCAUUAGAGUAAAUUGUCGUUGUAGGAGAUUUAGUCUGGACUGGAAAUCCCGACAAUACUCUAUGAGUUUAUAUUACAGGAGAUUUAGCCUAGACUGGUAAUCUCGUUGUAAGGAUGAGGUUUGUGAGAGUGUGCUCUCUGAAAUGCAAAUGUGCACCAAUGAAUAUGAAUUGACGGACCCGGAAUUGUACGCUAAAAGUGUACCUCUGAAAAUCCAUUAAAAUUCUGAGAAAUUCAACGGGAUAAAUAUGGAAAUAAUAAGGGUAAUAGAAAACAUGGAAUUGAUGAGCUCAUCAAUCAUUAAUCUUUGUAUUGAACUCAUAUGAUGCUAUUUGAUUAAUGUUUUGGUUGAGUUUGUGUGUGAUAGGUGGUAAUUUGAAUGGAUGUAUGAAUAUUUACUAUAUUGUAUUGAAAAUAUUAGGUAAGUAUAAUUCUUGUUACAUGAGCUUACUAAGCACAACGUGCUUAUCCUGUUUCCUUUUUUCCUGAUUUGUAGUAUUAAGAGCUCGGAGGUUAGAUUCGGUUGGAGACACAUUACACUAUCAACUUCAAUAUUUUGGUAUAUUAAGAAACUUUAUUUUGGAAAUCAAUGGCAUGUAUAAGUUGAUAAAGUAAAUGCUAAUGUGAAAUGAAUGUAAAGUUAGCCAUUGGUAUGGUUAACAAAUCCUGGUUUUGGUAUGUGAUGAGGUUAUCUUAUGGAUAUGCGUAAAUCUAUCUUGAAAAUGUGUUGAAUUGGAUUGGUUGAUUUGGUUUGAUCUCGAUGUAUGUUUUGGACUUCGGAGGUCCAUCUAAGGGACGUCAUAAUAUGUUUCAAUAAAAGAAUAGUAUUUAAUUUGUAAUAACGGAAAAAAAAAUUAAUUUGGAGCCAGGUAAGCAUCAUACCCGUUUUUGACAUACCUCUAUGCUGCCAUUACUGAAAUCACAUCAGAUAACCCUUCUAUUUGAUCAGAUUUAACCUGGAGCAACUCGCCAUUCUGACAUUUUAGUACAAUAUAUUUAUGUCUACAAAUUACUACUGCAUCAUGCUGGGUUAGCCAAUACAUUCCCAAUAUCACGUCAAAUUCAUUAAAUAAUAGUAACAUCAAAUCAGCCAGGAAACAAUAACCUCUUACCAUCAGUGGACAAUUUUUACAAAUUUUAUCCACCAAAACAGAUUGGCCCUGAGGGUUCGAGACUUUAACCAAAAAUUCAAUAGGUUCAAUAGAUAAAUCUUUAACACAUGCAAGCUUUAUACAUGUAUAUGAAUGCGUAGAACUGGGAUCAAUUUAUGCAGUAAUAUCAGUGUCAAGUAAAGAAAAUGUACCAGUAAUAACAUCGGGUGCUGAGGCAUCUUCUCUGGCACGAAUGGCAUAUGUCCUAGCAGGUGCUCGUGCCUUUGGCCUACCUGCAGUAUCUUUCGUAGCUCCUCGGCUACCACUGACAUUACCGGAUAGUCGAGGUGGUCUACCCCUCGAAACUGAAUUACUCGGCUUCGAUGUCUGUUCAGGUUUUUUUUCACCCCUUCUGGACAAUCUCUGAGGAAAUGAUCAAAUGAACUGCGUCAGUAACAAGCCCCACUUUUCAGCUGACAUUCUCUAAAAUGAGCUUUAUUACAGUACUGCCAUCUCGGCUUAAGACUGCCGACACUACUCAUACUAGUCACAGACGAAAUGGGAGAUCUUGGAUUAGUGCGUUGGAAGCCCCGUUCUUUUCCAAAAUAGCCCGUCAUAGAAGUAGAUUGAUUAGAGUACUUUUUUAAUUUAUUUGUAACAGAAUAUGACUGAAAUUUUCCCAUCAGUCUUUUGCUGAAAACCAGAGUUUCCCUUUUAGGUUUUUUUUUCUCUUUACUCAAUUCCUCUGCUUUAUAAGCUCGCUCAGCCAGUGUAGCAAACUCCCAGAUUUCAAGCAUUCCGAUUAGUAACUUGAUAUCUUCAUUCAGUCCCUCUUCAAACCGUUUGCACAUCUCGGCUUCUGAUUGUACCCAUUCCCGAGUAUAUUUACUCAACCGAACAAAUUCUUUUUCAUACUCAGAUACCAAUCUGUUGCCCUAUUUCAGCUUAAGAAAUUCUUUUCUUUUCUGACCAAGAAACCUCUAGCUGAUAUAUUUCUUUUUAAAUUCAUUCUGAAAGAACUCCCAGGUAAUCUCUUCUUUUGGAACUACCGAAGCUUUAGUGUUCCACCAAUGAUAAGCUGUGUCUUUUAGCAGUGAGACGGCACAUUUUAGACAUUCUUCUGGUGUGCAUGAUAAGUCCUCCAAAACCCAAGUAGUGUUUUCUAACCAAAACUCAGCCCGUUCGGGAUCAUCAUCAACUGCAGCUCUGAAUUCUUCUGCCCCAUAUUUUUUGAUUUUAUCAACCGAAGCUUUCCCUUUUCUAAUAGAUUCAGUACUUGUACCCUGUGGAAUCUCGGAAACCGGUGGAGAAGGAGGAGCUUGAGCUUGCUACAUUACAGGGUUAGUUCUCACAUAUUGAUUAAACCAUUCAUUCAUCAUUUGAAAGAAAGUCAUUUUAGCCUCUUCUCUGUCCCUUGUCUCGGACCUUCUACUACUAGUAGCUUCAACUUCUCUUUUUCCCUUUCCAGGGCCAGAGCAUGACUCUCGACUUCCUCGAAUUGAGCUCGGCAGACAGACAUUUACUAUAAAAAAACACAAUUAAAUGGUCAGGAGAUAUCACACUAUCAAUAAUAAUUUCAAUGAUGUGUAUAGUUAAUCCCAUAUUUACUACGUCAGUCUGAGAACCGACUAAAUCCUAGCUCUGAUACCAACAAAUGUAACACCCCUACCUAUAUUCGUCGCCGAAAUAGGGUACGAGGCAUUACCGGAGUUUUUCAAAUUAAUUUUUUUCGUUAUUACGAAUUAAAUACUAUUCUUUUAUUGAAACAUAUUAUGACAUCCCUUAAAUGGGCCUCCGAAAUCCAAAACAUACAUCGAGAUCAAACCAAAUCAACCAAUCCAAUUCAACACAUUUUCAAGAUAGAUUUACGCAUAUCCAUAAGAUAACCUCAUCACAUACCAAAACCAGGAUUUGUUAACCAUACCAAUGGCUAACUUUACAUUCAUUUCACAUUAACAUUUACUUUAUCAACUUAUACACGCCAUUGAUUUCCAAAAUAAAGUUUCUUAAUAUACCAAAAUAUUGAAGUUGAUAGUGUGAUGUGUCUCCGACCGAAUCAGACCUCCGAGCUCUUAAUACUACAAAUCAGGAAAAAAGGAAACAGAGUAAGCACGUUGUGCUUAGAAGCUCAUGUAACAAGAAUUAUACUUACCUAAUAUUUUUAAUACAAUACAGUAAAUAUUCAUACAUCCAUUCAAAUUACCAUUUACCUAUCACACACAAACUCAACCAAAACAUUAAUCAAAUAGCAUCAUAUGAGUUCAAUACAAACAUUAAUAAUUGAUGAGCUCAUCAAUUACAUGUUUUCUAUUACCCUUAUCAUUUCUUAUAUUUAUCUCGUUGAAUUUCUCAGAAUUUCGAUGGAUUUUCAGAGGUACACUUUUAGCGUACAAUUUUGGGUCCGUCAAUUCAUAUUCAUUGGCGUACAUUUUCAUUUCAGAGAGCACACUCUCACAAACCUCAUCCUUACAACGGGAUUACCAGUCUAGGCUAAAUCCCCUAUAAUAUAAACUCAUAGAGUAUUGUCGGGAUUUCCAGUCCAGGCUAAAUCCCCUACAAUGACAAUUUACUCUAAUGAGCUUAGAUCUAAAUUACCAGUCCAGGCUAAAUUCAGACCCUAAUUCAAAUCACCCGUCCGGGCUAAAUCCAUUUUACACAUAUUCUUCGGGAGGGAUAUAUCAGGAUAGGAUCACCCAUCCUGGCUAGAUCUUUUUUACCGUCAAUUCCUUUUUAAAAAUCCAUCGAAUUUUCCUUUCAUUCAACCGGGAUUUCUUCCCUUUUUAUCAAGUAUAUCAAUGUUUCAUCAAUUUUCAUACAAUGAACAUUUAAAUCAUAUUCACAUCAAUAACAUACAUUUCAAGCAUUUAAGAAUAUAAUUCAGUUUACACGAACUUACCUCGAUACUUGUUUGUAUACAAAAAUCUACUAAUCCCAAACUUUUUCCUUUCCUCGACCUAGCUUCGUAUUAGAAUUUUCUGGAUCUAAAUAAAUAAAUUUAAUCAUCAAUUUAAUACAUUUCAUGUUCAUAUGUAACAUUCUCUAUAAUUCCACUAUUAUUUAUAGUUCGGUCAAAGCUAUCUACUUGAGUCGUAGUCACUAAAUUAUUUAUAUCUCAAGCUACAGAAUUCCAAAUGAAAAACCACUUGGUGUUUCUAAAACUAGACUCAAAUACCUUUUUACCAUAAAAUUUUUAGAAUUUUUGGUUUAGCCAAUAAGUACAGUAAAAUCUUUAAAUUUAUUCCUAUUCUGCUGUUUGACAGCUUUGACCUUUGCUUACUAAAAAUUAAUUAUCUCUUAGUAAAAAAUUUGGAUGAUGUUUCCAUUUGUUUCUAUUGAAAAUAGUUAUUAAUAAUUUAAACAUGUAAUUUUAACCCCUAAUUAUUUUUCUCCAAUAUUUGAUGAUUUUCCGAAGUUAAAACAAGGGAACUCGAAUUCAUUCUGACAUUGUCUUACAAAAUUUAUUAUAUCUCAUGAUUUACAAUUCCAUUACUUACACCGUUUCUUCUAUGAUAAACUAGACUCAAUAAGCUUUAAUUCCAUAUUUUUUUCAUCCUCUAAUUCGAUUUCCACAAUAUAUGGUGAUUUUUCAAAGUUAGUCUACUGCUGCUGUCCAAAACUAUUUUAGUGCAAGUUGUUUAUUACCAUUUUUCCCCUAAGCUUUUAAUAAAUGAUAAUUUCGUCCCUGCUCAAUUAACCUCUCAGUUGAGCUGAUUUUUCUCAAUUAACACUUUACUCUAUCACUUUAAACUACUUUAUAACCUUUGGGAAUCAGAAUUUCAGCACUAGACUUUAAUUCUAGCUUUUUCACAAUUAGGUCCUAAAAAUCAAUUUCUAUUGAAAUUACCUAAUAAAAUUAUCUCAUGAAAAAAUUAAAGCUUCAAUUUCAUGCUAUUUCAUCAUAAACUUACAACACUCAACCAUGGUGACUUUCAAUUUCAUCCAUGAAAUCAAAAACUAAUGAAUUUAAUAGUAGAACCUAGUUGUAAAAAGUCUUAAAAACACAAAAGUUACAAGAAAAAGGCAAGGAUUAACUCACUUGGUGCAAAAAUUAUGAAAUACCAGCUUAAAGAACCCCUCCUAUGGCGUUUUGGCUGAUGAGAAUGAAGAGAAAUCACAAGAAAUCUAGAUAUUUCCUCAUUAAUCCUAAUUUUAUUUAGUUAAUUAUGCAAUAUUCCAAUUUUACCCUUAAAUCAUCCACUUUAUUGCUGAUUUCACACCCUUGCCGUCCAGCCAAAUAAAUUUUGGGUCUAAUUGCCUUUUAAAUCAUUUCUGAUUAGACACUUAAGCUAAUUAAUCAUCCCAGCCACUUUUACAUCUUUUCUAAUUUAAUCGUUUUCAUUUAAUUGACUACCCAAACAUUAAAAUUUUCUAACGAAAUUUUAAUACCACAUUACUAGCAUUUGAUAAAUAUUUAUAAAAAUAUUUCUGACUCGGUUUUAUGAUAUCGAGGGCUCGAUACCUUAUUUUUACCCAAUUUCUUCAAUAAUUUCUUUUUCUAACUAACCACUAAAUCGGUAAAAAUUUUCUAUUGAUAUUUUCAUACGAUUUUCCUAUCAUAUCAAUAUUCAUGCAAAAAUAUUAAAAUAAAUUUCUCUUUAAAUCGAAUUUGUAGUUAAGAAACCACUAUUCUGAUAACUUUGAAUUUAGACCAUUACAACUCUCCCUUGCCUCGGUCAAAUUGAUGUGGCAACAAAGGUACAAGGAUUGAGAGGUAGUGAUUAAGCAUGUGUUUCAAGAAGGAAAUCAAUGUACAAAUCAUUUAGCAAGUUCGAUGACUAAUAUGCCUUUUGGGUUUCUUGUCGUCAACAAAGUUCAACAAAGCUUAAAUCAUUACUUAUUUGUUGAUAGGAUAAGGGUCUUAGUACUAAGAAUGUGUCUAACUAGUGUUUAAGCUUGUGCCUACAUUUUUGUGUAAAAAAAUAUAUUUCGAAUAAUUAUAAUUAGAAUUAAUCAUUAGAAUGCAUGAUAUUUGCAAUUUUAUGCGCAAGUGGCAUGCCUGUAGAAUAAUCCCAAAAGAGAAAAAAAAAUUGAGAGUAACUGAAACAAAUCAUAGAUGCAUCACAUCAAUCAAAUCGUUGAAAAUUGUAUCAUAAUCUCGUUAUCAUUUGGCCAACUUGACGAUGAACUUUAGUUAAUAAAAAAAACCACUACCAAAAGCUCUAAAAGGCCAUCGCAUCAGUGAUACAUAAAAAACCCUAAAAUUUUAUGUUUGGCAAAAAGAAAAAAAAACCCUAAAAUCUUAUGAAAUGGACUCGAAACCGAUUAUAGUCGACUAGUAAGCAAAAAGACAAUGGCAAGAAUCGAAUAUUGAGAUACCUCCCGCGUAAAAAACAAGCAUAAUAACUGGAUUAUAUAAUUUUCUUUGAAAUUUUCAUCUCAUUUUUAACUUGUUUUCUCUUGAUUCAAGUCUUGUUCAAUAAUACCCGCAGCCUCUUAUUCGAAGUUACUCUUUGAGAAAACAGAGCUUGCGUGCUAAAUUUCGCUUCGAGAUUAGUUGAUAGAGAAAGGGACUUGAUUAACUACCUCAGAAAUCUUUCCACCUACAUUAUUUGCUUAAUGGAAUAAAAAAUAAUUUCAAAAACGAUUUUAGAAAAGUAAAUUGUAGUAGCACUUUAUAACAAAAUUAAGGUUGAAUAUUUUCUAUGAGUCACAUUGAUUAUAAUUUUAACUUAAAAAAAGAAGAAGAAAGAUAUAGGAUCAUAAAAUAAAAACCUAAAAGUCAAGGGGCUUAAAUUGAAAUAGCAUAAAUUAUAAGACAACAAGAUCAGCUUAGAAUGUGUGAGGGGCAGGAUACAAAAACGUCUUUUGAUUAAUCUUAACAUGUUUUCUCUAAAUCUCAUAAGCCCAUUCCUAUAAAUUUGAGGAUUCAAGCAUUUGAUCUUUGUUUCAACAUUGUACCAAUCCUUUCUUUUCCUAUAACCCAUUUCAGGUUCUGGUCAAAGCUUCUCAGGUUAGAGACUUCACUUUUUUUUCUCAUGUAUUAUUUCUUGAUCUUUUAUUCGUAUAAUGUAUAUUAUAAGCUUAUUCGUAGUUUUAUCAGUAUAUCUAUCUAUUGUCAAUGUUUUUGAAGUUCUAUUGGCCAGGCAGAUGAUCGGUGAUUGCAGGGAAAUAGGUUAUUAAUCGAUAUUGAAUUUUAGCCGUUCACUACUUUUAUGUAUGCAUGUAUGUAUGUAGGCAUGAAGGUAUUGGAUAUUGAUUUGCCUACAGUUAAUUUUAAGCAUGUUAUGUGUUUGAACAGAAUCAAUUCCAAUGAACUUGGAAAUAUUGGUUUUACUGUAUACCAUUUUAGAGUCUAUGGAUCUUAAAUCUAAUUUCUUAAUCUGAUGAAUCUAGGAUAAAAUUUAGAAAUAAAGCUAAAAGAGGGGAUUUGAAAUUCAGUAGAAACCAAAUUUCAACAAAAAAAAAUGUAAAAGGUAUCUUGAAGCCUUAUCAUGGCAUUUCUUGUUGUGGAGAAUGAUCAUUGUAAAUGCUGUCUGGAGUUAUUAAUAUGUAAGUUCUAACUUUGUAUUUUAUUCUUUUGAAAGACUUGUACUUCUUUGUAAUUGCUAAAAGGGUGGAGAAAGGAAAAAAGUAUGUAUGAAAGCUAUGCAGAAUUAGAACCCUUUUUUCAAAUUUUAUUGUUUUAUUGUUCUGAUGUAAUUAUUGCAAGUUUUUUGAAAGUAAUUAAGCUGAUUUAUUUGCUAUUCACUUAUAUGUAUAUUCAGGAAAGAUGUCUGAGAGAAAGAUACUGGAAAAUGGUUUUGAUGAAGGAGAUAAAGACACAUCUAAUCAUUCAACAAACAAGGUAAGUCACGUUUACAUUUUGGGGCGCUAAUAAUUUGCACUUCUGCUUUAUGGAAUUCAGGUAAGGCCUCUUUCUACUUGUUCUUGAAGGGUUUGACUUCAUUUUGUUCGAGUUAGAAGCCUUCUAUAAAAGGUGGAUAUAGAAAAAGUUAUAAUUGUUGUUAAAGUCACAUAUACAAGACCUAAAGGCUUCUGGUCCUUAUUAGAAAAAGAAGCUUAUGAUCCAGCCAAACCAGAUCAUGAAGUCUGAUGAAUUAAAUUUUUAUUCAUUUCCUAGUCUUUUGAUGUUGAAGCCAACAUGCAGCUCUCCCCGUUUUCAUCUACCAUUCGUAACUCACAUAUGAAUGAAGGAUGCUGAAUUGCUUAUGAUAUUAAAAGUUUAGGAAAGAUUCUGUAUCCAAUAAAUCUCUCAUUGAUGACUGUCAAUGUCACUACUGCUUUUAUGUUUAAGAGUUGUAUUCAGUGUCUGAUAAUGAUUUCUAUAGUCAUAGGCUUCCAACUUGCAUUUUGCUACUUAGAAGGCUUUUUUGUACAUAUUUAUAUUUCUGAUGCUUUUGCCUGUUUUGCUUCAGGUUGACACUGGGAAACCGCCAUCACUGACUUGGAGGCGAAAACUAAAUGGUGAGGGACGAGUUCCUUCAAUGUUCACUCUAACUUUUCAAGAGAAGCUUCAGAUGGUAUGUUUAGACAGCAAAAAUUUUCAUGGUUUUUGCAAAUCAUAAACCUCGUGACAUGUAUAUUGUGUAAUUUACUUUUGUUGUUUCAAAUGUAAAUGCAUAACAUUCUUAAAGAGAUAUUUUCAAAAGGAUAAACAGAAAAUAACUUAAGCUGAUUUGGAGAUAGGCAAUAUGAUUGUGAUUGAGCACCUGUUACAGUUAUAGGCUGUUAAGCAUGGAAUUCCAACUCUCUGCAUCAGAAUUUGUUUACAAAAUUGCACAGCAUUUCUUUUUACUGUAAUCAAAUAUAUAACACCAUGAUUGAGAGAAUGAGCUUAUAUGAGAUGAAUCAUGCAAGUAGGGUUAAUAUAUGAGGAGGUACCAGAACUUGACAAUCUAUACCUACUUGGUACCUAAACUUUUUUUGGACCUAAUUGGUACCUAAACUUGGAAACUAUAAGCUAACUUGAUACCUUUUAAGGUACUUGACUAAUGCUCUUAAAGUACGCUGAUGUGACAUUGAUGACCAAUAACAUGGUGACAUAUGACAGCCUAACAUUUUAACAAUUGGGGAAAAUAAAAAAAUUAUAAUUUUUUUAUAAAUUAUAAAUUAUUAUUUUUUGUCACAUGUCAAAAUGUGAAGCUGCCACAUGUCACCAUACUAUUGGUCGUCAAUGCCACGUCAACGUAUUUUAAUGGUGUUAUAUCAAGUUGGCUUAUGAUUACAUAGUAUCAAGUUGGCUUAUGGUUACAGUUUCUAAAUUUAGGUACCAAAUAGGUCAAAAAAAAUUUAGGUAGUGCCAAGUUCACGUAGCUCAGUAUAUAUUAACCCUGAUAUAAAUUAUCUAAACAAAAUGUACAAGAUUUCCAAUACAUUUUAUUGUAAAUGAAUUUUAGCUCUUGAACAGCCAAUACUUUCUAGAAUCGCCAAAAAAUAAUAACACCCUGGUAUGAGAUACUAGAACAUAGAGUAGGUUUGAAGUGGUAUAAAAAGAACCCGGAGAAGAUAGAGUUUGACAAACAUUUAUCAAUGCAUUUUCUGGUGGCAAUUAUUGCAAUGUUUUGACCUUGUUUUAACCAGAUAUAGACAAGUUCUUUACAGUAUAACGCACAUUUGGUAGAAGCAUUUGGAAAAUGCAUACCUUUUCUUAUUAUUUGAUCCACAACCAUUGUUUUGCUUCGAUAGGCUCCCAUAGGUAUUCGGCUGUGGCAGCUGAUCCGAGAAAGUUCAGCCAAAGGAAGGGUGAUCUACUUAAUUACGUCGUAAAUAUUACCAUUUGACCUAAUUUUUCUGUUCUGUUUUCUGACACGAUAUCUUUACGUUUGUUUUGAAGCGGGGUAUUAUUAUCGACCCAUUUGCUAAGCGCCAUGUCACAUCUUCUCAUGGUAUUCCUCUAGGUGGUGUUGGGUAUGUCUUCAUUUAUUUGCUGAAAAUUCUUAUUUCAGUUUACUUCUAUACGUAACAUUAAAGAAUGAAUGCUUAUUAAUUUAUUGGUCAUAUGUUUCUUUGGGAUGUAAAGUCACCUUAAACCAUUCCUAUGCUUAUUACUUUACAAAUCAAAUAAAAACUUUUUAACCUUUGAAUUAUUUAUGCAUUUAAGCAGCACAUAUCCAUAUUAGUUUUCUGGAUUUUCAAAUAUGACAAUUUGUCUGAAAAAUGUUAGCAGCAACAUAGUGUUCUUUGAGAUUUACCCAGUUUAUGUGCCUUGUUGUUUUCCUGAUUACUAACUCUUUUAAUAUUCUUAUCCCUCUUGUUCCACUUCUCAAUAACGACUUUCAGUGCCGGAAGCAUUGGAAGAAGUUACAAAGGUGAAUUUCAGCGCUGGCAACUAUUUCCUAGAAUAUGUGAAGAGAAACCCGUUUUAGCCAAUCAGUUUUCUGUAAGUCGGUUAUCCCUAGCCAGCCUAGAGAAAGGAAUAUACUGGUGUUGCAUCAUCUCUAUUGCCUGCAGCUAUAGUUUAAACUAGACGCAUGUUCUAUCAAAAGUUGGCUUGUCAAAAACCUGGUCAUUCCUAACAAGCAUUUUGUGCUAUGCUUCUUUAAAUCUGUGAGUCUGUGACAUUGUUAGUUGUUGAUGAACAUGACUUUCUGACAGAAGUAUCUGCAAGAUAACCGAAGUUGUGAUUAAGAAGUUGCCCCCUUUUCCACUUUUUUUUUCAACUGUCAUUACCAUUACCCUUUUAAUUGUAGGGGAUGAUGUGUAAGAUUCAUGGCAUUGAUAUCUUAUGCUUGUUUAUUUGCAAAAAGUAAUAAUAUUAAUCUGUCUUAAUGGACUUUAAAUGUUUCUUGCAGGUUUUUGUUUCACGCUCAAGCGGCGAAAAGUAUUCCAGUGUACUGUGCCCGGCAAGUUCUGAGCUACUCAAGUAAGCAGAUGUUCUUUUAUCUCUAUGUUUAAUAAAUGAAUGCCGUUGAUUAUUGCUUGAGAGCAAUACGCUUUGUUUGGUACAUUGGAAGAACAAGAAAAGGUUAUCUUACCAAUUACGAAUAUCAUGUGCAUUAACAGAGAAGAUGCAGUUUCUGGAAUUGGUUCCUGGGACUGGAAUCUGAGGGGUAAUAAUUCUACAUAUCAUGCUUUAUACCCAAGGGCUUGGACAGUAUAUGAAGGUAUCCACAUUACCAAGUGGUGAACCUUUUGCCUUUAUUCUUUUACGACCACAUUCUUGGAUGUAUCAUCUUAUAGGCUGGUCACAAUCUUGUCUUAAAAUGCAGGUGAACCUGACCCAGAACUUAAAAUUGUUUGUCGGCAAAUUUCACCUGUUAUUCCUGAUAAUUACAAAGAAAGCAGCUUUCCCGUUUCAGCUUUUACUUUCACCGUGAGAAUGGAUCUUCUAAAAAUUUUCUUUAAUAUGGUGAAGACAACUUGCUUUGGAAUUGAUCAGUUUGAUUUUUGAUAGUUCAGCUAUAUAAUACUGGAAACACCAAUGCAGAUGUUACGUUGCUUUUCACUUGGGCUGUGAGUAACUAUUUUCCUUUUUAUGUGUUUGUCCCUCAAUUGACCAUUAGCAGCUAGUAUUCAUGCCAUAUUUUUGUGUAUAUCUUGUCAGAAUUCUGUGGGAGGAGUAUCAGAAUUUUCUGGUCGUCACUCCAAUUCAAAACUAAUGUAAGCAUGUCAUGCUUAUAUAUGUAUUCACACACCUGCACAUGCACACAUUCGCAUACACACACAGACUUGUAUAGAUGUGUGUGUGGAUGUGUCUGUAUGCUGAUUUUCAGUUUCAUUCAUUCUACAUACUACUUGUUUAUUUAUUUGUUUCCUUUUAUCGGAAUGUUCUUAUCUUUGUAGCAUAUUUUGGUUUAUACUACUAAUGUAUCAACUGAUUUUGCUAGGAUGAAGGAUGGUGUGCACGGUGUCCUUUUACAUCACAUGUAAGGUCAUCAGUGAAGCUGGGGGAUAAAAAAUGUUGGAACUUGGUUUGAUCUGUUUAUUAGCUUUUGCAUUGCUUCUUUUUGGUUUCUAUAAUUAACACCUUGUAUUACUGCUACAGGACUGCAGAUGAACAACCUCCUGUGACUUUUGCAAUCGCUGCCCAGGAAACCGAUGGCAUUCGUAUUUCAGAGUGCCCCUGCUUUUUGAUAUCUGGAAACUCACAAGGCAUAACUGCAAAAGAAAUGUGGCAAGAAAUAAAAGAGGUAUGUUGAUUUUUUCCCCUUCAGAUUCCUUGUGUACUAUUCACAAAGAUUGCCUCUGAGCUACUUAAGCGUGGGGGCAAAAUUACUGGGUCAACAUUGAUCAUCAUUUCACUGAACUUGAGACAUCUCAAAAUGUUUUUGUAGCAUGGCUCCUUUGAGCAUUUAAAAUCCACUGAAGCAUCAGUGCCUUCAGAACAAGGGUCGUCUAUCGGGGCAGCCAUUGCAGCUUCUGUGACAAUUCCAUCUGAUGCUGUACGUACCGUUAAUUUUUCAUUGGCAUGGGACUGUCCUGAAGUAAACUUUAUGGGUGGAAAGACUUAUUACAGGUUUGUGAUUACAUACUUGUAGAAGAAAUACCCCUAUUUGAAAGCUUAUUUGCUUGCUGAAUAGCGUAUUAUUUACAGGCACUAUACGAAGUUCUAUGGAUCUAAUGGGGAUGCUGCAGCAAAUAUUGCACAUGAUGCUAUUCUUGGUAAUAUUUCUCUGUUUUCAUUAUGUUAAUCAUGGUUUCUAAAAUUAUAAAAAUAAAUUUUUCUAAACUUUAUAAGAUUUGUUAAUGGAAAAAGCCCUCAAAUUUCAAGUUUACCAGUUUCUCAAAUCAGUUGCUUAUAGUCCUUAUUGCAUUGGUAUGUUCAUUUCCUUGAAACAUAGAGCACAACAGUUGGGAAUCACAAAUAGAAACAUGGCAAAGGCCUGUACUCGAAGACAAGAGGCUUCCUGAAUGGUUAGUUCUUGUCUUAUUAUUUGUAAUUACCCAUGCUAUCAGGCUCUAAUUUUGCUGAACUCGUUCAACAGGUACCCCGUCACUUUAUUCAAUGAGCUCUAUUAUCUUAAUUCAGGGGGAACGAUUUGGACAGGUACCUAGAUAUUAACUCAAUUGUUAAAAUUGGAUUUCUUGUAGAUGACUUGUGCCUAUCUUUCCCUUUUUGUUUGUACUGCAGAUGGGUCAUCUCCGGUCCAUAAUUUAGUAAGCAUUGGAGGAAAGAAGUUUUCCCUUGAUAAAUCACAGUUGGGAUUGAAAAGCAUAAUUGAUGUUCCCCAUAAAAAUGAUACUGCCAUUGACAUUUUGGGUAGGAUGACUUCUAUACUUGAGCAAAUACACACUCCAAUUACAUCAAAUUCAGCUUUAGGAACAAAUUUGCUUCAAGAAGGAGAGGAAAACAUUGGUCAAUUCCUUUAUCUUGAAGGAAUUGAGUAUCACAUGUGGAACACCUAUGAUGUCCAUUUUUAUGCAUCUUUUGCACUAAUCAUGUUAUUUCCAAAACUACAACUCAGCAUCCAAAGAGACUUUGCAGCUGCAGUAAUGAUGCAUGAUCCUACUAAGAUGAAACUUUUACAUGAUGGACAACUGGUUGCAAGAAAGGUUCUUGGAGCUGUUCCACAUGAUAUUGGAAUGGAUGACCCAUGGUUUGAAGUAAAUGCAUACUGCCUUUAUGACACUGAUCGAUGGAAAGACUUGAAUCCAAAAUUUGUUCUCCAAGUUUACAGGGAUGUCAUUGCCACAGGUGACAAAAAGUUUGCGCAAACUGUUUGGCCCUCUGUUUAUGUUGCAAUGGCUUAUAUGGAUCAAUUUGACAAGGAUGGUGAUGGGAUGAUUGAGAAUGACGGCUUCCCUGAUCAGACAUAUGAUACGUGGUCUGUAUCUGGUGUAAGUGCCUAUAGUGGUGGGCUAUGGGUGGCAGCCUUACAGGCUGCAUCUGCCUUGGCACAUGAAGUAGGAGACAAGGGUUCUGAAGAUUAUUUUUGGUACAAGUUUCUGAAAGCAAAAGACGUCUAUCAGAAAUUGUGGAAUGGCUCUUACUUUAAUUAUGACAACAGUGGCAGUCGCACAAGUUCAUCUAUUCAGGCAGAUCAAUUGGCUGGCCAAUGGUCUGUAAUGAUGGAUGUAACUUAAAUUCUAGUCCAGCAUUUUCGUUAGAAUUUUAUGUUUCUUAAUUCUCAUUUCAAAAGCAUUUUCUUUAUUCUGAACCUAGGAUUUUCUCUCAUUUAUAUUUCUGAUUAGAAAAUAUAAGCAGUACCUUUAAAAGAUGAUAUUGGCAUGCAUCUAUCACAUAAUGUUUUUAGGUCUAAGCAUGAAUAUUUUCACAAUUUGCUCAAGCUAAUUGAAAUUUUGACCAAUGUAGGCAUGAAAUUAUUAUUUUUGUUAAUCUUGUUGCAUGUUCCUUUUCAUCCCAGCAAAAUUUCUCUAUAUUGUUUUUUUCACGUGGUAAUGAAUUACAAUGUCUUUGUAGGUAUGCAAGGGCAUGUGGUCUUUUUCCAGUAGUCGAUGAAGACAAAGCAAGAAGUGUGUUAGAGAAGGUAUACAACUACAAUGUCUUAAAAGUGAAAGGUGGAAAGCGGGGGGCUGUAAAUGGGAUGCUGCCUGAUGGAAGAGUUGAUAUGUCAUCCAUGCAAGCAAGGGAAAUAUGGUCUGGAGUUACAUAUGCGGUGGCUGCAACAAUGAUCCAUGAAGAUUUGGUGGAUAUGGCAUUUCAUACUGCAAGUGGCAUCUUUGAAUCAGUGUGGUCUGAAGAAGGACUUGGGUAAGAUGGCUUUUCUUUCUUUUUCUUCUCUUUUUUUUCUUUUUUCUUUUUUCUUUUUUCUGUAGUUGACAUAUGAUUUUUUUUGGAAAGCCUCCCCACUAAUGUUUGAGUGACAUAAGAAUAGAUACUGAAGGAUUUAAAACCAAAUGGAAUUCACAGAUUGUAAAAGUUUCCUCUUAAUGUUGAUUUUUUUUUCUCCCAUGGCUCAGACCUCAGAAGAAAGUAAUCCUUCUUGAGAUUUGAGAUAGGAGUUUUUUAUCGAUUUCUUCAAAUGUCUAGUCUUUUGGGAUACUUCCUUUUACUUUAGGACGGUGGCAAGUACAAACUCUACUCCACUCCAAAUAUAAUCCUUAAAUGUAAUGUAGGGGAACUCCAUCUUGUUAUCAUUGAAACCAUAAAAUAAGAUUGUAAAUGUGUAAGAUGAUCAAUUUCGAGCUCUGCUGAAAAACUAGAUAGUAGCAACAAUGUCUUGGAAGGGAUUUUUUACACUUUGAAAUACUUGCACUGGAAAAAUUCCAUGCUUCUGAAUCUACUUCUUGAAACAUGACAAUGAUGAUUAUUGUUCUAAUAUUCAUCAUUUGCUCACUAACAUGUUGCUAAUAUGUUUACAGUUACUCAUUUCAAACUCCGGAAGCUUGGAACACAGAUGAUCAAUACAGGUCUCUAACUUACAUGCGUCCGUUGGCCAUAUGGGCAAUGCAAUGGGCUUUAUCAAGACCAAAAGUUCCAAAGCAGGAGCUAAAACCUGAAAUGGAGGCGGAUUCGCUACGUAUACACCAUGCCGGCUUCUCCAAAGUUGCUCGCCUUCUAAAAUUGCCUGAAGAUCAAAGAUCCAAAAGUCUUUUACAGAUUAUGUUCGAUUAUACUUGCAAGAGAAUGUUGACUUAAUUGAUUGGUGCAAUUAUUAGUGUGUAUGGUGAGUGUGCAAUGCAUUAUUCUAUAAUUGGAAAACUUGAGUAUUUGCAAAAUUAUAUUGUUAUUGGAAAAUAGUGUAUUCAGGACUUCAAAAUAUAAUAAUUUGCAGUGAAAGCAGAUCUGUUCUCUAAACUAGUUUUGAUUAUCUUCAUUUGCAACCACACCCAUAAUUUUGUUCACUAAAUUACGCUGUAAGAAUCAAACUACUAUUAUAAUGGUUGUUGCCGUUGUCGUUGCCGGGCUUUUUUUUUAUGGGUAAACUACAUGGCAGGUCAUUUAAUUAUGAUUUUUUUUUAUCCAAAUAUGAAUUUUUUUAAAUUGGUCACCCAAUUAAUCGAGUGAUAACAUGUUAAUUUGCACGAUUUUUUGGGUUUAAUUCGGUUAAUUUUUUAAUUGAUCCCUACUGAAUUAGUGAUUUCAUGUUUCAAUUUUGUCAGUGAUGCAAUUGGGAUGCUAUGAGUAAAAAACGAGCAAAAAAGGACCAAAUUGAAACACAGUCAAUAAAGUGAGGCCGAAUAAAAAAUAUGAAAAAAACCAAAGACUCAUCAUAUUCUUUUGACUUUGUAAAAGCCAGAAUUAGAAAAAAUUUAAUUUUUAUUUUUAUUUAAUUUUAAUUAUAUGUUGAAGUGGUUAAAGCCAAAUGUAAUAAAUAUAAUGUGAAUAAAUAGGGCUUUAAGUACCUUGAAAAAACACAUUACAUUUUACCUUUGAUUUCCAUUAGGAAUUAAAUAGAAUUAUUCUUUUUUUCUUCCAAAGUUGCUGCGUCAAUAGCUAUUGUUGUUUUAUUUCAUUUCUUUGCUCUUUGUCAAAUUUGUCUAAUUGCUUUCCAAGUACCUUUCUUUCCCAUUCUUCUCCAUUAUCAUCAAAUCACCUUUCAAAACCUGCAAAGCAUGAUUAAUUUCAUGUUUAACUAAAUUCUAUUUUAGCUUUAGGCGGGUGUUCUUUCCAGUUGGGAAUCGUGAGAUAUUUAUCCGUGCUAAAAAUCAUUCCAAUCGGUAUUCGCAUUUUUCCUAAGUAUUGGAAUUGACAACUCAUCCCUUAAAGCUAACUCGAUUUCAAGUCAAAAAGUACACGUUGGAUUGGAAUCGUGUUUUCAAACAGUUGGAGAAACGAGUCAGCCGUGCUGUAUUCGGAUCUUCGAGAACAAAUCAAGGGAAAAGUGAUCGGGUUUAAAUGACCCACGCAGUUAAGGCCGUUAAUCUGAGUUGGGUUCUUCAGAGCACAAGGCUGCCAAAAUCUUGAAUCGGGAACAUGUGUAUCUCGGUUAGAUAAUCAGUAAGGGUUGGUUUGCAGGUCGUACCGAGAUCAGUUACAAGAGGAAGAAUUGGUGGUUAGGAUGUUCUUAACUACUAUAACCAGCUUAUUGUUUGGAGGAGAAAAUUAAUUUUUAAGGAUCAAUUCUUAAUCCGGAAUCUACCGAGUCUAGGGCUAAGGCUAAUUAUCUUUUAUUACAAAAUUCGAAUUUAAUUUCCAAUUUAAUUUCUAAUUUAUUUAUGCUAUUUCAAUUAUUUAGUUUCUAAACAUUUCAAAACUCUCCUAAUUUAUUUGUUUAUUUUUCAGCAGGUCCGUUUGGAGUCGUGGGCAUGACUAUAGUCACGACAGAAAUUCUGAUCACAAGUUAAACGCGAAAGUUGAUUAUAACACCAAUCCCUGUGGACUCGAUCCUACUACCACUCUUUACUACUAUUUAGAGUUGUUUUGUAAGAAUUAUUUUUGGUGGUUUCGACGCCCAUCAAAAUUUUGGUGCUGUUGUCGGGGAGUGGAGAUAUUUUUCUAAUUUUUGUUUGUUUACCUUAUGACCAGAUCAGAAUCAGGAACUCUAGAGUUUGAACCAGAAAUUGAGAAAUUGCCCGACAAUUGCGAAAAAAAGCCAUUCGACGCGGUAAAUGAAUAAAUCCUGGAUUCGAAACCAUAUCUUACACCGAGGAAAGUUUCUAGUUUGACGAACCAAACGAGAUGGUCGAACAAACUAUACGCCAACUUGCAAUGGCACCGAAUGAACAACCCUUAUGUAUAACCUAUCCGGUAGGAGGAACGUCGUUCAUGUUAAAGUUGGGUUUGAUUCAUUUACUACCCACUUUUCGUGGAUUACAGAACAAAAAUCCGCACACCCACCUUAAAAAGUUUCAUAUGGUGUGCACAAGCAUGAAGCCUUAGGGAGUAACUGAAAACCAAAUCAAACUUCGUGCUUUUCCCUUCUCAUUAAUCGACUUUGCUAGAGAGUGGCUAUUUUAUUUACCCCUGGGAUCUAUCAACACAUGGUCUGACAUCUCACAUUUGUUUCUUGACAGGUUCUUCCCUGUAGUUCAAGCGACUGAACUAAGGAGAGACAUUGUGGGAAUCCAUCAAAAGGACGUUGAAUCGCUCUAUGAUUACUGGGAGCGGUACAAAAAGUUGUGUGCAAGUUGCCCACAACAUGGACUGACUGAACAAUCACUCUUGCAAUAUUUCUAUAAGAGGUUGCCCCCGAUGGAAAUGAAAAUGAUAGAUGAUGCAAGUGGAGGGGCACUUGUUAACAUGACUCCUCAAAGAGCAUGAGAGUUGAUAUCGACAAUGGUUGCUAACUCUCAGCAAUUCGACCAAUUACAGAACCCACGAGACAGGUUCAUGGGUUAUGUUUUCUAUCUCUAAAAGAUAAAAUUGAUAAGUUGACUAACGUUGUUCAAAUUUUACUUACAGAUAAAACGGGCCCAGCAUGGUUGUGUAAAAUUUGCACUAAGCCAAACCACCCGACGGACUCAUGUCCAAUUUUACAUGAGAAUUUGACAAAACAAACAAAUGUUGUCGGGAACUUUCUAGGACCGUCCCCAAGGUGAUAUUACCCCUACUCAAACUCGUAUAAUGUGGGGUGAAAAGAUCACUCGAAUUUAAGUUGUGGGCCGAAUACUCGGUUCAAUCAACCGUACCAACAAAGGCCGCCUCCGAAUCAACAGUUACCACCCCUAAAGUCAUCUUUGGAAGCCAUAGUUGAAAGGCUUGUCAAUAGUACUAAGAAAUUUCAACAAAAAACUGAAAUGCAUUUGCAAGAUUUAGAUAAGCAAAUGAGCAAGCUUGCGCUCACGGUUAGCUGUUUGGAGUCCCAAGGUAAGUUGUUGUCCCAAACUAAGUCUAAUCCUCGACACAAUGUAAGUGUUAUAACAUUGAGGAGUGGGAAGGUUUUGGAGCCUGUACCUGGCAUGAGUCGUGCCCACAACGCUGGCCGAGAUGAGAAGAAACUUGACACAGAGGCUCCAGUAGAGUCAGCAUCACAAGAAUCAUUUGCAGUACCACAUCUAUUUCCUGGAAGAUUUAUCUAAUGCAAGAAAGAGCGAAAAGAGAAUGAGAUCCUCGACACCUUUUGAAAAGUAGAAAUCAACAUACCUCUUCUUGAUGCGAUUAAGCAAAUUCCACGGUAUGCAAAAUUCUUAAAAGAAUUAUGCACGAGUAAGAGGAAGCUCCUAAGCAAUGAAAAUGUGAGUGUCAGAGAAAAUGUCUCCGCCGUUUUACAAAGGAAAAUACCACCUAAAUGUAAGGACCAAUGUAUGUUUUCCAUAUCUUGCAAAAUAGGUAGUCUCUGUAUUAAAAAAUCCAUGUGUGACUUACGCACAUCAAUUAAUGUUAUGCCUUUGUCAAUUUAUAAACUACUUAAUGAAGGUUCUUUGAAGGAAACAGGUGUAAUUAUUCAACUCUGUAGUGUAUCCAGAAGGAGUGCUGGAGGAUGUUCUUGUUAAGGUAAAUGAAUUGAUAUUUCCUGUAGACUUUUACAUUAUCAACAUGAAGGAUGACAACUCAGCCAAUUCGUCUGACAUACUUCUUGGGAGACCAUUCUUGAGUACCACACGAACAAAAAUUGAUGUUUGGAGUGGAACACUCACCAUGGAAUUUGAUAGUGGAGUGGUUAGGUUUAAUGUUUAUGAAGAUAUGGGACAUCCCAAUAAUAAGUUACAAAUCAUGCCUUGCAGGAAUAUAGAUCUCAAUGUUAAGCAAGAGGAAUUAUCGAUGAUCCAAAAAUCAAUACGUGAAGCUGUCACGAAAGCCUCAAAACUAGAACUCAAACCGUUUCUAAAACGUACAAGGAUUCCAACAAAGAAAAAUGUAAAGAUGAACGGAGAAGCUCAAAGACACCUCAAUCCACUAAUGAUAGGGGAAUCCGGGAAAGGCUUCAAUGACAAUGGGCAAAGGUCGAAAUCUUUCUACAAGAACAUCCAAGUGCACGAAAUGGAAAAUUUAAUUCUCAAUGAACCAAACAGAUAACAUUUAAGGUCGUCGAGCUAACAACGUUAAACAAAAGCGUUUUUUGAGAGGCAACCCAAAUUUAUUUUUAUUUUUAUUUUUUUGAAUUUUUGAAUUUCAAUUUACUUUAGAUUGAAAAUAAAAUGAAUAAUAACCAGAUUAUUAUUUAAUCAGGUUAAUGUGUUAUUUUCAGGGACGUGAUGAAGGUUGUCGAUUUUCUAAAAAUCGGAUAUUGAUGGUGGCGUGGCCACACCGUGCUAAGUGCUAACAUUUAUUUCCCUACAAACAAAACCUAACAUCCCUAACCCAAAUAAAAACCCCAACGCCGACAACAUUGUUAGAAACACAUGGGGAGUAUUCUUAACCUUUCUCUUUGCUUGUUGUUUGAGUUACUAGAUUUUAUUGCAUAUAAAACAUGCUUGAGGGCAAGCAUAGAUUAAGUGGGGGGGUUGUAAUGGUAAGUAAAAUGGUAAAUAUGCAUGCUUUUUGCUGCAUGUUUCUCUUUUGCAUAUGUUCAAUCUUAUGCUAGAUUUAUUUGAUAGUUUAUUUGACAUUGAUCCUCUAAUCUCAUUACUUAGCCAAUUUGGACAAUUGGGUAAUUUUUGAAUUAAAGUGUUCAAGUAUCUAGAUUAAUCGACAUUUGUGUUUUAAAGUUGAUAUACGUAAUUAGAUUUUUCACAAAUUGAUUGUUUGGAAAAAAAUAUUUGCUUGUACAUAAAUAAAUAAAUAAAUAAAGAUUCAAGUUAUGAGUGAAAGUUUCAAAAACAUGACCGAAUUUAGUAACCGAGGUGAGAUGUUUGGGUUGUCAUCUUAUCUCGCGUAAAAAAGGUUCGAGUAACAAAUCGAAAACUUACAAACAUUCCGCUAACCGAGUCUAAAAAAAAUGUUUGAACUGAGUAACUGGGAUAGGGUGCUUGGGUUGUCAUCCUAGUUCGCGUAAAAAGGUUUGACCAUGUCUAAAAUUUUUAUUACUGCAUGAUUAAUUAAUAAUACCUUGCAAAUUUUGGAUUCAAACUCAAUUUAGUGAAAUAAUUUAGUUCACAUAUUUCAAUUUUAUGACACUUGUUGAUCAAACUAUAUUCUGAGCAUUUAUUUAUUUAUUUUGGCCUAUGUUGUUUGCAUUGAUUAUAAAUGCAAAAAAGAGGCUCGAUUUUUAAUAAAUUAUUGAAUAAUUUCUAAAGUUUGAAAGUACAAUAUGUUUGAAGACAAGCACGAGCUAAGUAGGGGGAUUUGAUAACAUGUUAAUUUGCUUGACUUUUUGUGUUUAAUUCGGUUAAUUUUUAAAUUGAUCCCUGCUGAAUUAGUGUUUUUAUGUUUUAAUUUUGUCAUGGAUGCAAUUGGGAUGCUAUGAGUCAAAAACGAGCAGAAAAUGACCAAAUUAAAACAUAGUUAAUAAAGUGAGGCCGAAUAAAAAAUGUGAAAAAAGCUAAUGACUCAUCAGAUUCUUUUGACUUUGUAAAAGCCAAAAUUAGAAGAAUCUAAUUUUAAUUAUAUAUUGAAGUGGUUAAAGCUAAAUUUAAUAAAUAUCAUGUAUAUAAAUAGGGCUUUUUAAGGUACCUUGGAAAAACACGUUACAUUUUACAUUUGAUUUCCAUUUGGAAUUAAGUAGAAUUAUUCUUGGUUCUUCCAAAGUUGCUACGUCAAUAGCUAUUGUUGUUUUAUUUUCAUUUCUUUGUUCUUUGCCAAAUUUGUCUAAUUGCUUUCCAAGUAUCUUUCUUUCCCAUUCUUUUCCAUUAUCAUCAAAUCACCUUUCAAAAUCUACAAAGCAUGAUUAAUUUCAUGUUUACCUAAAUUCCAUCUUAGCUUUAGGUCGGUGUUCUUUCCGGUCGGGAAUCGUGAGAUACGUAUCUGUGCUAAAAAUCCUUCCAAUCGGUAUUCACAUUUUUCCUAAGUAUCAGAAUUGACAACUCAACCCUUAAAGUUGACUCGAUUUCAAGUUAAAAAGUGCACGUUGGAUUGGAAUCGUGUUUUCGAACAAUUGGAGAAACGAGUCGGCCGUGCUGUAUUCGAAUCUCUGAGAACAAAUCAAGGGAGAAGUGAUCGAGUUUAAACGACCCACGCAGUUGAGGCCGUUAAUCCAAGUUGGGUUCUUCAGAGUGCAAGACUGCCAAAAUCUUGAAUUGGGAACACGUGUAUCUCGGUUAGAUAAUCGGUAAGAGUUGGUUUGCAGGUUGUACCGGGACCAGCUACGAGAAGAAGAAUUGGUGGUUAGGACGUUCUUUAUUGUUAUAACCAGCUUAUUGUUUGGAGGAGAAAAUUAAUUUUUGAGGACCAAUUCUUAAUCCGGAAUCUACCGAGUCUAGGGCUAAGGCUUAUUAUCUUUGAUUACAAAAUCCGAAUUUAAUUUCCAAUUUAAUUUCUAAUUUAAUUAAUUAUUUAUUUAUGUUGUUUCAAUUAUUUAGUUUCUAAACAUUUCAAAACUCCCCUGAUUUAUUUGUUUAUUUUUCAGUAGGUCCGUUUGGAGUCGUGGGCACGACUAUAACCACAACAGAAAUUUUGAUCACAAGUUAAACUCGGAAGUUGAUUAUAACACCAAUCCCUAUGGACUCGACCCUACUACCACUCUUUGCUACAUUUAGAGUUGUUUUGUAGCAAUUGUUUUUGGUGGUUUCGACGCCCAUCAUCGAGAUUGCUUUUUAUUCUCCAUUUUUGUUAAUUGCACUAACAGGAGGGUAACGUGGUAGUUGAAAAAUCGGUAUAAUAAUAAAUUUAGCCCUCAAUUUUUAUAUAUUAUAUUGAUUUAGUGAUUGAAUGCCGGGGCAGAUGGGGAAGGCUUUUUUAUUUAAUAUUAAUAUUAAUAUUAAUAUAAAAUUUAAAUUUAAAUUUAAAUUUAUUAUUAUAUUUUUUGAAAAUGUUUAUGUAUUUUUAUAUGUUUCUUUGAAGUUUUUAGAAUUAGGAUCAAAUUGUGAUCAUUUGUAAAUUUUGAGGGUUAAUUUUUUAAAAUUAUGAUUAAAUUGAUAUAAUAUGUAAAAGUUGAGAACUAAAUUUGUUAUUAUAUCAAUUUUUCAACUGCCAUGUUACCUUAUUCUUAGUGCAAUUAACGGAGAUAGAACUAAUCUUGUUUAGUUGGAUGACCAAUUUAAAAAAAUUCAUAGUUGGGUGACAAAUUUGAGACAAAUCCAUAGUUAGGUAAUCAAUUUUUUUUUUUUAAAUUCAUAAUUGGGUGACAAAGCAAAAGACCCGGGAGACCUAUGAUGUAGCUUACCCUUUUCCUUUUUUAUUUGAGAGGCAUGCACAAAAAAAGAAGUUUCCAUGCAUCUUUGGUCGUGUUUUCGAUGUAUUAUGUGAUCCAAUAAUUGAGAAACAUUCUGCAUUGCUUCAAAAUUUUGCAUUAUUAACAAUGCCAAUAGGAAUACCAAGAAAGAAAGAAAAAAGAAAAGAACAAUGGCAAUAAGAGCAAAAGGAAGCUGAAAUGGGUAUAAAUCAUGAAACAUUAAAUAUCAUGCAUCCAACUCCAAUGAAAAGCCUUUUCUUUUUCCCUUUACUUCCAUGUCCUAACCCUUCCAACAUGAAAUCUUACAUAAGAUAUAGCAUGUAGGCUAAAUACCUUUCUUGACAAUAUAUAUUCACCCUUCUCGUGAUCUGGUGCAUGAUCAUACACAAUAAACAAUAUAGUUCAGUUUGGAGCAAAACUAAUGCACCAAAACAUAAUCUAAACCUAGGUUUUUCUGCAGCUCUCCAAUAUGUCAAUUGUGAGAUGAAACCAUCUACAUAUGCAAAGUCAGUUGCUUAAAAAUGUUCAACAAUGGCAUGCAAGACAACGUGGUUGAGAAACGUGGUUGAGAGCAAGGCAGCGAUUCUAACAUCCUCCGAACUGUAAGCAUUGCAUCUAGUGAUCAGAAGCAGUGGCAACAUCUCCUUCCAAGCCUCUCCGUUUCUUCUUCCCUUCCCCAUGCCUUGACCUCCUGGGUGCCUCAUCCUCACUUUCACUGUCAUCAUUUCUGAAGCUGUUCCCUGCAGCAAACUGAUCUUCAUGGUGAGCCUUUUGUCCUUCUUGCUGAUACUGUGUCUCAUCUUCCAACCCACCCCCUGGACCACCCAUUUCCUGACCUCUACCCUGCUCUGAUCCUGCACUAGAUCUGUCAUUGGUUGGUGUCCUCUGAUCUCUUUUAAUAGCCCGGCCAGAGUUCUGAGAGGCAGGUGCUGGAGGUAGGGGAAACAUCGGAGGCAUGCCAACAGGCCGGCCACCUCGAGCAGGAUUAGCACCUGUGGGCCCCAUACCCCCCAUAAAUGGUGCACGCCCUGGACCCAUCAUCAUCCCGAUUCCACCAGAUGGAAACAUUCCCCCAGGCUGUGGAGGUCGCCCUGGAAACAUCAUGCCAGAUGCAGGACCCGUAAAAUCUCCAGAAAACCUGGGUCCAUACGGUGCAAAAGGACGAGGAGCACCAAAAAGAUCUGGCAUCCCAAAACCAUCAGGUGUAACUGGUCCGUAAGAAAAGCCAUCACCACCCAUCAUCAUCGGUGGAAAACCUCGCAUUCCAGGCAUGGGUCUGGCACCACGGGCUAGUGGCAUGUGAGGGGGCCACAUGAUUCCUCUGCCUCUUCCUCUGCCCUGAGCUGCAGCACCAAAGCUUUCAUCCUCCUCCUCACUUUCUUCCUCUUCCUCUUCUUCAUUGUCCUCAAAUGGAACAAUGUCAGGGUUCUCUGCAUUAUCUGAAUUGACUCCCUUUGCUUUCUCUUCUUCUCUUUUUGAUUCUGCUGCCAGUGAAAUUGCCUGUAUCCCAAGGGAUUAAACAAUUGAAUACAUGGUACAACUUCAUUCAUUGUGGUAUCCAAUAACAUGAAGGGAAAGUCAAAAUGUAAGCCUUAUACAGCAUCCCAUUUAUCUCAACCAAAAGCAUGGCAAAAUGAAAGCAAUGCCAUAACCCAAACAAAAUGCCAGUGAAAUUGCCUGUAUACCAUGGGGAUUAAACAAUUGAAUAAAACAUACAAAUUCAUGAUGUUUCUACAGCGUUACCUUCUUUAAGUAGUUCAAAACAAUACUAGUAUUUAACUUCAACAGACUACUAUCAAACUGCAAUGUGUCUCAAACAGUUAGUUUCUAACCAAUUUCCCACGGAAUAUCAAGUACAAAAAUACAUUGCUCUAGUAAGCACAACAUGAUAACUCCCCAAAACACUCUGGAGUCCACAAAACCUUAUCACUACUGCCACCAGCUUAAUAUGAUUUAUUAGGACACUAUUAGCCUGCACGAGUCUUUACCCAUACUCAUAUACCAUACAAGGACCUCAUAUUAGGGUAUGUAAAUAAGAUCAUACUAAUUAGUGUCUAAUCAAGUAAACACAAGAUUAGGUUCCUUCUCUUUUUGUUCCUAAUUUUCAACUUUCCCACACUUUUCUAAUUAUUAUAUUUAGAUUGUUUUCAAACUCAGGUAUCCAAAAAUAAAAUAGCUCCGAAUUCAGAAAAAUAAAAUAGAAUAAGCAUACCAUAAGCUCACUAUCUGGCUCAAGAUAAAGCAAGGAGGCCAACUGCUCACCAACAGAAGGCUCUAACUCCUGGCAAUCUCUACUUAUCUGCAAGUGCACAAAGUACAGCAGUGAGGUUAAACUAUAAUCACACCGAAAACAACAGCAUCACAUGGUAAAAUAUUGUGAUAUUGUCUACUGCAAACAGUAUAUUAAAGCUAAAUUAUACACGGUAAAAGCAGAUAAAUAAUUCAUAUAAACCAGAGUAUUAACCUAAUUAGAUGAAAAAAUUAUUGCCAAGUUAUACUCAAUCAAUGUUAAGGCUUAACCUUCAAAGGCUGGAAUUAUACCUUUACUGGUAAGUUCUCAUUGUAGGGGUUCCUCAAAUGCCGAGUUUUGUGGAAAGACAGCUCACAUAACUACAUAUUAAGCACAGUUAGUCAUCAGAAUCUCAGAAAUUUUGUGGAUGCACGCCCAAAAAGAUUCAAAUUAUUGCAUCUAACAGAGGGCACAAAACCAAUCAGCCAGUGCAGCAAUAUUAUAUCUAAUAAACACAAAUUGUCAAAACUACCUCCAUGCUUAGAAUAUCUUUAAUGUUUUUAGUUCCUUAAAACUUAGCUUCAUAGAAAAUUUUAUUUUAAAAGGAGAGGAGGGGGGAGGGGGAUAGAGAAACACACCUUUAACCAUUUUACCGAGAAAUUACGUCCAUAAUGUGCAGUUCCAUGAGCGUAUUUCCAGUUGCCUCCAGCAACAGAUCCACCAAUUUUGGAUGUCAUUUUGGCACAACCCUAAUAAGACAAGACAAUGUAAUAACUAAGACAUCAUACAACAUAAAAAGGCAACAUUUUGGACUAUGGAUUAUAUAUAAGAUCUAUUGAAGACUGACUAAACAGUAAUGCAAGACCUAUGGAUGACAAGUUAUUUCAGAAUAACACAAGUAUGAAUUCUCAAAUUGAAUAUAGAGGAUACAGAAUAAGUUAUUUCAGAAUAACACAAAGGUAUGGGUUCUCAAAUUGAAUAGAUGGAGGAUAUUAGAUUUCUGAACUACCUGGAAAUGCCGUGUACGGUUAACGGAGAAGACCAAAAUCACAUUUUCAGCAGAAUCAAAAGCUUCAUUCAGUUUAGCCUCAUUGCUUCUUUGAGUUGCCCAUACUCCUUGUUGAACAGAUAGUUCCAGAUUUUCACGGUUGCAACUUUUAACAAUAAAAUACCUAGGGUGCCAUUUUUAAGAGUAAUCAAUUAUAAUCAAGUUUUUCACAGCAAUGAAACAUAACACUGCCAAUAAUGUAAAAUUCAGAAAAUAAUAGAACAGAAAACAGAAUCUGUCAGCUUGUUAUAAGGUAGAUGACUACCACAGCAACAGUUAAGAUGGAAUUUCACAACAGUAAUCAAUCAUUAAACAAAGAACAAAGUAUUAUAAUAAGAAGGCAAUGGCUUGCUGUCGAUUAUAAAGCUGAAUUUAUACUUAAGGAUUUUUAGACAUAUUAGUUGAAAACCCGUUGGAAAGAUUGACAAAUGCAAAACCAAUACACUCACUAUUUACAGAUUUUUACGUAAACUUAAGCAUAGAUCUAUAGUUAGGGUUCUUACUACAGAGCAUUUUAAUUCAUUCUACAACAGGGUUACAACAAUAACCUUCUUCCUCUAUUGUUCAUGAUAAUCACUUUCUUGUUCACAUAAUCUCAAAUCUGUCAUUUCUCUCACUGGAUCACACCAUAGCAUAUAAAGUAGAAAAGACAAGAAGCUGUAAACUUAAUAAUCAAAUCCAGCAAAAUAAGCAUGCCACUGGAAUAGAAGGAAAAAAAAAGUGACUGAUUUUUUCAGAUCUAAACCAACAAAACUAGGAAAUAAACACACUGAUACCCAAGUACAUAACGCCUUUGUAAACAAGAUGGCCUAGUUGUAUAAAAAUAUUUUGAAAUUCUAAAUAAAGAAAAUGAUAACACGUUAAAUUUCUCAAUCCUUUUCACCACAAGAAAGUUGUUCGUUGUAUCUAAGACUUCAAGACAUUUAGUUUAUAAUAACUUCAUUUCUCUUUGUAGACAGAAGAGAAAAGGAGAAGAAAAAUGAUAAAUUUAUUCAACCCUUAACUGUACUAUCUAGUCCAAAAGUUUACAUGCAUCAACAUAUUUUUAGAUGCCCCUGCAAAAUAAAGAAUACAAGAGCUUGAAAGAGGAAAACAAUGCAGAAAAGAAUAGUAAAUCAUUCAAUUGUCAAAUUUGAAUAAUACAGUAUAAACGUGUAAUAAAAAGAACAACUACCUAUUUCAGGUUUUAUGAUACCAAUUACACCUUAUAGAUAAUGACAAUUCCUUUGGGCAAUUAUUAUUGAAUAAAAGAUGUAUCUUAACUGUAUUCAAAAUAAAAUACAAUUAAUGAUUUACAGAACUCAAUUAAAGACCCCAGGACUCUGAACACACCUAGAUAUUCCUUGAGGCAAAGGUAUAGCAGUUCUGUUUGCCUGGUUAGACUGCCCAUUGGGGACAUUUUGUAUCUGGGUCUGGCUGACCUGUUGUUGCGGUUGUUGAAUUUGUUGUUGCUGCUGCUGCAGCUGCUGCUGCUGUACGUUAGUAGAUUCAGUUGCUGAAGGUUUUCCAGCUGCUCCUUGGUUUACAUUGUUUUGUGCUUGUGGAAUCUGAGAUUUUUCAGUUUGUUGGGGGAAGCCAGCAUUCCGCUGUUGAUAAAAUUUGUUGUUAUAAUUGUAAGCACUUAACUGCUGAAUCUUCUGCAGGACUUCUUCCACAGGAGGAGGAGGUCCUGGGAGCUUUGCAUGCCUAUAUCGGCAGUCAGGACCAUUCGGACAAAAACCUAGCUUGUACCUGCAACCGCGGAAUUUUGCAUAUUAAUAAACAUUCUUAAUGAUAAAACAGAAUUGGUACUAAUAUAUUCAAGAAAUUCCAGGGUCUGUUUUAGGGUGCAUGAAAGGUAAGCUCUUUACUGAAUUCGAGGAAAACAAAAUGAUUUGGAUGUCCCAGUGACUUCCAAAAGGAAAUACCCAUCAUUCCUUACAGUUAGUUUUACCAAUGUAAAGCACAAUUUCUAUAAGCUAUUAACAAAUUUCAUUGAAGAUAAAAGGAAGGACAAUCUCGCAAGUUACAUUCAAUAUAAGUAGCACCAUUUUAGCUUAUAUCCAAGUGUUCCGCUAACCCAAAUCCUAUUAAAAAAAUGGUUCUAGCUAUUGAUUCAAUGUAAAAGAAGAAAAUACAAGUAUAAUUAAGCCAAAAAGAAAAAGAAAAACGCACAUGUUACACUCUUUGAUAUCCUCGUUGGUGUGUUUGUACACACAAUCUUGCUCCCGGCACUCACCAAAAAGCCGAAAAAAACGGCAGACGGGCAUGCGGGACUUGUCGUACUGGUGAAGGAAACCACAGGCAUCACCCUUCAUGCAGAGACUGCGGAGCCAAUGCCGGCACACGGUCUGACGGAAGCUCCUUCGGCCAGCUCCACCACCUUGAUUUGCGACGGGAUCAUUUAUCGAAGCCUGGACACCACCAGGGGCGGUAAAAUUGUUGGUAUUGUUGGCGGCAGAAGGAUCGGAAUUGACAACAGGCAUGGAGGCAGUGGGGGCGGGGGGACCGGCAUCGAGACCGCCCUCGAAAUCGAAGCUGAGACCUCCCUCCGCGUCAUCCAUAGUCGAUGCGCUUGUGUUUUCGUUUUUUGGGUUGGUUUAGGGUUUAUUGUUAGAAAUCAAAUGCUUUUACCAAGUGAGAGUGUUUCUCCAAAACAGGGUGGGCUUUCACCUUUGAACGUUGGGUUUGGUUUAAAAGUGAAUCGAUGGAAAUCCUUUUUAUUUGUAAGUUUUCACAUAUCCAUGUAAAAAACUAUAUCAUACAAUACUAAAAUUCCAACAGUCCAAUUUUCUCGAAUCCAUCCUAAUGAAGUGAUUUCGAUGUGGGUGAAAUUAGAAAUGCUUAUAGAUUAAGUCGGGCCGGGCCCGUAAAAGAUAAUAAGACUUAUUUUCUAGGUUCGGGUUCGGGUUCAGUUCAACCUAAAAAAUAGGUUUAUCUUUUUGUCCAAAUCCGAUUCAAUUUAAGAAAAGUAAACACAAAUUCAAAUUGGCCCACCAAUAUUUUAUUUUUUAAAAUUAAUUUUUAUAAAAUAUAAUGCACUAAAAAAAGGCUAAAUUAAAAAUUUUCUAACACAUUAAAAAGUAUUUAUAUUAAAAAAAACACUACCAUAAAUAUAAUAUAUGUUUUAUUAUACUAAAAAUAUAAAUAAAUAUAAUAAAUGUUUUAUUGUAUUAAAUAUAAAAUUAAAUUUUCUUUUAGGUUUUGGGUAAUGGGUUUAAUUGGACUAAUUUACUUAUAAAGGCCCAUUUCUAAGUAUAUUUACGGAAAUGGGCCCAAAAAUGGCCAAUUUUGGCAAAAUACAUCUACGUAGGAGCGUUUUAGGGUGAAAUUCCAGCAAAUCGCACCCUUGGGGGAGCUUUUUGCCAUGUCAGCAGAAAACGCGCCGACAUGGACGCGUUUUGCUGACGUGGCAAAAACGCUCCCCCAAAGGCGCUUUUUGCUCCGUGUUUUUUUUAGGUUAGGGUUUUUUGCAUGUUUAGUCCUUAGGAUUUUUUGGUUUAGGGUUUUUAGGGUUAAGGUUUUGUUAAAAUAAUUUGGGGUUAGGUUUAUAAGGUUUAAGGUUUUGUUAAAAUAAUUUAAGGUUCUUGGUUUUAGGAAUUUUAAAAAAUAAAUCAAGAUUUAGUGUUCUUUUUUAAAAAUUAAUUAAAUUAGGGUUUAGGAGUUUUAAAUUAAUUAAUUAAAUUUGGGUUUAGUGUUUUUAAGAAAAUUAAUUAAAUUUGGGUUUAGUUUUUUUUAAAGGCAUAAUUGCAAAAAAAAAAAACCCUCAACGUUUGGGGCAUUUAGUUUUGUGUCAUUAACCUUUUUAUUUUUUAAUUGACACCCUCAACCUUACGAUUUUUUCAGAAAUCAACGCACUUUUAACGGUCAACGUGAAUUGACCGUUAAAUUAAAUUGUAGGUCAACAUAGUAGCCCAUGUGGCAUGCCACAUAAGCGCACGACGUCAUAGAUGACAUCAUCUAUUUAACAAAAAAAAUUUCUUAUUUUCUCUCUUGCCAAACACCACUUUUUUUCUUCAAAACACAUGGUUGCUGCCAUUUUUUUCCUCUCAUUUUCUCUCUCGCCAAACACCAUUUUUCUUAUUCAGAACAUAUGGUUGGCUCAUUUCAUCUACAAGAAUCUCCAUUACCAUGAUUAUAAUCAUGCUUUUGUGCAAUUUUUAUAAACCCACACCACACUUUCAACUUAAAACCAUUGUUUUUCCCCCACUGUCGGCUGCCAUUAUUUUCUCUCAUUUUCUCUCUUGCCAAACACCAUUUUUCUUCUUCACUACCUAACCUCCAAGCCAUCAUUGUUUUACUAUCCUGUUUUUGUUCUCAUCCUUCACUUUCCUAUUUUAUUACUACUUUCUAUCUAACAAUCAUAAAAGCAUCUAAUGGGAAAAUCUAAAUCAUUUUUUAUACAGAUUAACCAAUUCGUCCAGCAUAAUGGAAACAAGAUAUAUAUAAUUACAAUAUCAUGAAAUAAUAUGUUGCACAAGUUUAAGAAGCCUGUUUCGAUAUCUAUUUACAAUGAUAGGUGUGGAACACUGGUUGAUCUUUCAACUUUUUCUGCAACGCAAGCAAUCCAAUCCAUUCGACUUCAUUCCUCGUACCCAUCGCUUCCAACUUCAUUUCUAUGUGAGGGUCAAAUUGACAAUAAGUUUAUAAAACAGAGUACAAUAUUUAUAAAAUGAAACUCAACACACAUGCGUGAAUUGUUAGCUUCGUCUGUACCUAAGGGUAGCAGUUUUGGCGGACGAUAGUCUGAGUGGUUCUAUGUACCACAAUCUCGCAUAAGACUUUCACCUGUUGAAUAUUAUUACACACAUGAAGAAAAUCUAAAGACUAAAAUCAUGAAACAGAGUAGUACAACAUUAAUAUUUAAUGCUUGUUAAUCCAAUAGUCUCAUUUCCUUGUAUUUCUCAAAAUAGGGUGUUAAUUUGAUGAGCUUAAGCAAUCAUCAAGUUUAAUCAAUCUUCAUGUUCAAGAAUGAAAAUUUUGAAGAUGAAGAUCAAUGAAAAAUAGAACAUGUUCAAGAAUUUUGUGUUUUGAAGAAGAAAAAUAGUG
rnacentral:lncRNA from 1 species